rnacentral:lncRNA from 1 species
UUCGAUCAUACAAUUGACGGUCCAUAACUCGAGAAAAUAUCAACAUCUAAAAAAAACACUAGAAGGAGAUUACAUAAGUGAGUUAGAAUGACAAACAAAAAUAUGCUGAUAAAAUAUUUAGGCAAACUGCCUACAAGGUUAAGAUUGUACAAUAAUUGCAACCGAGCACUAGGUAUUACAACAAUCCCAAAGGAACAACCAUAUGAAAUGCAACCUAUAUAGGCCCGAGUUAAUAAACAAAGUUCGAAGCCAACUGCUGAGGUAUUUUUGGGUAUCAAUUACUUGAGUAGAGGGGACAACAUAAGAAUCACACUUGGAUCUUAUUGAGUAGUAGCCACAAAAAUAGCAAAUGCAAUGUUGCAGCCAGUAAAAGUAAACAGAAAAUAUCAAUUAAGCAAAAGAAAGGGAAAUAUUCCAUUCUGCUACUACUAAAAAGAUAAGCUUACUCCCUCAUUUGAUACAUCACAAUAGCAUAUCCAUUUGACCAAUCAUCCUAUGUAUUGUGAAAAAGUUUAGCUCCAUCAUGUCCACCACCAAUGCUCAUUCCUACAAGGGGAAAUUCCAACCAUUAUGUAUCUCAUCUUGAGAAACAUCUGCACUACAGCUAUGCACUAAUACUACCAGUUGUAUCAGAUUAUUGGGCAUUGAUGAGAUAUUUGGAUAAACUCACAUAUGUAAUUUGAGGAAAAUAACUCAGGUUUGAUACAUCAUGACGAGUAAAUAAACAAAACCCCUACUCUCUAAGAAAGAGAAUAUUCUUGAAACAAUAAAUACUCACUAUUGCCAUAAAAAAUGAAGAAUAUGCACACUCAGACAAUUAGCUAACCUGAAGGGAGAAGUAUGCUUAAGCACGCUCCACAAUAAGAGUAUGAGAAUAGCAAAAAACAACAUUGCUAAAUUUUAUUUUAUUUUUGACAAAUGAGAUGCACAAGUGGUUUCAACUAAGGGAACUCAAAUAACGGUAGAGUAGAAUCACCUCUCCAGAGAGCAGAACUGGUUAGCUACAGUAAAAUAUAUUCUUUCCAAAUCAUAAACAUCACAUAGAACACCACCACACAAACAUCCAAAAAGAAGACUCCAUCGCUAUAUGUUGAGGAGAUCAUCCAUCAACAAAAGAACCGAUUUAUAUGGAACUAGUUACACUUGUUAUCUUAACACGAAAGGAUGUGAACAUCAUUUAAUCAACGAAUUAUAGAUAUUAUCUUGAUUUUGCUAUACCUACUACAAUGUAAAGGCAUAUGCUAUUACCUGCAGCAUAAAGACUUUCAAACAGAUGAUAACAAACCCACUUCUUGGUCUUGGAAACUUUCUUGAACUGCAGUGGCUCAAGCUGGAUCAUGAAGAGGUCGGUAGGUGUCCAUAGCAGCAGCACAUUAUUGUACUCAGCAAAACCCCUCUAUACUUUGGUGCCAUUUCCUCUUCUUCCUUGAAUUAAUGGAAAGUAGCUUAUCCAGUUCAACAGUUCUUCCUAGCACCCAUGAAGCAGCACCAUCACAAUCGGUCUCCACCUUCCAUAAUUGGGCGCUGAAAUUUGACAGAAAUAGAAUGCCAAGGCCACCACCCUCUGCCUGCAUAACUUGGAAUCGACACAUGUUUUCCUUGGGAAUACCCACCGGUACUGGUUUCACAGCUAGGAUCUGCUUCUCCAAAUCAAACUCAAGUAUGCCAUCCAAGAGUAGAGUUUUUGCCGAUCUGUCAUUGAACAACCAGUAAAGGGAAUGCCCAACUAGCACACCCAUGGUAAAGUACAUGUGACUGUUGGUGGGAAGUUUGGAUGGAAGUGGUGUUGAUAUGCGAUCACCCCAUUUGGUAGUCUCCGACGAGUAAAUGCGGGCGAAGGCCCGUGUAUGUUGCUUCUCGUCUGUCUCUGUGCUUACCAAGACCACCCGGAAGUGUUGAAUGUCUCCGGCGGCGUGAAAAACCGCCCCUUUGAACGGGGCCUCGAGCCGAUCGAACUCUGGGGGAACGGCUAGGCGGUGUAGGUCGACGUUGAAGGGAUCCCACACCAAGAGCUGGUACCGCGCUAAUUGGUAGAUGAGUAGGAGGCCAUGGCGGGAUCGCAAGGGCAUGAAGAUGCCGUCGCCAUUCUUGCCGUGGAGGCACAAGGAGAAGCGGCCAUCCGGGACACGAUUGGGGGGAUCCAUUAUAGGUUUUAAAUUGAAAGGGUCGAAGAAACCAAGGAGAGGAGGGUCACGGCGGUGGUGGAGAUGGAAGUGGCGGGAGAAGCCGGGGUCAGAGAUGAGGCCGAGCCAACGCUUGGAGAUGAGGGAGGCGCGAGGGAGGGAGGACGGAUCCGGCGAGAGGCGGAGGAGGAUCUCAGAGAGGAGGUUGUCAUCCUCCAGCGGCCGCGCCGCUGACAAGCGGGAGCGACGGCGGCGGCGACGGCUACUCCUCUCACCCUCGUCACAAUUUCAGGAGAAAUGCGGGUGAUAUGAUGAUACCAUGCCAAGUUUCAACAUUUUCAGGAUUCAUUUCGUAGUGAUUUUCAAUUUGACGGUCAUUUAGCUCUCUAAACAAUUAGGUAAAUGACCGAAAAACAACAAAUGAUGUCAGAACAUGUUGGAAAUUGAUGACGUCGCUUUGAAUGCUGCAUACUAAACACAAAAGAAGUCCGGAGUUCAAAUAAGUUAUUAAAAAUAAAAAGAGGUGCAAUGCUGGUUAAUUUGCUUCAAGCCAUUCGGAAUAGUGUAGUUAGUACAUGUGUUAAAUGACCGAAAAACAACAAAUGAUGUCAGAACAUGUUGGAAAUUGAUGACGUCGCUUUGAAUGCUGCAUACUGAACAGAAAAGAAGUCCAGAGUUCAAAUAAGUUAUUAAAAAUAAAAAAAGGUGCAAUGCUGGUUAAUUUGCUUCAAGCCAUUCGGAAUAGUGUAGACUGCACUGCACAUAGCUCAGUGCAAUCUAUGCUAUUUCGCAAGGCUUGAAGCUAAUCAACAUGUAGGUGAGCAUUGCAACUCUUCGUCAUUGUCUGUGCACUCACGGCUUAUAAACCGCUCAUACUGCCUCUCUCUUGGCGAGGUGGGACGAAAAAUCAGCUUACAAAGAAACUCUAGUACCUGUUCAUGGCAUGAACCGGUACUAAAGGUCUUCGUGGGGGCCCCAGACCGACCAUAGCCUGACACAGCCUCAUUAGUACCGGUUCGUGGCAUGAACCGGUACUAAAGGUUACACACGAACCGGUACUAAUGAUGCCCGCUCGCCUAGCCGUUGGAACCGGCACUAAUGGUCACAUUAGUGCCGGCUCAAAUUCAAACCGGCACUAAUGUGCUUCACAUUUGACCCUUUUUCUACUAGUGGCUUGUUGUCAAAUUUCAGUUCAUGCUGUGGCAGGAACAGAAUCGUCCGGUACCAUGACACUCCGAGCAUUGGUUGGCAAUCAGGUCAUGUUAUUGUUGGUGGAUUCAGGCAGUACGCACACGUUUGUCAACUCGUCAUUCGCAGAGCGUGCAUGUUGUAUCAUCCUGGAAGUAAUGCAAUCCAACCAACAGGUAUCUCAACUGACAUGGUGGUGCCAGGGCAACAUAUUUAGCACAGACAUGCGCCUGCUUGAGUUGGGUGCAUAUGAUGCAGUCUUGGGUGUCGAUUGGCUCGUGGAAUUCAGUCCAAUGAACUGUCAGUGGGACUCAAGACGAUGGAAUUCAGACACAGAAAUGUUAACACCAAACUGCAAGGCGUGCGCACUCCAACAGAGCCAACAUUGACAGAAAUGCGAGCAGAUCAGCUGUCGAAGUGGAUUCAGGGGAACGAUGUGUGGGCACUGGCAGUAAUUCAACCUGACGAUCACACUCAGUCAUCUGAAGAACACAUACCUCCACAACUGCAAGCUCUCCUGGAUGAGUAUACUGAUGUCUUUCAAGAUCCCAAAACCCUGCCACCACACCGUGAGUUUGAUCAUGCCAUCCAUCUCGAGCCCGGCUUCUCUCCACCAAAUGUCAGCCCCUACCGGUACUCUCCAUUACAGAAGGAUGAGAUCGAACGCCAAGUCGCUGAGAUGCUCCAAGCAGGUCUGAUCGCAACAAGCAUUAGCCCCUUUGCUGCACCUGUUCUGGUCGUAAAGAAAAAGGAUGGUACGUGGCGCUUCUGUAUUGAUUACCGUCGACUGAAUGCCAUCACUAUUAAGAACAAGUUUCCGUUGCCUGUCAUUGACGAAUUACUCGACGAGCUGGCUGGCGCCCGUUUCUUCUCCAAAAUUGACCUACGAGCAGGCUAUCACCAGAUUCGCAUGCGCCCAGAAGAUGAAGCCAAAACAGUUUUCAAGAGCCAUCAUGGCCACUUUCAAUUCCGUGUGAUGCCUUUAGGUGUGACAAAUGGCCCACCCACUUUUCAGUGCUUGAUGAACUAUGUGUUUGCCCCAGCCACCAGCAAGUAUGUCAUCGCCUUCCUGGAUGACAUUCUGACCUACAGUCCAUCAUUUGAUGAACAUUUGCAACACAUCUGACAAGUGUUUGCUACUUUUCGCCAGCAUCAGCUGUAUGCCAAGUUUUCCAAAUGCUCGUUCGCUAGACCAUCCACCAACUAUUUGGGGCAUGUGAUCUCAGCGGAGGGCGUGGCAACUGAAACUGAUAAAACUGAUGCAAUUCAGCACUGGCCCCAGCCAUCGUCCCCAACCAAACUACGAGCAUUUCUAGGUCUCACUGGAUAUUACAUAAGUUUGUACGAAAUUACAGCAUUAUCACAAAACCAUUGACAUCUCUCUUGAGCAAGAAAGGUUUUGUCUGGACAGAUGCCGCGACAACAGCGUUCCAGAAACUGAAACAGGCCAUGAUCACCAUGCCAGUACUCGCCUUACCAGAUUUCUCUCUGCCAUUUACAAUGGAGACUGAUGCGUGUGACACUGGUAUAGGCGUAGUCUUGUCCCAACAAGGCCAUCUGAUCGCUUUUCUCAGUCGUGCACUCGGUGUUACCAAUCUGAAACCUUCUGUUUAUGAGAAGGAAUUCCUUGUUGUCAUGAUGGCCAUUGAUCGUUGGCGCCCCUACCUACAGCGAGGGCCGUUCACCAUUCUGACAGACCACAAGAGUCUGUGUACCUUAGGAGAACAACAUCUUGGCUCGGAAUUUCAGUGCAAGGCAAUGGCCAAGUUGGGUGGUCUUCAGUUUCAAUUCAAAUGCAGACACGACAUCGACAAUAAUGCCGCUGAUUCCUUGUCGCGUGUUGGUCAUUUGUUUACUGUAACAGCUACUUCCACCUGUCAGCCCUCCUGGAUACAAGAGGUACAUAAUACUUACCAGACUGACGCCAAGGCAAAAGAGUUACUGCAAGCAUUGGUGAUUCGCAGCCCGGACGACCAAGGCAGUGAACUAGACAGGGGCUUGAUCAAGUACAAAGGCCGUUUAUGGAUUGGCGACAAUGCUGCAGUCCAAACCAAAUUAAUUAAUGAACUCCAUGCUGUAGCCGUGGGUGGUCAUUCAGGUAUUCAUCAGACCUAUCUCAGACUGAAGAAUUUGUUUUAUUGGCCAGGGAUGAAACUCCAGGUGGAAGAAUUUGUCAAGCAAUGCGCAAUCUGUCAAUACACGAAGCAUGAACACACGCAUCCACCGGGCACUCUGCAACCUCUGCCCCAUACCUGCUCGUGCAUGGGGCAAUGUCACAAUGGAUUUUGUCGAGGGAUUGCCGCGAUCCGACAGAGCAGACGUAAUCCUUGUGGUGGUGGAUCGCCUGACCAAGUACGCCCAUUUCAUGGCACUGCACCAUCCUUUCACUGCUCCACAGGUGGCUUGCAUCUUCCUCGACAACGUCGUCAAGCUGCACGGUGUGCCUGACUCAAUCAUCUCCGACCGUAACAAGAUCUUCACGAGCGCAUUUUGGCGUGAAUAGUUCGCGCUCGUCAGCACAAAGUUGCUCUACACCAUGGUGUACCAUCCACAGACGGAUGGACAGAUCGAGCGUGUCAACCAGUGCUUGGAGCAUUACUUACGUUGUGCUGUUCAUGACACACCACAUCGCUGGAAGCGCUGGCUGCCUAUGGCUGAAUUUUGGUACAAUUCCAGUCAUCACAAUGCCAUCGGGUGCAUGCCAUUCAAGGCUCUCUAUGGCGUGGAACCAAACUUCGGCGCCUUACCCAAUCUUUCACAAUCAAGACAUCGGAGUCCAUUCAGGAGCUGGCCGCCGAGCACCAACAAUCUACUGACAUGCUUAAAGCACAUCUCUUGCGAGUUCAACAAAGGAUGAAGCAUCAUGCCGACCGCAAGCGCACUGAGCGGGAAUUCAGCAUCGGUGAGCAGGUGCUCCUAAAAUUGCAGCCCUACGUGCAGUCCUCUAUUGUCAGCCGGCCAUGCCCCAAGCUUGCUUACAAAUUCUUUGGCCCCUAUAGAAUCAUCAGCCGGGUGGGAUCGAGGGCAUACAAGCUCGAAUUUCCGCCAGAGAGCAAAAUUCACCCUAUUUUUCAUGUUUCGCAGCUGAAGCCAUUCAUGGCGGACUACUCUCCAGUCUUCCAUCAGCUGCCUACGCCACCAGAUCUCACAAUUGGUGACUUGGUGCCUCAAGCCAUCUUGGAGCGUUGUCUGGUCAAGAAGGGAAACGCGGCGAUUCCAUAGGUGCUGGUGCAGUGGCGCACUCUAUCGCCGACCGUGAUGUGGGAGAACUACAACGUCCUCCGACAGCGCUUCCCCGACUUCAAGCUCGACGAGGGGGCUCUGUCCCAAGGAGGGGCAAAUGUCACGCCCUCCUCUCCUCCUGUCACCAGAGAAGAGAAGGCGGACAACGAGGCACUACCAGUGCUACCAGGUGACGAGAAUGACCAGGGCCCACGAGCAGGGAGUGUAGAAUAGUCUUCGUUAGGAGCUAGACUGUGACAGGUGGGGCAAGUGUUGCCCAGGUUAUAUGUAUGGGAGAACGACCAGAGAAGGGGAGCUUGGUAAUUGGGAAUUAUCCAAAACUCUGUAUUCGCUCUCUUGCUGAACAAGUUCCUCCUUCCUCCUUCAUCUACCUCGAUCCCCUUCUCCUUCCAAAUCUCCCUCUACCUCCCCUGGUCCGAUCCAGCGUGGGUCGUGACAAGCAACUUGCAACACAGAGCAGACCAUCUUAUUUCUUUAGAUUAGAGGCCCAAAUUUUUUCACCUAAGUGAUGAGAAGCUAACUCGUGAAAUACUUCAGAUAAAAGCCAACUCAAAUUAGUCCUUCAGACAAAAGCCAACUCAAACUAGUCCUUCAGACAACAGCCAACUCAAACGAGUCCCCUUCAGUCAUUGCAUCUCAAAACAAAAAGAGAAGGGAAACAACACCAGGCAGGAAGUUGUAGCUCGACAUUCGACAUUCAACAUUCAUCAGCUAGGACCAGAUAAAAGUUCAACAUAGUAGGCACUAAUCAGCAAACUAUGCUGUUAAAUUCCUACGAGUCCACCGCACGGUUCACCGGUGCGUGCCAUGUAGUAGAAAGAGGGAGCAUGCCAAAUGGGCACUCCAACAAGCCAUUCCUGCAUCUCAGCCACACCGAACAGAAGAACCUACGCCUCGAUCACAAGCCAUUCCCGCAUGUCCAGAUACCUGCGGAGCAACCAACAUCGUCCUCAGACAAACAACUUUGUACUAUUCCUUGUAUCUGACAAUUUUCGUAUGAUUCAAACACUACAGAUUCGCUUCGCCAUCGUGAAAACUGGACCAAAAGCUCCAAAGUUGAAUCAUCUCAACUACCGGACAAAACCCAAUGGAACAGUUAAUUUCAAGUGGCAUGCCUUUUACUUAUAUUUUUUACCUAAAGCCUUCAGCGUCUGCUGUUCACACAUUCUAAGCCUUUGGCUAUAUCGGAAGCUAAAAGAUCAGUUGUUCAUAUACCUCCAUUUUCGGGAAAUGCAUUAAAUAGAUGCAUUUAGUUGGAACCUAAUAGGUACACUUUUCAGAAAUAGACAAGCUAGAUUGUCAGUAACAAAUCGAAAGUAAUAAAAUUCAUGCAGAAAAACCUCAAGCAAGAUAGUAGCAAAUCGAAUAUACAAGCUAGAUGGUCAAGGGAUUCUUCCAGUCAGGUGCCUUAGCAUGCUGGAGUUUCAGCUUUUUUAGGUCAUAUUUGUUUACAGAGGGAGUACUUCCUUAAGUCCCCGAUUGAUCAAGGCUAAAAUUGACUAUGUAAGUGUUCCACUUAUAUGUUUAACUAAAGAGUCAAGAGUAGCAUAUUCCAUAUCCAUUUGGAGGUGAUAGGGCUUGGUAUGAAGGAUUGCACAUUCAUAACAAUCAUCACAAAGAUUUUAAAGUUCUUUGAUGAUCAAACAACAUCUCUUGGUGAACAACCCGUUAAAGCUAUCAGGGCCAGGGGAAUUUGCUUGACGACACUAUCAACCUCCUAUCCAGAGAAGGGGGUCGAGAGGUAGCCACUCUGUUACCGAAGGUUCUCGAGAUAAUAGCAGCUUUGACUUCAUCAUCGUUGGUUGAAGAGCCCUGACGGUCUGAAAGAGGUUGAACGAGAUUUCUUCCAUAGGCUUUAUUGCCCACCGCAUGAAAGGAUUUCGAGUUUUCAUCUAUGAAGCAGACUCAUCUGAUAGUGGAGCUAUUUUUCUAGUGGAGCUUAAUAUGAUUUUUUUAAUGAUUACUCUAAUGUUGCUUUUUACAGCAGACAUAGGCCUUUGUUCUUCAAGUCGAAUGAUAAGGUUGACGCAAAGUUCCAAUUUGCAAUCAACAAUGAGAGGUGGGAAAGGUUUCUGCUCCAGAUUUGUAAGGCUCUUCUAAUGUUUUCGAAAUUAGAAGAGAUGUGCCUCUGUCAUCUUAGUUUUUGAAAGAGACUCCAAGCUUGUUGGAAUACCUCUACAAAGCCUAGGUGGUCCGGGCACCCCAAAAUUUCUCAAGGUGGAAGAUCUUUGCUUUACGGGCUUUGGUUUGAUUGUACAGAACACAAGGGAUGUAUUCUGAGGUGAAAUUCUUGAAACAAGUUUAACAAUGGUAUUAGGGAAGACCAUAGUCAAGGCAGCCAAGGUUAAAAAAACCAUAUAUUCAUACUUAUUGUUUUGCGAAAAAGUGAAAACAUAAAACCUCCCCAUAGUAUAAGGUAAGCAAUUCUCACUUUGUAUUUAAAUCGAAUAUGUAAAAUUCCGUUACAAAUUGAGGACGAACAACUAUAAUCAGAAUAUUAAUAGUUUGAUACUAUCUCGAAAUUGCACUUGUAAGACUUAAUCUUAAUGUUUUGCAUGUUUUCAAUUUUAAUCUCAAAUAAUUAGUGAGGACGCCCAAAAAUAAAUUAUAGAGAUGUGAAAGAUAAUCUAAUAUAUGAAGUAAGAUUAUUAAAAUAUAUUUCCUUGAGAACAUUAUUGUGAUAUUACGGCUACACUUCUAUUAAAAUUAAAAUCUACCAUGGUAUUAUUUGUUUCCUUAUCUAUCAUGUGGCAACUGACUACAGUAGCCCUUUAUGAUACUCUUCGAUCAUACAAUUGACAGUCCAUAAUUGCAGAAAAUAUCAACAUCUAAAAAAACUAGAGGGAGAUUAAAUAUGUGAGUUAGAGUGAUAAACAAAGAUAUGUUGUUAAAAUGUUUAAGCAAACCACCUACAAGGCUGAGAUUGUACAAUAAUUCAAAGCGAGCACUAGGUAUUACAACAAUCCCAAAUGAACAGCAACGUGAAAUGGCAAUUUAUAUAGGCCCGAGUUAAUAAAUGAAGUUCAAAGCCAAAUGCUCAGGAAUUGUUGGCUAUCAAUUACUUGUGUAGAAACGACAACAUAAAAAUCACACUUGGAUCUUAUCGAUUUGUAGCCACGAAAAUAGCAGGUGCGAUGUUGCAACCAGUAAAAGUAAACAGAAAAUAUCAAGAAGCAAAAGAAGGGAUAUAUUUCAUUCUGCUGCUACUUAAAGAAAAGCUUACUUACUCAAUUAAUACAUCAUAAUAGCAUAUCCAUCUGACCAAUCAUCUUACGUAUUGUGCAAAACUUCAGCUCCAUCAUGUCCACCACCAAUGGCCAUGCCUACAAGGGGGCAUUGCAACCAUUAUUUAUCUCAUCUUGAGAAACAUCUGCACUGCAUCAAUGCACUAAUACUUCCAUUUGGAUAAACUCACAUAUGUAAUUUGAGGAAAACAACUCCCAUUUGAUACAUCAUGACAAGUAGAUAAAUAAAACCCCAUCUACUAUCAAAUAAAGAGAAUAUUCUCGAAACAAUUCAUACCCACUAGUGCCACAAAACUGAAGAACAUGCGCUCUUAGACUAUUAGCUGACCCGAAGGUAGAAGUUACCUAAAAUUAUGCUUAGGCUCGCUCCAUGCCAUAGUGGAUAAAAUAAAAUAUACCCACACUAAUAAACUCUAGCAAUAAAAAGGAUCAUGAUUAUUCAUUUUUAAAAUAUAUUCAACCGGUAAAGAUAAUAAACUCAAUUUGUUGAUUGUCUACCUUGCCACUGUCAGAACAACUGUUUUUAAAAUAUCAAGCCAAAUCGUUAUAGUGGAUUUUAAAAUUAGCAAGACCAAUGAUAACAAAUAUUGAUUGAAUGGAAGCUUCGAAUAUGCCAACUGAUCUACCUAUUUGACAUUUCAUUGGUUCAAGCUAGUUUUUAUUCAUGUAGUUGUCUUUAGUUGCCAGCCGUUAUGUAUCUCAUAUUCUCAUCUUGAGAAGUAUCUGCAAUGGAGCUAUGCACUAAUACUAACAUUGUACAAUUCUGAAUAUGCCAGUAGGCAGGCAACAAUAAAGUGUAAUUCGAUUAUUAUACAAAGAACUGCUGAUCAUUGUGUCAUUGUUUUAUUCUAGGAUGACAACAGAGCAAACAGAUAAUGAAUUUCACACCUCUGACUCAAACCAUAUAAUUCAAUAAUAAGAGUAUGAGAAUAGGGGGGGAAAGCAUUGCUACAUUUUGUUUUGCUUUUUGACAAAGGAGACGCACAACCGGUUUCAACUAAGGGGACUCAAAAUCAUGAUAGAGUAGAAUCGCCUCUCCAGAAAAGCAGAACUGGCUAGCUACCAGUAAAAGAUGUUUUUCCAAAAUCAUAACCAUCACAUAGAACGCCACCUAACAAACAUCCAAAAAGAAAAUGCUAGAACAGCAUAGCUAUAUGUUAAGUAGAUCAUCGAGCAAUAAAAGAAACGAUUUAUAUGAAACUUGUUAGCUUAACACGAAAGGAUGUGAACAACAUUCAAUCAACCAAUUAUAAACAAUAUCUUGGUUUUUUUAUACCUACAAUGUAAAGGCAUAUGCUAUUACCUGCAACAUAGACAUUUUCGAACGAAUGAUAGCGAGCCACGAAGUUGGUUCUGGAAACUUUCUUGAACUGCAGCGACUCAAGCUAGAUCGUGAAGAGGUCGGUAGGUGUCCAUAGGAACACCACACUAUUGUACUCAGCAAACCCCUUUAUGCAUAGGGGCUCUCUCUUCUUCUUCCUUGAACUCAUGAGAAGUAGCUUAUCCAGUUCAACAGUUCUUGCCAGCACCCAUGAAGCAACAUUAUCAGAAUCGGUCUCCAUCUUCCAUAAUUGGGCGCUGAACUUUGACAGAAAGAAAAUACCAAGGCCACCACCGUCUGCCCGCAUAAGCUGGAGUUUGCUAGGAAUGGCAUCCACCGGCACUGGUAACAGAGAUAGGACCUGCCUCUCCAAAUCAAACUCAAGGAUGCCAUUCGAUCUUUCCUUAAUUUUCAUGUCAGAGAGCAACCAGUACAGGGAAUGCCCAACUAGGAUACCGGGAAAUCCCAUACAAAUCACGGAAGUACUAGGAUCCUUGGGUGGAAGCAGUAAUGAGAUGAGAGCACCCCAUCCGCCAAUCUUGGACGAGUAAACACGGGCGAUCGCUGUAUCUCCUUGCUCACUCCUGACACCACAUACCAAAGAAAAAGAAAAAGGAAGCAGUACCAGAAACCAGUCAUCUUUCAGUCACCGCAUCCCAAGGUAAAAGAAAAAGAAAAGUGGUACUAGGCAGGCAAGCAGUUGCAGUUGCAGUUCAACAUUCAACAUUCAUUAGCAAGGGCCAGAUAAAAGUUCAACAUGACAUAAUAGAUGCGGAUUAGCGAAUUACGCGGUUAAAUUCCUACAAGUCCACGCACAGUUAACCAGUGUGUGCUACAUAGUCCGAAGAGGGAGCAAACCACAGAAACACCCAACAAGCCAUUUCCGCAUCUCAUUCUCAGCAACACGGAAUGGAAGAACCUACCUCCCCCAUAAGCCACCUGCACACUUGAUAAUACAUGCGGAGUAAUAAUCAAUGUCUACGAUGGUCAACAAGUUUGUACUGUUAGUAUUCAGGGUGGACACGGUCCAGGCCGGUCCGGUCCCGGUCCAAGCCGCCGUUUGGACGGCCGCCGGCGGUCCGGGCCGGACCAGACCAAGCAGCAUGACGGUCCUGAUUUUAAGGACCGGACCGGCGACAUUGAAGCCCGGGCCGGACCGGCCAACGACCACCGGCGGCGACUUGCACGGGGUGCAGCGGCGAGGUGUGCAACAUGCGCGGUUGCUGUGGCGACGUGGGUGGCAUGCGUGACCGCUGGCGACAAGGUGGGCACUAUGUGCGCUGGGCGGCGCCGCUGUUAUUCCUGAACUGCGACCGCCAUUGUCGUUCCCAACCUUGAACCUGCAACACUAACGCCAUACAUGCACGGGACGUGCCCCGUCUAAACGGGAAAAGAAUUCUAUGCGACCAGGUCUCACGCGAGACUCAUCCUGAUGGAUGACAUGUGGCAUUCACAAAUCACAAAGCAUCUACCCCAUCCCCACUUGAAAUCAGGGGGGGGGGAUAUUAGAUGCUUUGGGAGUUGUAAAUGCCACGUGUCAUUCAUCAGGGCGGGUCUCACCUGCUAACCGUGAGACCUGGUCUCAUAUAAUGUUUUUUCAUCUAAACGGCAUGCACGCAUGGAAGGUGCCCGAUCUAAAUGGCAUGCCCGCACAGGAUCCGGCUUGCCUGCUCCCUCUCUGUACUCCCAUCCGUGCUCCCACUUCAUCCUACGGCUGUUUUUUUUCUUUUUUCUUUCUAAUCUAAUCAUCUCCCCCCUGAUUUUAAGAGGAUGGGACCGGGCCUUAUUUUGUUCCAAUCAAAUCAAGCCACGUAGACGGGAGCACGCAUGGGCACACGACGGGGGAGCAGACAAGUCUCGUCCGCCCGCACAGGACUUGCGGCUUUUCAGUUUUCUCUCUCUCUUUAUUCCUUUGCAUAACAGCCGUGCCUGAUGACCUGAUCUAAACGCCAUCCUCGCAGAGGACGUCGCCGAUGAUGCCCCGAUCUAAAUGGCCUGCGCAUGUUAGUUCCUUAUAGCAGUUUAUCUAGUACACAUGGAAGUAGUAUAGCGCGUGCACGAGCCCACGAUUUUGUCUCAAUUUUGACGUGGAUCUAGUCGUGGGAUAAUGCCAUGAUUAUCGGAUCGCACCCCACCUCUUUUGUUCUUUCUUGUUUUAUGUUCGACAGAAUAAAAGGAAAGGAAACUGGAUUGAGGAGGGGCGCGGCAGUGACACAUGGAGGGGGCGUGGCGUCGCGGAUCUCACUGGCGCCAUAGCAGGGCGUCGCCGGCGCGGCGGCUGGGUGGAAGAAGCAUGUCGCCUUCGGCCCGACCGAGCUGGACCGGGCCAAGGCAUGACCGGACCGAUCAAUUUCUGGUCCACUUCGGUCCACGAGCGGGCCCAACAGACCGCUCGUCCCGUCCAGCCUGAGUUAGUAUCUCACAGUUUUCGUAUGAUUUAAACACCUAACAUUAGCUUCUGCUACUAAAGAAAGGAAGAGAAAGACCAAGUCCUUGCACAGUAGGCCUAGUUUCACCUUCAAGAGAGUAAUUAGCAAGAUCCACCCAAAAGACGGAACUACAGGCUUUACUGGCCGCCGCAUGAAAGGAUUUCAAGUUUACAUCUCCGAAGCGGACUCAUCUGAUAGUGCAACUAUAUUCCCAGUAGAGCUUAAUGUGAUUUUUUAAUGACUCCUCUAAAGUUGCUUUUAUGACUAUGUUCCAAUUUGUAAUAAGCAACGAGAGGCGGGAAAGAUUUAUGCUCCAGAUUUGAAAGGCUCUUCUUUUUUUUAAGAGAAAAGGCCUAAGCCCGACUUUAUAAAUAAAGCCACACGGUAGCGUCACAGACCCGAACAAACCCAAACAUUUAGCAGAACACCGCAAAUCCAGCGAACAAAGAGCCUGGACAGGCGAACAAAGGUUCAAAGAGAUACAUGGCCACCUGUCGUACACGGCGCACAGGACGGAGGGAGAAAGAAGACUACCACCAGACGGACAUAACCGCAGAGAAAGAGAUCAGUCGUUUGAGACCAGCCCUGAGAUGUGGGAUGCCGAAGCCCGAAUUUUGGCGAUGAGCACGUCCAGGGCAUCCCGAUCAUUGUCUUUAGUCAAUAAUCUCCACUGCUGCAAUAGGAUACAAUAUUUGAAAAGAACGUCAGCAGGUUUAGAUGGAAAGGUAUGCUCAAUAGUAAACUUGUUCCUAAUAGUCCAAAGAGCCCAGCAUAAGGCACCCAAGCCAAUCCAGAACACCCUCUUAGUGACCCCAACCAAAACCUUGGAUAGGAUUCUAAGCUCAGAGAAGGACGAGGGAUUCCAAGACACCUGGAGCCAAGACCUGACACAACUCCACACCAACUUAGCCAACACGCAAUGGAAAAAAAUGUGUUCCGAGUUUUCCAGAGCACCAUAGAGGUGACAGAAUUCCGAGCCCGAACCAUUGCGCUUGCGAAUCUGGUCGGCCGCAGGAAGGCGGCCUCUAAAGGCUUGCCAAAGGAAGAUCUUAAUCUUAGGCGGCACUUUGGACUUCCAGACAUUAGAAAAUCUAUUCGAGGGGGUGCCACCGAUAAGCCUAGAGUAAAGCAACUUGACCGAAAACCUGCCAGAGGACGAAUGGGGCCAAACAACAGUAUCCGGCGACUCCGAGAGCACAGGGAAGAUGACAGAGAGGCUUUGCCAGUCUUCCAACUCUUCAGGAGAUAGGGAACGGCGAAAAGCCAGAUCCCAAUUAUUAUCCGCCACCUCUGCGAUGGAAAUGUCCGGCUUAGGACAGUACAAAAACGAAAUCGGGAACCUAACCGCCAGAGGGGUAUCACCACACCACAAAUCCCGCCAGAAAUGAACUGAAGUACCAUUACCCACGAUAAAUUUAACAUGAUCCAAAAAAAUAGGCCUAACUAUGACAAGGUUCUUCCAGAAUUGAGAACCGCGUCUAGCAGAGGCAAACAUGGGGUUAGAGUGAGGGAAAUACUUGGCCUUGAGAAUACAGUACCAAAGAGACUCGGCCCUAGUAGUCAUAAUUUUCCACCACCAUUUAAUUAACAAGCAUUUGUUCAUCAUCAACGUAUUAAUAAUGCCUAACCCCCCAAGGUUUUUAGGCCUACACAUAAGCUGCCACUUGACCAAUCUAUAUUUCCGCUUGUUAUCCGCAGCAUUCCAAUAAAAAGCACCCCUGUGUUUGUCAAAGCCUGCAUGAAUGCCGGCCGAUAGGAGAUAAAAGCCCAUAAGGAACAUAGGAAGGGACGAAAGACAGGAGUUAAUUAAAGCAACCUUGCCAGCGAGUAUUGUAUCUCCCGCGCCAUGGAAGAACCCUGUUUCCCACCUUAGCGACAGCCGGAGCAAAGUCCUUAGCAUGAAGCAUGACAGGAGAAAUUGGAAGGCCCAAAUAUUUGAAGGGAAAGGAACCUAAAGAACAGUUAAGAAGCCUAGCCACACGUAAGGCUUCCGCGUCAUCAACACCAGUAACUAGGACCUCACUCUUGGAGAAGUUAAUCUUCAGGCCAGAGACCGCUUCAAAGUAAAGCAGGAUGAAUUUCAAGUUCACAAUACAAGCAUCAUCCAACUCCACCAUAAUGAUCGUAUCGUCGGCAUACUGCAAGUGAGAGACCCCAUCCGGAAGUAAAUGGGUGACCACCGGACUAAUAUGACCGCACUGGGUCGCCCUAGCGAGGAUGCAAGAGAAGGCAUCGGCCACAAAGUUAAAAAGAGCAGGGGACGCAGGGUCCCCUUGACGGAGGCCUCUGCCAUUGGUGAAAAAUUACUAAUAUGCCCAUUCAUCGAAACGGCAGUAUGGCCACCCGAGACCAACUGCAUGAUACGAUGCACGUAAGCGCCGUCAAAACCUUUCGCGAGCAGGACCUGCUUAAGAAAUGACCAACUAACCGAGUCGUAGGCUUUCUCAAAAUCUAACUUGNNNNNNNNNNNNNNNNNNNNNNNNNNNNNNNNNNNNNNNNNNNNNNNNNNNNNNNNNNNNNNNNNNNNNNNNNNNNNNNNNNNNNNNNNNNNNNNNNNNNNNNNNNNNNNNNNNNNNNNNNNNNNNNNNNNNNNNNNNNNNNNNNNNNNNNNNNNNNNNNNNNNNNNNNNNNNNNNNNNNNNNNNNNNNNNNNNNNNNNNNNNNNNNNNNNNNNNNNNNNNNNNNNNNNNNNNNNNNNNNNNNNNNNNNNNNNNNNNNNNNNNNNNNNNNNNNNNNNNNNNNNNNNNNNNNNNNNNNNNNAAAUAAAAACUUAACCUUUUCCCAAUUUUAGUUCUUAGCAGAUUUUAGCUAUUUUAGGACAAGUCAAGCAAUCAUCGCACAAUUCAAGAAAGCAUGCAAAGAGUAUAUUGGCAGCGGAAAGUAAAGCAUGCAACUUUCAAGAAUGUAAAGGGAAGAGUUUGGAGAAUUCAAACGCAAUUGGAGACACGGAUGUUUUUCCCAUGGUUCAGAUAGGUGGUGCUAUGCUACAUCCACGUUGAUGGAGACUUCAACCCACGAAGGGUAACAGUUGCGCGAGUCCACGGAGGGCUCCACCCACAAAGGGUCCACGAAGAAGCAACCUUGUCUAUCCCACCAUGGCCAUCGCCCACGAAGGACUUGCCUCACUAGCGGUAGAUCUUCACGAAGUAGGCGAUCUCCUUGCCCUUACAAACCCCUUGGUUCAACUCCACAAUCUUGUCGGAGGCUCCCAAGUGACACCUAGCCAAUCUAGGAGACACCACUCUCCAAGAAGUAACAAAUGGUGUGUUGAUGAUGAACUCCUUGCUCUUGUGCUUCAAAUUAUAGUCUCCCCAACACUCAACUCUCUCUCACAGGAUUUGGAUUUGGUGGAAAGAAGAUUUGAGUGGAAAGCAACUUGGGGAAGGCUAGAGAUCAAGAUUCAUAUGGUAGGAAUGGGAUAUCUUGGCCUCAACAGAUGAGUAGGUGGUUCUCUCUUAGAACAUAUGAGUUGGAAGUGUAGAUGUGUUCUGAUGGCUCUCUCCAUGAAUGAAGAGGAGGUGGAGGGGUAUAUAUAGCCUCCACACAAAAUCCAACCGUUACACACAACUUACCAAUCUCGGUGGGACCGAAUCACAAACUCAGUCAGACCGAAAUAGUAAACCUAGUGACCGUUAGAGAUUUUCGGUGGGACUGACAUGCAACUCGGUAGGACCGAUUUUGUUAGGGUUAGGGCAUAACGUAAUCUCGGUGAGACCGAUUACACAAACUCGGUGAGACCAAUUUUGGUAAUUAGCUAACCAGAGUGUUGGUCAGGCAAACUCGGUGGGACCGAUUUGCUCUUUCGGUGAGACCGAAAAGUUACAAAAAGGAAACACUGAAUUUACACUGCAAUCUCGGUGGGACCGAUCCGCUCUUUCUGUGAGACCGAAAAGUUACGAAAAGGAAACGGAGAGUUUGCAGUCCCAUCUCGGUGAGACCGAGAUCCCUAUUGGUAGAACCGAUUUGCUAGGGUUUGGCAAUGGCUAUGACAAGUGAAACUCAGUGGCGCCGGAUUGAAAGAAUCGGUAGGACCGAGUUUGGCUUUGGGUUUAGGUCAAAUGUGGAUAUGAGAAAGUAGCUGAGGGUUUUGGAGCAUAUCACUAAGCACAUGAAGCAAGAGGCUCAUUAAGCAACACCUCAUCCCUCCUUGAUAGUAUUGGCUUUUCCUAAAGACUCAAUGUGAUCUUGGAUCACUAAAAUAUAAAAUGAAGAGUCUUGAGCUUUUGAGCUUGAGCCAAUCCUUUGUCCUUAGCAUUUUGAGGGUUCCACUUUCACCAUCCAUGCCAUGCCAAUCAUUGAGCUUUCCUGAAACACCUCAUCUUGGAAUAGCAUUAGCUCAAAGAGCUAUAUGUUGUUAUGAAUUACCAAAACCACCUAGGGAUAGUUGCACUUUCAAUAUUCCCCUUUUUGGUAAUUGAUGACAACAUAUAGAUCAAAGCUUCGACAAAUGAUAAUAAGAAUGAAAUAUAUCGUUGCUUUGAGAAGUAUGUGAUAAGUAAGAGCUCCCCCUAAAUUUGUGCAUAAUUAAAAUUUGCUUUGGACUGCAAAUGCACAAAGAGUUAGAGUCAUGGGUUACUCUUCCAUGUCACAUACAUCUUGGUGGAGCGCUUAAAAUGAUAAGAAUGAAAUACAUGCACUCAUCACCAAGAAAAGUGAAUGAUCACAUAAGAUAGAUAAGAUAAUAGCAUUCACCAAGCAUUAAGUGUAGCUUAUGAUCAAACACAUGAUCAUCAAUGUCGCACAGAUAACGGCAUAGUAUCUCAAGCACUCAAAAGCAAACAAAGAUUGAAAAACCACCAAAUAAAGCAAGAGAGAAAAAAAACAACACUCUCUCUCUCUCGAAGCCUAUGAUCUAUACAUUUUUCUCCCCCUUUGUCAACAAGUUACCAAAAAGUUCCUAGAAAAUGCAUAGUGUUAGAUCGACUCUCAGGCUUGGUCUUCUGGUGGUGGUGGAGUCUGGAUCACUCCAAGGACGAAGGCUUCUGUAGACGUGGUUGGAGUUGAGGCUGAAGUAGAUGCUGGAGCUGGUGGAACUGAAGCUGUAGCUGGUGCAGAAGUGGUGGCUCUGGUGUCAGCAACUGGCAGUGCGGUCGACCUCUGAGCUCUUGGCACUCUGGCAAAUGCAUCAGUUGUAGUCUUGCCCUUCCUCUCCUGCAUAUCAUCCUGUAAUUGUUCCACUGCAGACUGAAUCUCUGUUACUUUGACAUCCAAGUCAUAGAACUUUUGUUCCAUGAUCCUCUCUAAGCUCUGCUGAUUCUGAGUGAGGGUGGCUAGUCCUUUCUCAAUCCUUAGUGUGGAUGCAAUCAAGUAACUAAGUUGCUCCUGCUUGGUUUUCAAGAAAUACUCAGAUGCCUCCUCUUGAGUUGGCAUCUUGGCAGCUUUCUCCUUCCUUGCCUUCUCCUUCUGUGCUUGUGCUUGAGCUGAUGAUGGUUCAUUCUCAUUCAUCACAACUUGGUUGUCCUCAAAGUCUGGAUGAAUAGGCAAGUGUUCCUUGUCCAGCAAGUAUGUGCUUGUGCCCAUUUUUGAGUUGAUUAGCUCCUGAAUCUGAGGGGCAUAACCACAGCUCCUCUUCUGAUCUGCUGAGUCCUCUUGAUAGUUUCUACUAUGAGGCUCAUGAACUUGAAUUUCCGAGGCACAUCAAAUAUAUGUAGCAAGUUAAUGGCGUGACCUCUGAUCAUUCUGUGAUCUCCAGACUUGGGCAAGAGUGUGUGCCUAAGAAUCCAGUUGAUCGUAGGCAGUCCUGACAACAAGUGUUUUACGGACCCAAGCUUGUGAGUGUCAACAUCAUCUACUGGAAUCUCCUUGUACAUAUUUGCCAUUGAGUUAUGAUCCAUCUUUUUCUUGGCAUAGACAUCCAAGUCAUCCUCAUGCUCCUCUGGGGCAUUGAUGAGCUGUGCCCACUCAGCAAUAGUUGAUUGGUACCUUGUACCUUCAGACAUCCAUAUUAUCCUUCCAUCUGGGUAGAAGUGUGCUGUGGAGUAGAAUUGCAUAAUGAGUUCCUCGUUCCACUUUGUGAGCUUCUUCCCAACAAAGUUUGCAACUUCACAAGCACCAAAAUUGUCAAUCACACCAGGAUAGUGUUCCUCAUUGUCCUUGAUGUACUCCCAAUCAACCCAUCUCAUGUCACAAACUAUGGGCUUCUUAUCAAGUAGCAUUGUCUCAUAUAAAUCUUGCUGUUCCUUGGUGUGAAACCUGUAAUCAAUAGCAGUUCUUCUCCUUGAAGCAUACGGGUCUGCUUCUCUCCACUUCCUCAGCCCUGAGUCUCUUCUGAGCUUCAUGUCCUCAGCCACAGGAUGAGCAUCAUUGUGGUCUGGGAUCUUGGGCUUGAGCUUUCUCAGAACAUGCUCUUCAUCAUCUUCUUCAGCAGAUUCAGGCACUGGGGCCUUGUUCUUUUCAGUUGCAGGUAUGCUCCUUGUAUUCCUCUUGGGUGCUGACUUGGGCUUGGAGGCAGCUUUGGGUGCUUCUUUGGGCUUAGACGUGGCAGCCCCUGAUCUUAUAGCAUCACCCAUAAGCUUAGGUGCCUUUGGUGCUGGUGCAGCAACCUCUUCUUCUUCCUCUUCUUCCAUGAUGGAAGCCUUUCCAAGCACUCUGGCUACGGUCUUCUUGACACUUUCCUUCCUUUUCUUUCCUUCAGCAGCAACUGGCUCUAUGGGUGCAGGCUUUUCAGGAAUCUGAGUUGAAGCUCUGGCCUUUGGCAUAGGCUGCCUACCUGCUGGCCUUUUGAUUUCCAAGCCUGGCUUUGUGCUUUGAGCUGAGCCAUACUCCUUCUUGAUCACAACUAUCUUUGAUGUGGCUUCCUCUUCCUCUGCCACAUAAUCUUCGUCCUUAGAAUCUGAAGUCCUCUUCUUCCUUUGUCUGGUGGCAGCUUUUGGUAAAUUGCUUGGGGUGCUCCUGCUGCCUUCAUCUGAAGAACUGGAGGGACUAGUGCCCUCACUCAUGUGCACCUGCUCUUCUGACAUGUUCUGGCUGUCACUCUGAUCAGACAUGAUGUAAAAGCCGACUACUGACCCUGUGAAGAGUUUAUAGAUGAGGUAGAGUGGAUGAGCAUCACAAAAUGCAAAGAUUUUUGCAAAAGAAUGAUUCAAAAACUUAGUUUUAGUUUCCCAGUGAAAUCAUCUCGGAUCUACCGAUUUUUAAACUCGGUGAUACCGAAGCAGUUUUUGGAACCUAAACUAGUGAACUCGGUCAGACUGAGUCACAGUUCGGUGGCACCGAGACUGCUAGGGUUUCACGAAGUUCCAAAAUCGGUCACACCGAUUAGUAAUUCUCGGUCAGACCGAGUUUCACUUGUGCAAUGGCAUAAGCCAAAUCGGUGGGACCGAGUUUUUCAACUCGGUGGGUCCGAGAUGGUUUUGGCAGAAACCUAACCCUAAAAAUUUCGAAUCAAAACUAAUCUACGAGCGCAUUGACUGGAUAGGAGUGUUUCAAUCAUGGCAAGAAUCAUUAAGAACACAAUGUGCUAGGAAUCGGACGGGGAAUAGCACUGUGAUCGAGUCCAUACCCUAGUUCGGCAGAGACUCGCUACGGCGGCAAUGGCGGGGUUGAAUUCCAUUGACGGCGAUGGAGACCAGCGACUGGAGGCGGCUGGCGGCGAGGAGACGAUCUGGAGACCACGAUGGCAGAGCAAGCUAUCGCGCGGGCGAAGGGGUUCGGAGAAAGUUCCAAAUUUUUACCCGUGACUAUAUAUAGCCCGACCCUGUCGGUGUGACCAAGUGGAACAACUCGGUGGCAUCGAGAUGCAAAACUGUAUACAGUUAUUGCAACUCGGUGUGACCGAAUGGUUCAAAUCGGUUGCACCAAGAUCGAAAAUUCAGAUCAACUUAAUGAUCUCGGUAGGACGGAAAGUAGGAUAUCGGUCAGAUCGAGAAUCACAAAGAGGUUUUGGAAGUUUAAGUCUAUGACAAAUCGGGGACUCCGAGUGCUCCUCACACAGAGUGGUUCGAAUCUGACUUGAUCAAAUUUUGUGAUGUAGCAUGAAUAGAGUUUGAGACGAGAAAAGCAUAGCUAUCUAGAGGAGGUUCUUAGGCAUUCUUGUCCAUCCACUUGGCAAAAGGAGAUAAAACUAAACAAUCAAAACAACAAGUGGAUGUCCUCAAAUGAGUAAAAUAUGCAACCAACAUGUUCACACAAUAAAAUGGCAAUGGAAAUAUAUGACAAAGCCAUGCACAACCAAUUCUAGCAUCUAUCAAGCAAUUGGUGAUGACUAGGUCAUCUAUAUAUGAGUAUAUUGACUUAGGAGUCAAGUGAGAACACUUGAUCAUAGGUCAUACUCAUCGUUUAAGCUCAAGUUGGGUUACCACUUUUACAUAAAGCAUUGUUGUGUUCACAUCUUUAGAGUUGCUUUAGCUCAAGUCUUAGAGUAAAGCUCCCCCUAGAUGUGAUAUCCCCCCUAAGAGGGAUGAACUAACCUUGGGUUUUGUCGAUGAUGACUUCAUGUAGAUGUUGAAGAUGUGGAUGCUCAAUGUUAAUGUAGAUCACUUGGAGCUAUCCAUUUGAGUGAAUUUCACUUUCAAUACCUACAUGGGUUAGUCCCACAAGGAACAAACAAGGAUAUCCAUAGACAUAGAGUGAUGCACACACAAGAUGAUGUCCAUGAAAACUUUAGGUUACCUUGUCCCUUGUCUUACCAACAAGAGGGUUUGUGACUCCUUGAACUAGUGCAAGAUGUGGAAGUUGAUUGCACUUGUUCUUGCCAAAAUGAUAAGAGUGAAGUAUGUUGGCGGAGUCACCCUCAAGAACUCUCUAGUUCUUCUUCUUUUGGAUCCACACCAUCUUGAUGGGAAUCCUUGGAGUUGUAGUCGUACUUGAUGAAGUGGAACUUGAAGUGGUCUUGGGAAUCCACUUGACUAAGGUUUUAGGAGCUUCUUCAAAUGCAUCAAUUUCCUCUUGAAGCUUGUCCUUGCCUUUUUGCUUGUAGUCUUGUGGUGGAAGAUCAUCUUGAGCUUGUGUUCCCUUGAAGGAAGUGUCAUACUUCUCUUGUUGAGGAACAAACUUUGUCUUGGGGUAUUGAUCUUCUUCCCACUCAACUCCAUUGGCAUUGAAAUUUCGUUCAAAACCAACACCUUGAUUCUUCCGGUGCAUUCCUUGCUUGCGCACAAUUUCCUCGAAUUGCUUACUCCCGGCAAGGCUUUUGUACACUCCUUUCUCUAUAAUUCCCUUCAAUAAGCUAUUUUCUUGCUCAAGUGUAACUUGGCUAAGAGAAUCAUUAGUGGAAUCAAGAGAACUACUAGAAGCAACAAUAUUGGAUUUAGCAUGAUCAUUGUUACUACUAGAGGAAGAAUCUUCACUACUAGAAAAAGGGCUAUAGAUGGGAUUGACACUAAUGGCGCACCAGAAAAGCGGUGCGCCAUUAGUAUAUACUAAUGGUGCACCACCUUCUGAUACGCCAUUAGAGUUGAAACUACUAAUGGCGCACCUCGCCCAGGGUGCGCCAUUAGUAUCAAUUUUUUUUGAACUAGUGCGCCUGUCCAAACAUACUAAUGGCGCAUCCAGACACAGUGCGCCAUUACUAGUUGUAACUAGUAAUGGCGCACCUGUCGAAAAGUGCGCCACUAAUGUUGUUUUUUUAUUAUAUUUUUAUAUAGUAAUGGCGCACUGUGGGACAGUGCGCCAUUAGUAUGUUUUUUUUGCAAAACUACUAAUGGCGCACCACCAGAAGGUGCGCCAUUACUAACCUGGAUUACUAAUGGUGCAUUUAGAGUUGGUGCACCAUUAGUAAGUGGGCAGCAACAAGAUAUUUUGGACAGCCUCUCCUACCCACACUCACUUUCUCCCCACUUCAUUCUCUCCACCUCCUCCUUGUCUCGUGGUGUUGCAUAUGUGUUUGUGUUUGGAGGUGUACCGGUAUUUGAAAUGCGAUAGUUGCCAAUAUUUUGCCGGAAUGUUGAUUCAUUUCCGUUUCGGCGAGAAUUUUGGCAUUAAGCAUUCUUUUUGGUCCUAUUUUUAGGGAAAGUCAUGCCAAAUUUUUUCUUGGUUCUAAAAUAUCGUUUUGCUCUACCCCGCAGGCGACCAUGGUCCGCACGAUGACCGAAGGCAUCAUGAAUAGGUUUUUGAGGUCCACGAAGGCCGAGAUGCUUCAAAAGAACGAGACGGAGAUAAGAUGUCCAUGUCGAAGAUGCAAGCUGAAGAGCCUUAUUGCGGACCCGGAUUCCGGGCAGGUGCGGGACCACCUGCUCUUGCGUGGUUUCAUGGAUGGCUAUCGGUGGCAAGGUGAUGAAGAUGACUACGAAGUCGUCCAUGGGGGCCGGGCAAGAAAUGAGGAAGGGUAGCAAGACAACCACCGCGGCUCGGGCAGGCGAGAAGACGAAGAAUCCCCAGGAGAUGAUCACGACGAUGAUGAUGUACACAGUCAUCAUGUAGAAGAUGCAGGACAUGAUGAUGAGGAAGAUGUCGGAGCAGACGACGGGCAUGAUCAUAAAGAUGAUGAUGCCAGCGGAGCAGACGACGCUGGACCAUCGAUGGGCUGGGUGCAGGACCCUCAUAUUCAAGAGCUGCUUCUCAAGCAGACGGAUAACACAAGAGCUGCCGCCCGAGAGAAAGCCAAGAUGGAUCAACUUGAGUUAGACGCGGUUACUCCAUUGUAUGAAGGAUGCAGGCCCGAGGAUACCCGCCUGAAAGUAACGCUCAUGGCUCUGGAGAUGAAGGUAAAACACAAAAUGACCGACGCAUGCUUCGACGAGAACAUGUCAUUCUGGCAAGAACAUCUUCCCAAGGGGAACAAGUGCCCGACCAGUUUGGAGGAGGCGAAGAAAAUUGUGUGUCCUCUGGAUUUACCGCACGUGAAAUACCAUGUGUGCAUGAACAAUUGCAUCAUUUAUCGGGACGAGCACGCGGAGUCUACCAUAUGUCUGGUGUGCGGCGUCACUCGAUACAAGAAGAGGAAGAAAGCUCCUCGAAAAGUGGUGUUGUACUUUCCGAUCACUCCUCGUCUGCAGUGGUAUUUCGCGGACCCUAAGGUAGCAAAGCUCCUGCGUUGGCACGCGGAUAGGGAGGAGAAGAAGCGAGAAGAUGACGCAAAUGAUCCGGAGAUAGAUAAAAAAGACAAGAUGCUGAAUCACCAUAAGGAUGCGAGCCAGUGGCAAGCGUUGAACUUCGAAGACCCAGAAUUUGGGAACGAUCCAAGGCACAUCGUGCUGGGCGCGAGCACCGAUGGAUUCAAUCCGUUUGGAAGCCAGAGAAGCACACAUAGCACCUGGCCUGUGUUUGUGUUGAUGUACAACCUUCCCCCCUGGUUGUGCAUGAAGAGGAAGUACAUUCACAUGAGUAUGCUAAUUGAAGGACCGAAACAACCAGGGAACGACAUCAAUCUGUAUCUGGGGCUGCUAAAAGAGGAGCUUGACACACUGUGGAAAACGCCAGCCAAUACGUGGGACGCCGCAGAGAAAGAAUAUUUCCCUAUGAGAGCCGCGCUGCUCACGACGGUGCACGACUAUCUCGGUUACGGAUAUGUCGCGGGGCAGGUGGUCCACGGAUUUUCUGGAUGCGUCAGGUGCAUGGAUGACACAAUGUAUCGCCAACUAGAUAGAGAUCCCGGGUCUUCGAAAACCGUGUUCAUGGGACAUUGAAGGUGGCUUCGCGACGAUGACCCGUGGAGAAAACGCAAGGAUCUGUUUGAUGGUGAAACCGAACCUCGAGGACGCCCGCGUACGAGGAGCGGCGAGGAAAUAGACGAGCUGUUGAAAAAUUGGAAAGACUGCCCACUGCCAGGAAAGAAGCAAAAGGCGCCAGAGCCGGGAAAGAAGCGAAAGGUGCCAGAGCCGCUGCUGAAGGUAUGGAAAACGAGGUCUGUUUUCUGGGACUUGCCGUACUGGAAGAUCCACCGUGUGGCUCACAGCCUUGAUGUCAUGCAUACCACGAAGAACGUGUGCGAGAGUCUGCUUGGUACCCUGCUCAACAUGCCAGAGAGGACCAAAGAUGGGCCGAAAGCAAGGGCAGACUUGAAAUCAAUGGGCAUCACGCAGGAGCUUCACGCUAUAUAUGAUGAUGAUGAGGCGAAGCAGGACACGGAAAGUCGUCGCAAAGGCAAAAAGGCCAAGAAGACCGGAAAUGACUACCCUCCCGCGUGCUUCACUCUAAGCCAGGAGGAGAUCGAGCAGUUUUUCACCUGCCUCGUAGGAGUAAAACUUCCUUACGGUUACGCGGGGAAGAUAAGCAGAUACCUAGACCCAGCGAAGCUGAAGUUCAGCGGGAUGAAGUCUCACGACUGUCACGUGCUGAUGACGCAGAUACUUCCCGUUGCAAUCCGUGGGAUCAUGGACGCGCACGUCCGUGAAACCCUAUUUGGCCUAUGCAACUUUUUCGACGUCAUCUCUCAGAAGUCUGUUGGCGUGAGGCAACUCAGAAGGCUACAGGAAGAGAUCAUGGUGAUACUAUGCGAGCUUGAGAUGUACUUCCCUCCCGCAUUCUUCGACGUUAUGGUGCAUCUACUGGUCCAUAUCGUGGACAAUAUCAUCCAACUUGGGCCGACGUUCCUCCACAGCAUGAUGCCGUUCGAAAGGAUGAAUGGUGUCAUCAAAGGAUACGUUCGCAACAUGUCACGUCCAAAGGGAAGCAUAGCCAGGGGCUUUCUGACCGAAGAGUGCAUCUCCUACUGCAUGAAUUAUUUAGGCAUCGAGAACCCCGUUGGUCUGCCCGUCAACAAGCACCUCGGCAGGCUCGCUGGAUGGGGUCACCAUGAGGGUCGCCGCGAAAUGCAUGUCGACUUCGAGGGUCGACUCACCGACUUUGAAAGAGCAAACCUAGUCGCGCUACAACACAUAGACGUGGUCGAUCCUUGGGUGGUAGAGCACAAAACCUUUAUUAAGAAGACGUACAAUGACCGAGGCCAACAGAGGACGGACGGAGAUAUACUCAAAGAGCACAACUCAUGUUUCACGCGUUGGUUCAAGCAGAAGCUUCUGUCGUACCCUUUACAUGAGGAUUCUUCCGCGGAAGAACAACUCAUAUUCGCCUUGUCACAGGGCGCCGAGCACAACCUGAUGACCUAUGAGGCAUACGAUAUCAACGGCUACACAUUCUACACCGAGGCCAAGGACAUGAAGAGCGAUGGUUAUCAGAACUCCGGGGUAACGAUGGAAUCCUACACCGGUAACGACAAGGACAAAUACUACGGAAGAAUCGAGGAGAUCUGGGAGCUGAGCUACGCUGGAGAGAAGGUCCCGAUGUUCCGUGUCAGAUGGGCCAAGAGCGUCCUAAAAGAAGACCGGUAUUUCACCACCAUGGUUAUACCCGAAGCCAAAUCCAAGACCGCGGGCAUACACCAUGGAUCGAACAUGACGACGAUGAUGGAGUAGCAGCAUACACCACAAGAAGAAGCAGGACCACCCUACCUAAAGGAUGUCCGUUCCACAGAAGAACUCCAUUUGCGAAAAAGAAGGGCAAGAAGAUUGUGAACAGAUAGCUAGCUAAGAUCGAUUGUAUUUAAAUCAUAGCCUUAAUUUCUAGAUUGUAUUUCAUGGGCACUUUUUGAACUAUCAUGAAUAUUUUUAAAUUUCAUGGACACUCGAUCUCGAUCCCCCUCCAUCUUGAUCGCUAUCCCACCUUGCCAGAUCCGGUCCCCCUCGCCGCCGAGCACCCCCCGGUCCACCGACCGCCGCUGCCGACCCCCCGCACCCUCGAUUCCCCUACUCAACCGCCGCCGNNNNNNNNNNNNNNNNNNNNNNNNNNNNNNNNNNNNNNNNNNNNNNNNNNNNNNNNNNNNNNNNNNACCCCUCCCCUACUCAACCGCCGCCGCCGACCCCCCGCACCCCGCGCACCCUCCCCCGCUCCACCGGCAUUACUGUUUGAUGAUAUUUAAAAAAAAAUUAUUACUGUCUUAUUAAAAAAUUAUUACUGUUAUGAUUUAAACAAGUUUGAACAUAUUUAAACACAAAUAAGUAUCAAACAACAUUUUAAAUGCAUAAAAAAAUUGUGGAGCCUGGGAAUCGAACCCAAGACCUCUUGGUGUGAGAACUGGCUGCAGCAAAAAAAAAUACUAAUGGCGCACCAGGGUGAGGUGCGCCAUUAGUAUGGAUGUACUUAUGGCGCACCGAGGGGUGGUGUGCCAUUAGUAUUGCGCCGCCCCCAUCCGUAUUUCCUCCCCGGCCCAAACCUAUCCCCUCUAUCUCCCUCGCCCUCGCCCUCGACCCCCUUCCCCUCUCCUCUCCCGACGCCGCUGCCCAGCCGCCUCGACGCCGCCCCGACGCCGCGACGCCGCCCCGUCGUCCUCGUUUCCUCCCAAACGCGAUCUGGAUCGGGGCGCCUUGCCCCUGCGCCCAUCGCCGGUGCCCCGUCGUCCCUGUCGCCCGUCUCCAACCACCGCCGCCCGAGGCCCCGACGUCGGCGCCGCUCUCCUCGUUGCCCCACCUCGUUGGACGCCAUCGCCCCGCCACCCUCGUCGCCGGCGGCCCGGACGCCGCCCCGUCCACACCACCAUCGCCGGAGCACCACCACCACCCGGACCUCGUCGCCUCCUCCCCUACAUUGUCGUCGUCCCCGACAUCCUCCUCGCGCCCCACUGCCCUAUCCCUACGGCCCCCGUGAGCUCCCCCUCCUCCUCUCCCCCUCUCCCCCUCGCGCGCACACUACAUGAAUACAGAAAUUUCGUUGACAGUUACUUACCAUGGGUGUAGUCAUCAUUUUGUUUUCUGAUUAACCGAUGUUGCUAGCGAUGUACUGGGUUCUGCAUUGUGGGGGAGAAAGCUUUCAAAUUGGCUUGUAUGUACAUGAUGAUUUUCAAGGGACAUUUAGCCUAGUUACAAAUUGGUGCUUACAAUACAUGCUUGUAUGUUCAUCGACUGCUCAGGAAUCAGUUGCAGUUACCUUGUGUGAUGUUAUUUGGGUCCUGCAUUGCAGUACAAGGCUCCAAAUUUGGCUUGUACGUACAUGCAGAUUUUCAAGCGACAUGUAUUAGCUUAUGUUGUUGUUUAAGCUGUGUGUGUGCUUAUUUAUUCAGAAUCAGUUGCAGUAGCCAUCUGUAUGUAUACCCAUCAUCUGUCUGUGUUGUUGUUUAAACUAAGCGUUGUGGCCAUGCUUGAUGCAGGAGCUCAAGAACCUGCGGCCGCAGCUCUACUCCGCCUCCGAGUACUGCAAGAAGUCCUACCUCAGCACCCACCAGAAGUAGAUGUGAGUAGCCACCUCAGCUGUUCCUCCUCUCCUCCAUUAGACCAGUUGAUCAGUGUAAAGUAGUCUGAGUUAGAGAAAUGUUGAUCAGUGUUAUGAGUUUUGGCCAAAAAGCUCUGUCAGUAGCUAACUGCCUCAUGUUCUGCUCUGUGAACUGCUAUGUGGUGCUGCUCAUGGAUGAUGGUAGGAAUUUAUGCAAAUAUUCAGAGACACAAAAUAUUGAAGUUGUUGUAACUGAUUACUUUCCCAAGUGAGAAAAAUACAUUCUAUUCUACCUAUUUCAAACUCAGUGAUUGUUGCAGCCAAGAAAUGCCUAGCCAAUGUUAAAUGGUCCUAUAAAUGACAGUACCCUAACAACUAUUCUGCUCAUGAUCUUAUUUUUAUUUCUUUGAUGAAAGUUGGUUCUUUUCUUCCCAAGUUCACAAAAAAUCUUUUACAUUUCUAGUGGUUGCCAAAAGCAUAAUAUGACCCGGACAAACAUAAACUUUGAGGCUGAAAGGAAAUCAAGUAAUGAACCACAUAGGAAUAGAAGGUAAACAAACUAUGCUAGUUGAGAAUGUACCUCAGGAGUCGAUCAGAAGUGCGGCGUCUCAAUAUUUCCUGAAAACCCAUAUUGGCUAGGAUAAUUUGCUUUUAUUACCUUAUUUACACCAAGUUUUAGUUAAACAAUGAUACUUGAAUAAUUUUGUGCUAUUUCUGUUAUGGUUUUGUGGACAGUAUUUGACCUUAUGGUAACUAGUUGGGGUCAGGUUUUGGGGUUUUGAUUAUUGGUAUGAAGUACUGACAGAGGAUCUUAUUCACACCAAGUUUUAGUUAAACACUGGUACUUGAAUGAUUUUGUGCUACUUCUAUUGACAGAGAAUGGCAUGUUAAUACCAUAUAGGUACCCAAAUAAUGUUGCUAUGAUGUAUUGGGGGAGAAAUGGUCCAGUAUUGCUUGUAGUGGUUUGUCCAAAAUGUUGAAUGAUACUGCUUGGAGAUGCAUAUAUUGUUUCACCUCUUCACAUGCCAAUGUAUUUUCCAUGUUGUGAUGGAGGCCUUUUUUGCCUUGUCCACCCGAGAGUCCCUUGAGUUUGCUGGAAUGUCGAUUGACUUCUGUUCCGGCAAAUUCGGGUACUCCAUAUGUCCUAUUUUUAGCAAAGGUCAUGCUGAAAUUUUCCGUGAAUUUUAGCAUGACUUUGCUAAAAAUAGGACAUAUGGGGUACUUGUGACUAAUGCAUGGGCUGGGGUAUCUUAGUAGUUAAUUAAGUAGGAUCAAGUGCCCCGGCAUACUUGUGACUAAUGCAUGGCUUUUAGGGUGCCUCGGUGUCGAUAAAAACCGAAAUGAUGAAAGCUUAGGCUUUUAGGGUGCCUCGGCGUCGUAAAACCCUCAAUGAUAAAAGCUUAGCUUUUAGGAUGCCUCGGUGUCGACAAACCCUAAAUGAUGAGACCAUGAUCUUGUUCCUUGACAAUAACCAACUUUUUGACCAAACUUUGUUCCUAUUUAUAGAGAAACAUGGACAACAACGAUGAGGCCGGGGGUUCGGGCGGCAAGGCAUUCUGGGAGCUGUGCCAGGAGAUGGAGGAACAACCUCACUUGUAUGAGGACGCCACCUUCCCCACCGAUCCUGAGACCACUGAUGGUACCGCCGAGGAUGACCCCACUGAUGCCACCACUGAUGGUGCCGCCGAGGAUGCCACCACUAAUGAUGGCGGCGCACACACAGAUGGCAGCCAACCGAAGAUGCAACGGAAGGACCGGCGCCCGACCGUGCUCCGCACCCUCAAGGAGGAAGUUACUGAAGUGGACUCCGACGGGAAUCCAACGGCGCCCGAACGAAUAGUCAAGGGGUACUCGCUUCAGCUCGGGUGCAUUCUUCGGAGCACCAUCUCGAUCAACCCCGAGAACCUGAGGCACCCUGACCGAGGGAAUUUGCGCAACCUCCUCUUCACGAAGCUGCACGAAUGAUACAAGUUCCCCGCUGAAUUUGAAAACACAAGCCUCAAAGGGAAUAAAGUGAACAAUGCUGCCCUCACGAAGAUGAGCAAGGCCCUGUCUACUUGGAAAAGCAAUGUGAAGAGAAUGAUCGAGAAAGGUGAGAGUUAUGAGAAGAUCAAGGAGAAAAAUCCUUCGAUCACUGAAGAUGACUACAACGACUUCAAGAUCAAUUGCUCGAGCACCGCAAACUCCGAAUCAAGUAAGUUGUGGAAAGAAAUGCGGGAGCUGAACUUAGGGGAACACACACUCGGUCCCGGCGGUUACAGAAUGGCGGAGCCUAUAUGGGACAAGGAGGAGGCGGACCGUGCCGAGCAAGGCCUACCGCCCCUCUUCGAUAAAUACGGUGACAAGCAGACCAGGAACUUUGUCAGGGCCCGGUACAAGAAGGACCCGAAAACAAAGGAGCUUACCACGGAUCCGAAGACCAGGGCGCUUGAGCUUGUUCUGGUAAGGAAUACACCCCCGCAUAAUUAGCUCCAUAUGGUUGCAUUCUAAUUAAUGAAGCCAAAUUUCUAAAUGGUUCACAUUCCUUCCGCAGGAGACUGAAAGCAGUAGCGCGGGGUCGACUAAGAGCAACCCUUGGGACACCACUCUAAAUAGGGCGUUGAAUGUAAUGAAGAACAAGGAUAAGCUCAUGUAACGCCCCGAGACCGAUGUGCCAGGUGUCGUUCAGUUAUUUGCUGGUGUUGCCUUGUCAUUGCUUGCGUGUCAUGCAUUGCAUAUCAUGUCAUCAUGUGCAUUUCAUUUGCAUACAUGUUCGUCUCAUGCAUCCGAGCAUUUUCCCCGUUGUCCGUUUUGCAUUCCGGCGCUUCGUUCUCCUCCGGUGAUCAUUUCUACCUUUCUUUCUUGUGUGGGGAUUAAACAUUUCCGGAUUGGACCGAGACUUGUCAAGCGGCCUUGGUUUACUACUGGUAGACCACCUGUCAAGUUUCAUAUCAUUUGGACUUCGUUUGAUACUCCAAUGGUUAACCGUGGGACCGAGAAGGCCUCAUGUGUGUUGCAGCCCAACACCCUUCCAUUUUGGCCCAAAAACCCACCUAACUCUGCAUUGAUGGGAAGCCUCUCCAUUCUUUUCCUUCAAUAUUCUUAUCCGGGGAUUCUCAUGAAGAUUCUAAUGGAGCUUCUAGUUCGUCACUCUUUUUUUCUUCUCCGGUGGAUUCAAAUCAAGAUUUUGGUGUUUGAUCAUAUCCUUCCCUCGUUUCAAUGUUUUCUUAUGCCGGUGCACCUCUUAAUCAUUCACUUCUCACUAUUCAUUUGUUCCGGCAUGCUCAAGCUUUCUCUAAAGGCUUGCCUUGUCAUUCAAGAUCCGUUCAACCUAUUUCGAGGUGUUAUCUCUUUCUAGCCAUUUAAUCGUACCGGUUCAUUCUCUCUUUUAAAUUGUUCUAGGGUGUUUCUUUUGAGUGGGCCCUAACCCACAGGUCUUUCCCCAGGAUCUUACCUGACUCUUCUUAUUUUCCCGGAGCUAUCCAAAUUCCUUUUAAAGUUUGACGUAAGAAUGAUUUAUCAUCAGUCAAAUGUCUUCUCAAGAUCUUCCAAAUUCUUUUCAUUGUUGGCUCAACCUCUUCAUUUUGAUUCUUCCGGAGUGUCUAAAUUAUUCAUGGUGGUGUUUUCUCUUCGUCAUUCUCAACAUUUGAAGACUGAAGAAGAGUUUCUCUUUAAUCUUGCUCCAUUCUCUUCAAGAUUCAUGGUUCAAGCUUGAUACCAUCCUCUCAUAAUUGUUUCGAUUAUGAGAAUUCUUUUCACCUAUCCGGAGUAAUUCAGGAGUCUUUUCAGUUUGAUUAUUCGGAGCUCAUCAUUUCAUAAGACUUGUUCAUUCUCAGCUUUCAGCCAUUGUUCUCCAAAUCUUACCGGUGCAUCAGUCAAGUAUCCUCUAAUCAGUUCUUGAUCUCUUCGUUGUGAUGUAUCUAAAUCCCCUCAAGCUUCUUCGUGCAUUUGCUAAUUCUUCCCGGUGUUUUCUUUAUCUUUUCUUCAAUCAUUUUCAAUUCUUACGGUGGUUCGUUCAAGAUUUCUUCUUCUUUCUUAUCAUAUCAAUUUAUUCGUUGUUUCAACCCUUUCGGUGGUUCGUUCAAUACCUUCUCGAGUUUAUGUUAUAUCUCUCUUAAUCCUUGAUACGAGAAUAAGUGAUAUGCCAAAUCUGUUGAUUGUCAUCAAUUUAAAAUGUUGAAGGAUAUGCAUAACAUAAUUCUUAUUCUUGUUUCAUCCAAGCGAUUAAUUCCCUAUUCCGGAGGUUCAUCAAAAUUCUUGAUUUCUUUUGUUCAUCUUUCCUUUCCGGAGCUCCAAGUUAUUUCAAUUAUAUCACCAGGAGAUUCAUCUAAAUCGUCGCAAGGCUUCGCUUGUGUUUUCAACUUCUCUUUCCAUUUUGAUCAUUCUUUUAUUACCGGAGUUCUUCAUGAAGGUUCUACAUGAUGAUUCAUCAAGGAUUUUAAUUCCUUCUCAAAGUUUUCAUCGAGAUUCUUUUAAGAAGCUCAAGCUUUCUUCAUAUUGUAACCCGGAGUGCAAUUCUUUCUUCCGUAUCAUUGGAGGUGGUAUUAUGCCAUUCUUGAUAUUUUGAAUUCAUGUUUCAUGAUCCAUAUGUUAUCAUGAAUGAGAUAUUUUAAAUCCAUCAACCUCUUCGUUGGAGUUAUCUUGGGUUAUAUUUCACCUAAAGCCUUCCCUAUGGCUUGUUGCUAUCUAUGUUGGUUAUAAAUGACCCAAGUUAUUCAUCUAUCCUCCCGGUGAAUUAAGCUUCUCAUCUCCUUGUUGUUAUCUAUCUAAUAUAUCGUUUCUGUUAGUGGCAGAAUUUCACCUCAUGGUUUUGAGAUGUUUUCCAUAAGCCCACUACAAACUUAUUAUUUUCGUUGUUGGUUUUCCAACAACUCCGUUCUAGCUUUUGUUGUAAGCGUGCUCCCUCGAGUUCUGUUUCCCUUCGUUCAUCCCAUUCCAUUCUUACUUUUGUUCCGGAGGCAUUAUGAUGUUGCUCUCUUCGAACCAUCAUCUUGUUUUGUCUAGUUCAUGUUGAAUUCUUUCCAUUUACAGUCGGAGUGCUACUCAAAUUACAUCAUUAUUAUUCCUUCCCUAUUUUGUUUUAACCGGAGUCUUGUGUCUAUCAUUCCUCUUCUAACCGGAGUCUCAUCCAAGUGCUUUCAUCUUGCCAAGUUCAUAUUCUUACCUUCCAUUUCCAACCGGAGUGUUGUCGUAAUUGAUCCUUAUCGUUCCUUGUACAUCUCGUUUCAACCGGAGUGCUUGCUUAUACUUCUUGUCCAUUGCAAUCCCUUUUCUUAUGUCUUUCAACCUACAAGGUUCUAGUAAUGUUCCUUGUUUCUCUUUUCUAACGGAGUGCUCUCCAAUUCGUUCAACUCUGUUGUGUUCUUUCUUCCUUUCAAUUUGUUCAACCUCUCAAGGUUCCUGGUUUCACUCGUUUGUCAAAGAAGCAACUUAGUUUUACCUCUUCUUUUUCUCUUCCGUUUUCCCUCCGGUGCCAUUCUAGAUCUCGGGACGAGAUCCUCUCAUAGUGGUGGAGUGUUGUAACGCCCCGAGACCGAUGUGCCAGGUAUCGUUCAGUUAUUCGCUGGUGUUGCCUUGUCAUUGCUUGCGUGUCAUGCAUUGCAUAUCAUGUCAUCAUGUGCAUUUCAUUUGCAUACGUGUUCGUCUCAUGCAUCCGAGCAUUUUCCCCGUUGUCCGUUUUGCAUUCCGGCGCCUCGUUCUCCUCCGGUGAUCAUUUCUACCGUUCUUUCUUGUGUGGGGAUUAAACAUUUCCGGAUUGGACCGAGACUUGUCAAGCGGCCUUGGUUUACUACCGGUAGACCGCCUGUCAAGUUUCGUAUCAUUUGGACUUCGUUUGAUACUCCAACGGUUAACCGAGGGACCGAGAAGGCCUCGUGUGUGUUGCAGCCCAACACCCUUCCAUUUUGGCCCAAAAACCCACCUAACUCUGCUCCAUCAUCUCGGUCGCUCGAUCACGAUCGCGUGGCCGAAAACCGCACCUCAUUUGGACUCUCCUAGCUCCACUUAUGCCUAUAAAUAGCCCCUCCCCGAAAUUUCGGAUCAUUUCGUGGAUGAACCCUAGAUCCACUCCUCCCCGCGCCGCCGGACUUGUCCGUCCCGCCGUUGGACGUGUCCAGCGCCGCUGCCUCGUCAUCCCGACCAAUCAGAGGCCGACACCUCAGCCGGCCACCUCCCUCGUCCAACCCGCGCGCGCCACAUGGCACCGCGCCACCCCACUUCGCCGCCAGCCCGCGGGACCCAGAUCGGGCCCGCGCGAGCCCAUCUCAUCGCCGCCGCCUACCCGCGGUCUCCCGCUCGUGCCACGCCGCCUCAGGAGUUGCGCCACCGCAGAUCCCCAUCGCCGGCCGCCGCGCCUCCCCGACGCCGGCAACCCUCGCCGGUGACCCUCACAGUUCACUGCCGCGCGUCCUCCCUCGACUUCAAGUUCGCCGCCCACCUGCCGAAGUCCUCCGCCCUGCGGUCGCCCGGAUCCGGCGCUGGCCGAUCGGAUCUCGCCUGACGACGCUUCUCUCCAAGUUCGCCGCCGGCCAUCGUCGCCAUGGGCGCCACCGUCGCCCUGCCUCGAUCCGACCGGGUCGCUCCGCGUCAGUCCCCGUGGGCCGUGUCCUGCGCGAGGCCCAGUGCCAGCCCCUCCUCUCCGCUGGGCCGCCGUGCCAGAUCCGGCCCAGCCCCGCAGCCCCAAGCCGGCCUGCCUCCUCCUCUCUACUACCGGGCCAGGCCCAGGGUGAGCCAACCCCAGCGCCCGCUCCUCUAUUUUUUUCUCCUCACUGUUGGGCCUACCUUUGAUUCGGCCCAUGAUGUGUUUUUCAGCGCCUGGGAUUUUUCCUAUUAUUCCUAAGACAGCAGUUUUGCAGAAAAGUCCUCCUAGUUCGUGCAUUUAAUAACUCACUAACCAUGCAUUGGAUUAAAAUGAUUUAUAUAUGAAACUUGCUCAGAAUUUUGUGUAGAUUAAUAAUAUCCAACUUUCAUCUAUGUUUGAAAUGUUUGAAAUGCUGUUUGAUUAGAUUUGCUCCUAUGCCAUGUUAAAAUGAUUUAAUUCAUAACUAAAUAACCGUAACUCCGAUUUUAAUAAAUUAUAUAUGUAAAUGGGGUAGGAUUUUGCCUAGUUUAACAUGGUGCGCUCAUCUUGCAUGUUUAACAACUCUAAAAUAAUGUUUAGGGCAGAACAAUACCAAAUCUAUAAUAUGUUCAUGAGGAGUUUCUGGAAUUGUUGUUCGUUGCUUCCGGCCUCAUUUAAACUUGCCUAGAUAGGUAGUUUUGUUGUGCUUAACCUCUUGCCAUGUUAAUCAACAUUUAAUAUUGUUGGGGUACAUAAACGAGAGAGAACUAAAUAAUUGACAUGGUGUCUUGUCAAUAUGCAUCCCGAUGCAUAUUGAGCUCCACUUAAUUUGUAGGAUUGCUUGUGCUCUUUGCCAUGCCAUGCAUACUUAAACCGUACAUGCAUCAUACUUGAUUGUGCAUCAUGCCAUGUUCAUGUCGUGGUUGUUUACUAUGUUGUGUGCUUCUUUUCCGGUGGUUGCUUCUUCGGGUUGGUUCCGAUAACGUCGAGGUUGUGAGGAUCCGUUCGUCUACGUCCGUUUGUCUUCUUCAUGGACUCGUUCUUCUUCCUUGCGGGAUUUCAGGCAAGAUGAUCAUACCCUCGAAAUCACUACUAUCUUUGCUAUGCUAGUUUGCUCGCUCUUUUGCUAUGCCAAUGCUACGAUGCCUACCAUUUGCUUGUCAGCCUCCCAAUUGCCAUGUCAAGCCCCUAACCCACCUCGUCCUAGCAAACCGUUGAUUGGCUAUGUUACCGCUUUGCUCAGCCCCUCUAUAGCGUUGUUAGUUGCAGGUGAAGAUUGGAGGACGUCCCUUGUGGGAAUAUUUAUUUACUUGUUGGGAUAUCACAAUAUAUCUUAUUUAAUUAAUGCAUCUAUAUACUUGGUAAAGGGUGGAAGGCUCGGCCUUAUGCCUGGUGUUUUGUUCCACUCUUGCCGCCCUAGUUUCCGUCAUAUCGGUGUUAUGUUCCCGGAUUUUGCGUCCCUUACGUGGUUGGGCUAUAAUGGGAACCCCUUGACAGUUCGCCUUAAGUAAAGCUUUUCCAGCAAUGCCCAACAUUGGUUUUACCAUUUGCCACCUAGCCUUUUCUUUUCCCUUGGGGGUCGCGCGCCCAAGGGUCAUCAUUAUUUUACCCCCCGGGCCAGUGCUCCUCUGAGUGUUGGUCCGAACUAGAGUCCUGUGCAGCGCCCCCUCGGGGCAACUCGAGGUUUGGUUUUAGUUGUACGGAGCGCUCAUCUGAGUGUGCCCUGAGAAAGAGAUAUGUGCAGCUCCUAUCGGGAUUUGUCGGCACAUUCGGGCGGUGUUGCUGGUUUAGUUUUACCCUGUCGAAAUGUCUUGUUGUACCGGGAUACCGAGUCUGAUCGGAACGUCUCGGGUGGAGGUCUAUUCCUUCGUUGACCAUGAGAGCUUGUGAUGGGCUAAGUUGGGACACCCUGCAGGGAUUUGAACUUUCGAAAGCCGUGCCCACGGUUAUGGGCAGAUGGGAAUUUGUUAAUGUCCGGUUGUAGAAAACCUGAAGUCGACCUUAAUUAAAAUGAAUCAACUGCGUGUGUAACCGUGAUGGUCUCUUUCCGGCGGAGUCCGGGAAGUGAACACGGUUGUUGGAGUUAUGCUUGACGUAGGUUGCUAUAGGAUCACUUCUUGAUCAUAGUUUCUCGACCGCGCUUUGCCUUCUCUUCUCGCUCUCUUUUGCGAAUAUGUUAGCCACCAUAUAUGCUAGUCGCUUGCUGCAGCUCCACCUCAUACCUUUACCUUACCCAUGAGCUUAAAUAGUCUUGACCACGAGGGUGCGAGAUUGCUGAGUCCCUGUGGCUCACAGAUACUUCCAAAACCAGUUUGCAGGUGCCAUUGAGACCGUGCAGAUGACGCAACCAAGCUCAGGAGGAGCUCGAUGAAGAUUGUGUUCUUUAUGUUGUUUCGUUCUAGUUGAUCAGUAGUGGAGCCCAGUUGGGGUCGAUCGGGGACCUUUGUCGCAUUUGGGGUUCUUGUUUUAUUUUGGUUCCGUAGUCGGACCAUGAGUGUUUUUGAUUGAUGUAAUAUUUAUUCAUGUAAUUGUGUGAAGUGGCGAUUGUAAGCCAACUAUGUAUCUCUUUCCUUAUUAUAUUACAUGGGUUGUGUGAAGAUUACCUCACUUGCGACAUAUGCCUUCAAUGCGAUUAUGCCUCUAAGUCGUGCCUCGACACGUGGGAGAUAUAGUCGCAUCGAGGGUGUUACAGCUCAGUAAGCCGACGUCAGCUGGUCGUGUGGCCGGCAAAGGCUUGUCGACAAAAUGGUCGUCAUACUAUAACACUGGUGGGCGAAAGGAGAAAAAGACCAUCUCGGAAAGCCAGACGCGCGAGGUUCAAGAACUCAGGGCACAGGUGGCGCGGAUUCCGGAGAUUGUCCAAGAGCAAGUGCAACAACAACUCGGAGCGACGAUCACCGCCAUUGUGCCUACCUUGAUCCAGGGGAUUAGUGCGUGGAUUGCGGGCGGCCAACAGGGGCCGCCCCCGAUUCCUAGCUUCAGGGCCAGCAACUCGCAGAACGCGAUGGCGGGGCCAUUGGUGUCUCCGGCGGAGGCGGCAUUGGUGUCUCCGACGCCGGCACGGGAGCUUAAUGCACCCGGGUGUACGCCGGCCGGCUCCUCUGCAGCAAGCGGCCCCUCCAUCAACUGCACGCCCGCCGUUGGCGGUGCCUCAACAUUAGCCGAGCUCGACGCCAUCAUCACGGUAACUAAUUAAGCCUCUCUCGGCCGAGGACUUCAUCUCCUUGCCUUUGACUGGGCAUCCCUGACGCCCUACAUGUUUUCGCAGGGCGCCGCCGACGUUCCGUAUACUCUCCUGCACUUCGUGAACAACGAGUUGGUCGAUGUCGCCAAGGGAAAAAUCGUUCAACCGGGCAACCCCUUGUUCCAUGGUACCUAGAUGCCACCCAACUUGUUUAGGGUUCAACUGGUUCGGGUGCUGCCAGGCUGCGACGAGUUGUUACCUCCGAUUCGACCCGUCAUGGCCAACGAUGAUGACGUGAUGACCCUCAGCGCCUGCCUGAGCUGGCCCCUGCUUUGGCCGAAGAGCCAGAUUCGUUUGGGGGCGGGGGACACCACCCCAAAGACAACACCGCCAGUCGUGCCGGCGCCAAGUCGGCCCCAUGGCAAGACCGCGCAACGGUGCCGGACAUCCCUAUGCCACUGGAUCCAAACAUGCAUAUGGCACAGGAUCAGAACGACGACGACGACCAUACAUUUGCCAACGUCGAUCAGUACUUUGCCGAUCAUGGGUACGGUGGCGACUUCAUGGGGCCUCCUUCUCAAGAACCCAACCCAACAAAAGAUGUGCGCGAUCUAGCUGGUACAGCGGAGAAGCCAAGUUGCAACAGGCGUCGUCUGCCGUUCAGCUCUCAGGAGACGCCUCCAGCUACGGACUUCACCGAGCCUCAGAUAGGCGAGGUGCGAAAUAUUAUCAGCCCCAACACACUCAAGAAGGCAAGGCACGCAAAAGAAAGACUAACAAGGGUGUGGGCCAGCCGGCACCAAGUACGAUCUGUGCUCAGGACAGGCCACCUUCACCUAAGGAUAUCUCAAGGAGGGUGCAUGUGGCGGGUAGGCCGAUGCUACCGAGAAAUAUGGUCGAUGCUGCAACCGGUGCUAUGCGGAGUCUGCAUGACAGUGUUCUUUCUUUGGAGAAGCGGCGUCUCGCAGAGAAUGAUGUGGCAUACCCGGUUUUCGCGGCCAAGGUGCCAGAGGGCAAGGGCUUUGUGGAUAACUCCAUCGGGGGUACGAUCGUCCUACGGUUUGAUGACAUCCACGCUAUGUUGAACCUUCAUCCGCUGCACUACACCUUCGUUCGGCUAUUUUCGCUGAGUAUGGAGAUGCGGAUCAUUCGCGACAAGACCCCAGACAUCAUGAUAGUCGACCCCUUCUACAUGCAUGCCAAGAUCUUGGGCAGCGCUGGGGACCGGCAAGUCACGACUUCUUACCUCAAAGGCGUCAUUCUGGCAAACCAAGAUAAGGAUAACUUCCUCAUGCCUUACUAUCCCGAGUAAGUCCUCCCCUCAACCGCCCCGUAACAUAUGAAUUCUUAGAUUUCGAUCGUUUUUCUUUUAACAUUCCGUGUUUUCUGCAGUGACACACAUUGCACACUCAUCCUCCUAAGCCCCAAAUAUUCCAUGGCCACGUAUUUCAACCCGGACCGUCAGUCGAACGUAGAAUACACAAAUGUCAAGAAGGUUCUUGAUGAUGUUCUCCCCGGCUACGUCAAAUCUGGAGGCACCUUCACCAGGCCUAUUUGUAAGUACGACAAGCACGUGUUCUCCCACAAUACGACAUUCUGCUGCGUCAAGCAGCCGCCUGGCGGUCAGAAGGGUGCCUACUACGCCGUCCAUCACAUGCGGGCGAUAGUACGGGACCAUCAUCAACUUCUGCUACUGAGUAAACUCAAAGAUUGGGCCGCGAGCAUGUCGGCAAUCCAGGACACGGACAUCAGACAAGAAUUCUUUCGCAUCCAGUCGGAGUUUGCGGAAAUCAUCCAUCAAGAUGUCCUUCGUACCUCGGGGAAGUUCUACCUCAGAAAUCAACCGUCCAAUAGUGACAUCGACACAAUGCUACAAAUGCAGGCUCACAACGACCGUUAUUUCAUGACUCCCACGAUAGACGGCGGCUUCAUCCACGCUCCGGUCCCUUGAGUCGAGUCGAAAGCAGUGAUGCUCUGUCUAGUUCUGAAACAUCGAUUUGCUCAUGUUGUAAUUAAACUUUAAUGAACUUGUAAUAUGUCUCUUUGGUUUCGAGAGUCGUUCAACUUAGAUGUAAUCGAUGCUAUUAAUGUCUUGCUUUUCUCUUCCGAUCGUUCGGUUGCAUACUUAUAUAUUGCUUAUGUAUUGUCUGUGAAUUGUUACUAACGUUUCGUUUGGCUACUGCAGAGCGAUGCCGUCGUAUGUCGUGUACAAGGGUAAGGUUCCCGGAGUCUACGACGACUGGGAGGAGUGUCGGAGAUAGGUUCACCGAUUUAGCGGUAACAGUUACAAAGGGUACACCACUAGGGCCGAGGCUGAAUCUAGAUAUGCCCGCUAUCUAGCGGGAGAGGGGAGGGAGCGCUGGAGGAACCGGAUGAAGACGAGUUUCAUCGUGAUGAUGCUCAUCGUGAUGACCGCAACUCUCUUCUAUGUGAUGGUAGUUUAGAUGAUCGAUAUCGACUUGUAAUGUGAAGACAAACUCGCUACUCGCGGUCUCGAGACUUGUAAUAUAAUGUUCUAUCUUUGUUCGGUCUUUUCAAUUCGGAGACUAAUAUGAUGAAUUGUAUUCGGAGACUAAUAUGAUGAAUUGUAUUCAGAGACUAAUCUUCUAUUGUAUUCGAUGAAUCUGUUGUUGAUGUGUGCUGUCUAUAUUUUGUCCAAUUAUACAUUUUGUAACCUGUGCAAAAAACAGAAAAUAAAAAAAUAAAAAAAACCUAAUAUUCAUACUAAUGGCGCAUCACAUCAGAGUGCGCCAUUAGUAUGCCAAAGGAUACUAAUGGCGCAUCAAUAAACAGUGCGCCAUUAGUAUGCCGAAGUUACUAAUGGCGCAUCUUGUUGUUGUGCGCCAUUAGUAUGCCAAAGCACCUGGGUAUACAUGGCCCCCUGGGAGGCAUACUAAUGGCGCACUGUUGUAUAUACUAAUGGCGCAUCUGAGGUGCGCCAUUAGUAAAAUAUACUAAUGGCGUGGCACUAAUGGCGCACCACUAAUGCACCAUUAAUGGCCAAAUUAGGUGCGCCAUUAGUAGGCCUUUUCCUAGUAGUGCUUUCUUGUUCUUGUUACUAGACUUGACUUGAGGCAUGUAAGUGGAUAAGAGUAAACGCUUGGCAAUGUAAGAAGAACUUUUCUUGCGGAGGUCAUCAUGGAUUGCCUUUAAAAACUCAUGCUCUUGCUCAAGAUUGAGCUUUUCAAAGCGUAACUUCUCAUGAGCUCUUAAAAGUUCUCGAUGAUCUUCGAAGAUAGUUUCAUGAGCUAACUUAAGAGUGUUUAGUUCUUUAGUUAGAGCCUCAGUCUUUGUGUAGCUCCUUGAUGAUUUUUCCUUCCUUUCUAAAUCCUUGCUUCUCCGUGAGUAUCUUCGUUCAUAACGAUCAUUUCUACUCCUUCUCUCUCUUGGUGGUGAUUCUUCUCUUUUUCUUCUUCUUUUUGGAGAGUCUUCUCUUCUCUUGUAGGGAGCCGUACACUCAUUGGAAUAGUGUUCGGGUCUUCCACAAUUGUAGCAGUUUCGCUCUCGACUAGAAGAUCUUUUUUCAUUGUAGGACCUUGACUUGGAGCUUCUAUCUUUGCUUCUACUCUUGUAGAACUUGUUGAAGUUUUUCACCAUUAAGCUCAAUUCUUCAUUGAAGUUUUGUUUCUCACUUGAUGACGUAGGGGCUUCACAUGAGGCUUUGUAGGCACCACUUGAUUUGUUGUGAAGUUCCUCUUUAUCCUUAAGUGACAUCUCAUGAGCAACAAUUCUUCCAAUUACCUCCGUUGGCUUGAGAUCUUUGUAAUUGGGCAUCAUUUGGAUCAAUGUGCAUACGGUAUCAUAUUUUCCAUCCAAGGCUCUUAGAAUCUUCUUGAUGAUGAAUCUAUCGGUCAUCUCUUCACUUCCUAAGCCGGCAAUCUCAUUUGUGAUGAGAGCAAGCCUAGAGUACAUUUCAGCGACACCUUCACCAUCCUUCAUUUUCAACUUGUCAAGUUGAUUUUGAAGCACAUCCAAUUUGGAUUCCUUGACGGAGUCGGUACCUUCGUGCAUAUCAAUCAAAGUGUCCCAAAUUUCCUUUGCAUUCUCAAGACGGCUGAUUUUGUUGAAUUCUUCGGGGCACAAUCCGUUGAAGAGAAUAUCACAAGCUUGAGCAUUGUGUUGCAACAUCUUCAGCUCAUCCGCGGUAGCUUCACGGUUUGGUUCUCUCCCAUAAAAGAAGUCACCUUGCCAACCAACACACACAAUAGCCCAAACGGCGGGGUUACGUCCAAGAAUAUGCAUUUUCAUUUUAUGCUUCCAACUAGCAAAAUUAGUACCAUCAAAGUAAGGACCUCUACGGUGAUAAUUUCCCUCGCUAGACGCCAUACUCUCCUAGGUUGUGAAACCAAGGCUAUGACCACCAAAAGCUAUGGAAAUCAAAGCAAAUGGAGACCAAAGCUCUGAUACCACUUGUAGGAUCGAAAGUAUGUCUAGAGGGGGGGGGGUGAUUAGACUACUUGACCAAAUAAAAACUUAACCUUUUCCCAAUUUUAGUUCUUGGCAGAUUUUAGCUAUUUUAGGACAAGUCAAGCAAUCAUCACACAAUUCAAGCAAGCAUGCAAAGAGUAUAUUGGCAGCGGAAAGUAAAGCAUGCAACUUGCAAGAAUGUAAAGGGAAGGGUUUGGAGAAUUCAAACGCAAUUGGAGACACGGAUGUUUUUCCCAUGGUUCAGAUAGGUGGUGCUAUCCUACAUCCACGUUGAUGGAGACUUCAACCCAUGAAGGGUAACGGUUGCGCGAGUCCACGGAGGGCUCCACCCACGAAGGGUCCACGAAGAGGCAACCUUGUCUAUCCCACCAUGGCCAUCGCCCACGAAGAACUUGCCUCACUAGCGGUAGAUCUUCACGAAGUAGCCGAUCUCCUUGCCCUUACAAACUCCUUGGUUCAACUCCACAAUCUUGUCGGAGGCUCCCAAGUGACACCUAGCCAAUCUAGGAGACACCACUCUCCAAGAAGUAACAAAUGGUGUGUUGAUGAUGAACUCCUUGCUCUUGUGCUUCAAAUGAUAGUCUCCCCAACACUCAACUCUCUCUCACAGGAUUCGGAUUUGGUGGAAAGAAGAUUUGAGUGGAAAGCAACUUGGGGAAGGCUAGAUAUCAAGAUUCAUAUGAUAGGAAUGGGAUAUCUUGGCCUCAACACAUGAGUAGGUGGUUCUCUCUCAGAACAUAUGAGUUGGAAGUGUAGAUAUGUUCUGAUGGCUCUCUCCAUGAAUGAAGAGGAGGUGGAGGGGUAUAUAUAGCCUCCACACAAAAUCCAACCGUUACACACAAUUUACCAAUCUCGGUGGGACCGAAUCACAAACUCGGUCAGACCGAAAUAGUAAACCUAGUGACCGUUAGAGAUUUUCGGUGGGACUGACAUGCAACUCGGUAGGAACGAUUUUGUUAGGGUUAGGGCAUAACGUAAUCUCGGUGAGACCGAUUACACAAACUCGGUGAGACCGAUUUUGGUAAUUAGCUAACCAGAGAGUUGGUCAGGCAAACUCGGUGGGACCGAUUUGCUCUUUCGGUGAGACCGAAAAGUUACAAAAAGGAAACACUGAAUUUACAUUGCAAUCUCGGUGGGACCGAUCCGCUCUUUCGGUGAGACCGAAAAGUUACGAAAAGGAAACAGAGAGUUUGCAAUCCCAUCUCGGUGAGACCGAGAUCCCUAUAGGUAGAAACGAUUUGCUAGGAUUUGGCAAUGGCUAUGACAAGUGAAACUCGGUGGCGCCGGAUUGAAAGAAUCGGUAGGACCGAGUUUGGCUUUGGGUUUAGGUCAAAUGUGGAUAUGGGAAAGUAGCUGAGGGUUUUGGAGCAUAUCACUAAGCACAUGAAGCAAGAGGCUCAUUAAGCAACACCUCAUCCCUCCUUGAUAGUAUUGGCUUUUCCUAAAGACUCAAUGUGAUCUUGGAUCACUAAAAUAUAAAAUGAAGAGUCUUGAGCUUUUGAGCUUGAGCCAAUCCUUUGUCCUUAGCAUUUUGAGGGUUCCACUUUCACCAUCCAUGCCAUGCCAAUCAUUGAGCUUUCCUGAAACACCUCAUCUUGGAAUAGCAUUAGCUCAAUGAGCUAUAUGUUGUUAUGAAUUACCAAAACCACCUAGGGAUAGUUGCACUUUCAUAACUUAAGAAUAAUCGCUUUAGAGCUCCUAGAGUGGAUAUCGUGCACAAUUUCGUGCAAAGAAAGGAUGCCAUCUAAAAUAAAACGACCCUUAAUGAAAGCAGAUUGGAAGGGGCUAAUAACUCUAUGUGCAACAGGGGAUAGUCAGUUAGCAAAGCCCUUAGCCGGAAAUUUAGCGAAGUUAUUAAUCAGAGCAAUAUGCCGAAAUUGAGAAAUUAACUCAGCACCCUUGACCUUGGGGAUCAGAGUAAUGAUGGUGUAAUUCAAGCGGGAGAUAUCGAUAGUGCCAAGGCAAAAACCCUGGAUAACACUGCAAACCAGCUGCUUUAACUGAUGCCAGAAUUUUCAAAAGAAAGGGAUAGAAAAGCCGUCUGGCCCGGAGGCAGCAUUCGGGUUAACCGAGUUAACUAUAUCCCAGAUUUCCUGAUCAGAGAGGGGAAUCAUCAACGAAGCAUUUUCGUCAGCCAAGACUUUUAAACCCAUGUUCCAAAGAGAAGGGGAUAUCGAGAGGCCCGAAGGAGGUUUAGCCCCAAGCAGAGUAGAGAAGAAGUCCCGCACGUGAUUCAUAAUAAUAGAUUGGUCCGAAGACCGCACACCAUUGAUGAUAAGGCUGUUGAUACCACAGCGCCUCCUCCUACCGUUCGCGAUGGCAAAGAAAUAAGCAGUGGGGGAGUCGCCUUUGAGCGUCCAGUUGAGCAUGCCCCGCUGGCGCCAAUAAACCUCAGCCUGGUGGUGCAACUGCAUAAAGGCAGCCUCGAGGUUGUACCUCACUAUCUAGCCAUCCUCAGUAAGCCCAGCUAAAUCGGCAGUCGAAUCAAGGGCCAUGAUCUGGGCCUCAAGGAAAUCUUUGGAACGACGGUCCUCCGCCGCACGGUUGCGAGACCAACCCCUAAGAAAUUUCUGCAGGUUGUAGGAACAGGAAUGCCAGUCAUCCAGAGGGCCGAAAGAUCGCAUAUGAGAGGAGAGUAGGCGGGAUAUUUUCGCGGCCAUCAUAUCAGUAAAACCAUCAAUGAGCAGCCAAGAGGCAUCAAAUUGAAAUCUAGCCGGGGGUCUAAGGUUAACAGAGCCGUCAUCAACAAUAAGUGGGGUAUGGUCAGACCCAACAAUGCAUUUGGCGCAUAGGGAAGCCCUAGGGAAGAUGGAAUCCCACCUGGGACAGAUGAACACUCUAUCAAGAACAGAUCUAAUGGGGUUAGCCUGGUGAUUGGACCAAGUAAAGCGGGCUCCAACUCGGGGAAGUUCACGAAUAGCGUUGGAGCUAAUAAAGUCGUUAAAGGCAUCCGCCAAAGGCCAGGAGAAGAUAUCAUUACUUUUAUCAGAAGGACAGCGAAGGAGAUUGAAAUCACCCCCGAUAACCAUCGGGAGGGUGCAAGAUUCGAUCUUCACAGAGAGCCCAUUAAGAAACAAAGGAGACAGAGAGUGAUCAGCAGGCCCAUAUACCACGAUAUAUUGAAUUAAAGUAUUCAAAGCUUUAAGACAGAGUACAGAACUGACCCAAAAGACCCCAUGGUCAUAAGCAACAACAUCAAAAAUAUCUUUAUUAGAGCCUAUCAAGAUCCCACCCGAGUGACCCGAGGAAGGUAACACAUGCCAGUCAAAUCUAUCCAUGUCCACGAUAGCUGAAAGUUCGUUUGGGGAGAAGGAUUCCUUAAAAGUUUCAACCAACCCCAUGAAGUCAAUAUUGUUCAAGCGGAUCAGAUCUUUUAUUUGGUCACGACGCCCACUAGCACCAAACACUCUAAUAUUCCAAAAUAGAGCCUUCAUUUAUAAGACAAAUUUUAAUGCGGAGACUCGACCUGCUAGGGGCCGCGCAAGUUUUAACUCUUUUAGAAGUGCCCCUCCUGGAAGAACUGGGCUAGGGCUGGCCACUACCAGCUCCCACACCCGCCUCCGAACCCAGAGUAUUACUAGAGUCAACAGCGGCGGGGGCAACGGCCUCUUUAGCUUUAGCAAUGGCCGCCUGAGCCACCUUGUUAGCCCGAAUAGUUGCAAGGAGAGAACUAGGGGAACCGACAUUAGAAUCAACCACCACACCCACACCCAACAUGAUAUUUAAAAGAUGAUUGUCCAAAAGAGAUGGUAAAACUAGCCAAACCGGAGAGGAGCCAACGGAACGGGUGGGAUGAAUACCUGGGGUAGGAAGAUCCUUCGUCGCAGCCCGCUUUUCUGCCCGCUCCAAGAUAGAACUGCCCGAGUUGGCCAACCGGCCUACCUUUGCGAGCCGUGGACGUAGGCGACCGGAUCGCAUGCGUCCGAGUCACGGGGGAAGCCAGAGAUGGACCCGAGCGAGACAUGGACCCGAGAUCCUUGUCGAGGCGGCGGCAGACUCCAGUCAUGGAUUGUUUUGAGCCCAACGAGUUCCUGCUUUUAGCCGAGAAUUUGCGCACCGAAGAUUUCUUCUUCCUCUGAGACUGGGCACCCACCACAUCACGAACAGGGGAGGCGGGCAAGUCCUCAAUCCCGGAGCGAGUGGGGGAGAUAGGACGGGCCGGGAGGUUGGAGCAAGCACCAGACAUGGGAGAGCCGACACAGGCAGGUUCUUCAGAGAAGCAACAACUGGAGCAACACCCAUGGAGUCAAUAGGAUGAAUCGCCAUUGGCUCACGAGGGGCCACACCAGAAGGAGCUUGAGAUUGGAACAACUCCCGUUCAGACUCAGGCAAGCCAUCCCACUCAGAUUGGGUCUAAUGUUUUAGAAAUUGUAAGGGAUGUGCCUCUGCCGUCAAAGUUUUUGCAAGGGAGACUCCGAGCUUGUUGGAAUACCUGUAUGAAGCCUGGGUGGUCGUAAUGGACAGAAGAGAAUGGAUAUAUCCAAGGUGAAUUUUGAAAUAGGUUUAAUAAUGGUAUUAGGGAAGACCAUAUUCCAGCUAGCCAAGGUCAAAAAUAAAUAUAUUCAUAUUUAUCUAUUCUUUGUGAGCAAAAAACAUAGAACCUUCACACAGUAUAAGGUAAACAGUUAUAAUUUUGGAUUUAAAUCUCAUAUGUAGAAUUCAGUUACAAAUCAAGGGUGAAAAAUUAUAAUGAGAAUAUUAUAAGUUCAAUACUAUCUCGAACUUGCACUUGUAAGAUUUAUUUUAAUGUUUUGCAUGUUUUCAAUAUCACAUAAUCAGUUUGGAUGCCCGAAAAUAAAUUAUAGAGAUGCUGAAAAUAAUCAUAUAUAUCAAAUAAGAUCAUUAAAAUCUAUUUCCUUCAGAAGACUUGCAUUUUAUUAGACAUUGCGGCCAUGCUUUUAUGAAAACUAAAAUCCAGCAUGGUAUUAUUUGUUUCUUUAUCUAUCAAGUGGCAGCUGACUACACUCGCCUUUAAUCGGUAUUGGAUAAAAACCUCGAUGAAUGUGGACCCUUCGAUCAUACAGUUGACGGUCCAUAACUCGAGAAAAUAUCAACAUCUAAAAAAACACUAGAAGGAGAUUACAUAAGUGAGUUAGAAUGACAAACAAAAAUAUGCUGACAAAAUAUUUAGGCAAACUGCCUACAAGGCUAAGAUUGUACAAUAAUUGCAACCGAGCACUAGGUAUUACAACAAUCCCAAAUGAAUAGCCAUAUGAAAUGCAACCUAUAUAGGCCCGAGUUAAUAAACAAAGUUUGAAGCCAAAUGCCGAGGUAUAGUUGGGUAUCAAUUACUUGAGUAGAGGGGACAACAUAAGAAUCACACUUGGAUCUUAUUGAGUAGUAGCCACAAAAAUAGCAAAUGCAAUGUUGCAGCCAGUAAAAGUAAACAGAAAAUAUCAAUUAAGCAAAAGAAAGGGAAAUAUUCCAUUCUGCUACUACUAAAAAGAUAAGCUUACUCCCUCAUUUAAUACAUCACAAUAGCAUAUCCAUUUGACCAAUCAUCUUAUGUAUUGUACAAAAGUUUAGCUCCAUCAUGUCCACCACCAAUGCUCAUUCCUACAAGGGGAAAUUCCAACCAUUAUGUAUCUCAUCUUGAGAAACAUCUGCACUGCAGUUAUGCACUAAUACUACUAGUUGUAUCAGAUUAUUGGGCAUUGAUGAGAUAUUUGGAUAAACUCACGUAUGUAAUUUGAGGAAAAUAACUCAGGUUUGAUACAUCAUGACAAGUAAAUAAACAAAACCCCUACUCUCUAAGAAAGAGAAUAUUCUUGAAACAAUAAAUACUCACUAUUGCCAUAAAAAAUGAAGAAUAUGCACACUCAGACAAUUAGCUAACCUGAAGGGAGAAGUAUGCUUAAGCACGCUCCACAAUAAGAGUAUGAGAAUAGCAAAAAACAACAUUGCUAAAUUUUAUUUUAUUUUUGACAAAUGAGAUGCACAACUGGUUUCAACUAAGGGAACUCAAAUCACGGUAGAGUAGAAUCACCUCUCCAGAGAGCAGAACUGGUUAGCUACAGUAAAAUAUAUUCUUUCCAAAUCAUAACCAUCACAUAGAACACCACCACACAAACAUACAAAAAGAAGACUCCGUCGCUAUAUGUUGAGGAGAUCAUCCAUCAGCAAAAGAACCGAUUUAUAUGGAACUAGUUACACUUGUUAUCUUAACAUGAAAGGAUGUGAACAGCAUUUAAUCAACCAAUUAUAGAUAUUAUCUUGAUUUUGCUAUACCUACUACAAUGUAAAGGCAUAUGCUAUUACCUGUAGCAUAAACACUUUCAAACGGAUGAUAACAAACCCACUUCUUGGUCUUGGAAACUUUCUUGAACUGCAGUGGCUCAAGCUGGAUCAUGAAGAGGUCGGUAGGUGUCCGCAGCAGCAGCACAUUAUUGUACUCAGCAAACCCCUCUAUACUUUGGUUCCAUUUCCUCUUCUUCCUUGAAUUAAUGGAAAGUAGCUUAUCCAGUUCAACGGUUCUUCCUAGCACCCAUGAAGCAGCACCAUCACAAUCGGUCUCCACCUUCCAUAAUUGGGCGCUGAAAUUUGACAGAAAUAGAAUGCCAAGGCCACCACCCUCUGCCUGCAUAACCUGGAAUCGGCACAUGUUUUCCUUGGGAAUACCCACUGGUACUGGUUUCACAGCUACGAUCUGCUUCUCCAAAUCAAACUCAAGUAUGCCAUCCAACAGUAGAGUUUUUGCCGAUCUGUCAUUGAACAACCAGUAAAGGGAAUGCCCAACUAGCACACCCAUGGUAAAGUACAUGUGACUGUUGGUGGGAAGUUUGGAUGGAAGUGGUGUUGAUAUGCGAUCACCCCAUUUGGCAGUCUCCGACGAGUAAAUGCGGGCGAAGGCCCGUGUCUGUUGCUGCUCGUCUGUCUCUGUGCUUACCAAGACCACCCGGAAGUGUUGAAUGUCUCCGGCGGCGCGAGAAACCGCCCCUUUAAAUGGGGCCUCGAGCCGAUCGAACUCUGGGGGAACGGCUACGCGGUGUAGGUCGAUGUUGAAGGGAUCCCACACCAAGAGUUGGUACCGCGCUAAUUGGUAGAUGAGUAGGAGGCCAUGGCGGUAUCCCAAGGGCAUGAAGAUGCCAUCGCCAUUCUUGCCGUGGAGGCACAAGGAGAAGCGGCAAUCCGGGACACGAUUGGGGGGAUCCAUUGCAGGUUUGAAAUUGAAAGGGUCGAAGAAACCGAGGAGAGGAGGGUCGCGGCGGUGGUGGAGAAGGAAGCGGCGGGACAAGCCGGGGUCAGAGAUGAGGCCGAGCCAGCGCUUGGAGACGAGGGAGGCGCGAGGGAGGGAGGACGGAUCCGGCGAGAGGCGGAGGAGGAUCUCAGAGAGGAGGUUGUCAUCCUCCAGCGGCCGCGCCGCCGACGAGCGGGAGCAACGGCGGCGGCGGCGGCUACUCCUCUCGCCCGCAUCACAAUUUCAGGAGAAAUGCGGGUGAUAUGAUGAUACCAUGCCAAGUUUCAACAUUUUCAGGAUUCAUUUUGUAGUGAUUUUCAAUUUGACGGUCAUUUAGCUCUCUAAACAAUUAGGUAAAUGACCGAAAACAACAAAUGAUGUCAGAACAUGUUCGAAAUUGAUGACGUCGCUUUGAAUGCUGCAUACUGAACACAAAAGAAGUCCAGAGUUCAAAUAAGUUAUUAAAAAUAAAAAAGAGGUGCAAUGCUGGUUAUUUUGCUUCAAGCCAUUCAGAAUAGUGUAGUUAGUACAUGUGUUAAAUGACCGAAAAACAACAAAUGAUGUCAGAACAUGUUGGAAAUUGAUGACGUCGCUUUGAAUGCUUCAUACUGAACACAAAAGAAGUCCAGAGUUCAAAUAAGUUAUUAAAAAUAAAAAAGAGGUGCAAUGCUGGUUAAUUUGCUUCAAGCCAUUCGGAAUAGUGUAGACUGCACUGCACAUAGCUCAGUGCAAUCUAUGCUAUUCCGCAAGGCUUGAAGCUAAUCAACAUGUAGGUGAGCAUUGCAACUCUUCGUCAUUGUCUGUGCACUCAUGGCUUAUAAACUGCUCAUACUGCCUCUCUCUUGGCGAGGUGGGACUAAAAAUAAGCUUACAAAGAAACUCUAGUACCGGUUCAUGGCAUGAACUGGUACUAAAGGUCUUCGUGGGGGCCCCAGACCAACCAUAGCCUGACACAGCCUCAUUAGUACCGGUUCGUGGCAUGAACCGGUACUAAAGGUUACCCACGAACCGGUACUAAUGAUGCCCGCUCGCCUAGCCGUUGGAACCAGCACUAAUGAUCACAUUAGUGCCGGCUCAAAUUCAAACCGGCACUAAUGUGCUUCACAUUUGACCCUUUUUCUACUAGUGGCUUGUUGUCAAAUUUCAGUUCAUGCUGUGGCAGGAACAGAAUCGUCCGGUACCAUGAGACUCCGAGCAUUGGUUGGCAAUAAGGUCAUGUUAUUGUUGGUGGAUUCAAGCAGUACGCACACGUUUGUCAACUCGUAAUUCGCAGAGCAUGCAUGUUGUAUCAUCCAGGAAGUAAUGCAAUCCAACCAACAUGUAUCUCAACUGACAUGGUGGUGCCAGGGCAACAUAUUUAGCACGGACAUGCGCCUCCUUGAGUUGGGUGCAUAUGAUGCAGUCUUGGGUGUCGAUUGGCUCAUGCAAUUUAGUCCAAUGAACUGUCGGUGGGACUCAAGACGAUGGAAUUCAGACACGGAAAUUCUUAACAUCAAACUGCAAGGCGUGCGCACUCCAACAUAGCCAACAUUGACAGAAAUGCGAGCAGAUCAGCUGUUGAAGUGGAUUCAGGGGAACGAUGUGUGGGCACUGGCAGUAAUUCAACCUGACGAUCACACUCGGUCAUCUGAAGAACACAUACCUCCACAACUGCAAGCUCUCCUGGACGAGUAUACUGAUGUCUUUCAAGAUCCCAAAACCCUGCCACCACACCGUGAGUUUGAUCAUGCCAUCCAUCUCGAGCCCGGCUCCUCUCCACCAAAUGUCAGGCCCUACCGGUACUCUCCAUUACAGAAGGAUGAGAUCGAACGCCAAGUCGCUGAGAUGCUCCAAGCAGGUCUGAUCACAACAAGCAUUAGCCCCUUUGCUGCACCUGUUCUGCUCGUAAAUAAAAAGGACGGUACGUGGCGCUUCUGUAUUGAUUACCGUCGACUGAAUGACAUCACCAUUAAGAACAAGUUUCCGUUGCCUGUCAUUGAUGAAUUACUCGACGAGCUGGCUGGCGCCCGUUUCUUCUCCAAAAUUGACCUACGAGCAGGCUAUCACCAGAUUCGCAUGCGCCCAGAAGAUGAAGCCAAAACAGUUUUCAAGAGCCAUCAUGGCCACUUUCAAUUCCGUGUGAUGCCUUUAGGUGUGACAAAUGGCCCACCCACUUUUCAGUGCUUGAUGAACUAUGUGUUUGCCCCAGCCACCCGCAAGUAUGUCAUCGCCUUCCUGGAUGACAUUCUGACCUACAGUCCAUCAUUUGAUGAACAUUUGCAACACAUCUGACAAGUGUUUGCCACUUUUCGUCAGCAUCAGCUGUAUGCCAAGUUUUCCAAAUGCUCGUUCGCUAGACCAUCCACCAACUAUUUGGGGCAUGUGAUCUCAGCGGAGGGCGUGGCAACUGAAACUGAUAAAACUGAUGCAAUUCAGCACUGGCCCCAACCAUCGUCGCCAACCGAACUACGAGCAUUUCUAGGUCUCACUGGAUAUUACCGUAAGUUUGUACGAAAUUACAGCAUUAUCACAAAACCAUUGACAUCUCUCUUGAGCAAGAAAGGUUUUGUCUGGACAGAUGCCGCGACAACAGCGUUCCAGAAACUGAAACAGGCCAUGAUCACCACGCCAGUACUCGCCUUACCAGAUUUCUCUCUGCCAUUACAAUGGAGACUGAUGUGUGUGACACUGGUAUAGGCGUAGUCUUGUCCCAGCAAGGCCAUCUGAUCGCUUUUCUCAGUCGUGCACUCGGUGUUACAAAUCUGAAACCUUCUGUUUAUGAGAAGGAAUUCCUUGUUGUCAUGAUGGCCAUUGAUCGUUGGCGCCCCUACCUAUAGCGAGGGCCGUUCACCAUUCUGACAGACCACAAGAGUCUGUGUACCUUAGGAGAACAACAGCUUGGCUCGGAAGUUCAGUGCAAGGCAAUGGCCAAGUUGGGUGGUCUUCAGUUUCAAUUCAAAUGCAGACACGGCAUCGACAAUAAUGUCGCUGAUUCCUUGUCGCGUGUUGGUCAUCUGUUCACUGUAAAAGCUACUUCCACCUGUCAGCCCUCCUGGAUACAAGAGGUACAUAAUACUUACCAGACUGACGGCAAGGCAAAAGAGUUACUGCAAGCAUUGGUGAUUCGCAGCCCGGACGACCAAGGCAGUGAACUAGACAGGGGCUUGAUCAAGUACAAAGGCCGUUUAUGGAUUGGCGACAAUGCUGCAGUCCAAACCAAAUUAAUUAAUGAACUCCAUGCUGCAGCCAUGGGUGGUCAUUCAGGUAUUCAUCAGACCUAUCUCAGACUGAAGAAUUUGUUUUAUUGGCCAGGGAUGAAACUCCAGGUGGAAGAAUUUGUCAAGCAAUGCGCAAUCUGUCAACACACGGAGCAUGAACACACGCAUCCACCGGGCACUCUGCAACCUCUGCCCCAUACCUGCUCGUGCAUGGGGCGAUGUCACAAUGGAUUUUGUCGAGGGAUUGCCGCUAUCCGACGGAGCAGACGUAAUCCUUGUGGAGGUGGAUCGCCUGACCAAGUACGCCCAUUUCAUGGCACUGCACCAUCCUUUCACUGCUCCACAGGUGGCUUGCAUCUUCCUCGACAACGUUGUCAAGCUGCACGGUGUGCCUGACUCAAUCGUCUCCGACCGUAACAAGAUCUUCACGAGCGCAUUUUGGCAUGAAUAGUUCGCGCUCGUCGGCACAAAGUUGCUCUACACCACGGUGUACCAUCCACAGACGGAUGGACAGAGCGAGCGUGUCAACCAGUGCUUGGAGCAUUGCUUACGUUGUGCUGUUCAUGACACACCACAUCGCUGGAAGCGCUGGCAGCCUAUGGCUGAAUUUUGGUACAAUUCCAGUCAUCACAGUGCCAUCGGGUGCACGCCAUUCAAGGCUCUCUAUGGCGUGGAACCAAACUUCGGCUCCUUACCCAAUCUUUCACAAUCAAGACAUCGGAGUCCAUUCAGGAGCUGGCCGCCGAGCACCAACAAUUUACUGACAUGCUUAAAGCACAUCUCUUGCGAGCUCAACAAAGGAUGAAGCAUCAUGCUGACCGCAAGCGCACUGAGCGGGAAUUCAGCAUCGGUGAGCAGGUGCUCCUAAAAUUGCAGCCCUACGUGCAGUCCUCUAUUGUCAGCCGGCCAUGCCCCAAGCUUUCUUACAAAUUCUUUGGCCCCUAUAGAAUCAUCAGCCGGGUGGGAUCGAGGGCAUACAAGCUCGAAUUAUCGCCAGAGAGCAAAAUUCACCCUAUUUUUCAUGUUUCGCAGCUGAAGCCGUUCAUGGCGGACUACUCUCCAGUCUUCCAUCAACUGCCUACGCCACCAGAUCUCACAAUUGGUGACUUGGUGCCUCAAGCCAUCUUGGAGCGUCGUCUGGUCGAGAAGGGAAACGCGGCGAUUCCACAGGUGCUGGUGCAGUAGCGCACUCUAUCGCCGGCCAGCGCGAUGUGGGAGAACUACAACGUCCUCCGGCAGCGCUUCCCCGACUUCAAGCUCGACGAGGGGGCUCUGUCCCAAGGAGGGGCAAAUGUCACGCCCUCCUCUCCUCCUGUCACCAGAGAAGAGAAGGCGGACAGCGAGGCACUACCAGUGGUACCAGGUGACGAGAACGACCAGGGCUCACGAGCAGGGAGUGUAGAAUAGUCUUCGUUAGGAACUAGACUAUGACAGGUGGGGCAAGUGUUGCCCAGGUUAUAUGUAUGUGAGAACGACCAGAGAAGGGGAGCUUGGUAAUUGGGAAUUAUCCAAAACUCUGUAUUCGCUCUCUUGCUGAACAAGUUCCUCCUUCCUCCUUCAUCUACCUCGAUCCCCUUAUCCUUCCAAAUCUCCCUCUACCUCCCCUGGUCUGAUCCGGCGUGGGUCGUGACAAGCAACUUGCAACACAGAGCAGAUCAUCUUAUUUCUUUAGAUUAGAGGCCCAAAUUUUUUCACCUAAGUGAUGAGAAGCUAACUCGUGAAAUACUUCAGACAAAAGCCAACUCAAACUAGUCCGUCAGACAAAAGCCAACUCAAACUAGUCCUUCAGACAACAGCCAACUCAAACGAGUCCCCUUCAGUCAUUGCAUCUCAAAACAAAAAGAGAAGGAAAACAGCACCAGGCAGGCAGUUGCAGGUCGACAUUCGACAUUCAACAUUCAUCAGCUAGGACUAGAUAAAAGUUCAACAUAGUAGGCACUAAUCAGCAAACUAUGCUGUUAAAUUCCUACGAGUCCACCGCAUGGUUCACCGGUGCGUGCCAUGUAGUACAAAGAGGGAGCAUGCCAAAUGGGCACUCCAACAAGCCAUUCCUGCAUCUCAGCCACACCGAACAGAAGAACCUAUGCCUCGAUCACAAGCCAUUCCCGCAUGUCCAGAUACCUGCGGAGCAACCAACAUCGUCAUCAGACAAACAACUUUGUACUAUUCCUUGUAUCUGGCAAUUUUCGUAUGAUUCAAACACUACAGAUUCGCUUCGCCAUCGUGAAAACUGGACCAAAAGCUCCAAAGUUGAAUCAUCUCAACUACCGGACAAAACCCAAUGGAACAGUUAAUUUCAAGUGGCAUGCCUUUUACUUAUAUUUUUUACCUAAAGCCUUUAGCGUCUGCUGUUCACACAUUCUAAGCCUUUGGCUAUAUCGGAAGCUAAAAGAUCAGUUGUUCAAAUACCUCCAUUUUCAGGACAUGCAUUAAAUAGAUGCAUUUAGUUGGAACCUAAUAGGUAUACUUUUCAGAAAUAGACAAGCUAGAUUGUCAGUAACAAAUCGAAAGUAAUAAAAUUCAUGCAGAAAAACCACAAGCAAGAUAGUAGCAAAUCGAAUAUACAAGCUAGAUGGUCAAGGGAUUCUUCCAGUCAGGUGCCUUAGCAUGCUGGAGUUUCAGCUUUUUUAGGUCAUAUUUGUUUAUAGAGGGAGUACUUCCUUAAGUCCCCGAUUGAUCAAGGCUAAAAUUGACUAUGUAAGUGUUCCACUUAUAUGUUUAACUAAAGAGUCAAGAGUAGCGUAUUCCAUAUCCAUUUGGAGGUGAUAGGGCUUGGUAUGAAGGAUUGCACAUUCAUAACAAUCAUCACAAAGAUUUUAAAGUUCUUUGAUGAUCAAACAACAUCUCUUGGUGAACAACCCGUUAAAGCUAUCAGGGCCAGGGGAAUUUGCUUGAUGACACUAUCAACCUCCUAUCUAGAGAAGGGGGUCGAGAGAUAGCCACUCUGUUACCGAAGGUUCUCGAGAUAAUAGCAGCUUUGACUUCAUCAUCGUUGGUUGAAGAGCCCUGACGGUCUGAAAGAGGUUGAACGAGAUUUCUUCCAUAGGCUUUAUUGCCCACCGCAUGAAAGGAUUUCGAGUUUUCAUCUAUGAAGCAGACUCAUCUGAUAGUGGAGCUAUUUUUCCAGUGGAGCUUAAUAUGAUUUUUUUAAUGAUUACUCUAAUGUUGCUUUUUACAGCAGACAUAGGCCUUUGUUCUUCAAGUCCAAUGAUAAGGUUGACGCAAAGUUCCAAUUUGCAAUCAACAAUGAGAGGUGGGAAAGGUUUCUGCUCCAGAUUUGUAAGGCUCUUCUAAUGUUUUCGAAAUUAGAAGAGAUGUGCCUCUGUCAUCUCAGUUUUUGAAAGAGACUCCAAGCUUGUUGGAAUACCUCUACAAAGCCUAUGUGGUCCGGGCACCCCAAAAUUUCUCAAGGUGGAAGAUCUUUGCUUUACGGGCUUUGGUUUGAUUGUACAGAACACAAGGGAUGUAUUCUGAGGUGAAAUUCUUGAAACAAGUUUAACAAUGGUAUUAGGGAAGACCAUAGUCAAGGCAGCCAAGGUUAAAAAAACCAUAUAUUCAUACUUAUUGUUUUGCGAAAAAGUGAAAACAUAAAACCUCCCCAUAGUAUAAGGUAAGCAAUUCUCACUUUGUAUUUAAAUCGAAUAUGUAAAAUUCCGUUACAAAUUGAGGACGAACAACUAUAAUCAGAAUAUUAAAAGUUUGAUACUAUCUCGAAAUUCACUUGUAAGACUUAAUCUUAAUGUUUUGCAUGUUUUCAAUUUUAAUCUCAAAUAAUUAGUGAGGACGCCCAAAAAUAAAUUAUAGAGAUGUGAAAGAUAAUCUAAUAUAUGAAGUAAGAUUAUUAAAAUAUAUUUCCUUGAGAACAUUAUUGUGAUAUUACGGUUACACUUCUAUUAAAAUUAAAAUCUACCAUGGUAUUAUUUGUUUCCUUAUCUAUCAUGUGGCAGCUGACUACAGUAGCCCUUUAUGAUACUCUUCGAUCAUACAAUUGACAGUCCAUAACUGCAGCAAAUAUCAACAUCUAAAAAACUAGAGGGAGAUUAAAUAUGUGAGUUAGAGUGAUAAACAAAGAUAUGUUGAUGAAAUGUUUAAGCAAACCACCUACAAGGCUGAGAUUGUACAAUAAUUCAAAGCGAGCACUAGGUAUUACAACAAUCCCAAAUGAACAGCAACGCGAAAUGGCAAUUUAUAUAGGCCCGAGUUAAUAAAUGAAGUUCAAAUCCAAAUGCUCAGGAAUUGUUGGCUAUCAAUUACUUGUGUAGAAACGACAACAUACAAAUCACACUUGGAUCUUAUCGAUUUGUAGCCACGAAAAUAGCAGGUGCGAUGUUGCAACCAGUAAAAGUAAACAGAAAAUAUCAAUGAAGCAAAAGAAGGGAUAUAUUUCAUUCUGCUGCUACUUAAAGAAAAGCUUACUUACUCAAUUAAUACAUCAUAAUAGCAUAUCCAUCUGACUAAUCAUCUUACGUAUUGUGCAAAACUUCAGCUCCAUCAUGUCCACCACCAAUGGCCAUGCGUACAAGGGGGCAUUGCAACCAUUAUUUAUCUCAUCUUGAGAAACAUCUGCACUGCAUCAAUGCACUAAUACUUCCAUUUGGAUAAACUCACAUAUGUAAUUUGAGGAAAAAAAACUCCCAUUUGAUACAUCAUGACGAGUAGACAAAUAAAACCCCAUCUACUAUCAAAUAAAGAGAAUAUUCUCGAAACAAUUCAUACCCACUAGUGCCACAAAACUGAAGAACGUGCACUCUUAGACUAUUAGCUGACCUGAAGGUAGAAGUUACCUAAAAUUAUGCUUAGGCUCGCUCCAUGCCAAAGUGGAUAAAAUAAAAUAUACCCACACUAAUAAACUCUAGCAAUAAAAAGGAUCAUGAUUAUUCAUUUUUAAAAUAUAUUCAACUUGUAAAGAUAAUAAACUCAAUUUGUUGAUUGUCUACCUUGCCACUGUCAGAACAACUGUUUUUAAAAUAUCAAGCCAAAUCGCUAUAGUGGAAUUUAAAAUUAGCAAGACCAAUGAUAACAAAUAUUGAUUGAAUGGAAGCUUCCGAAUAUGCCUACUGAUCUACCUAUUUGACAUUUCAUUGGUUCAAGCUAGUUGUUAUUCAUGUAGUUGUCUUCAGUUGCCAGCCGUUAUGUAUGUCAUAUUCUCAUCUUCAGAAGUAUCUGCAACGGAGCUAUGCACUAAUACUAACAUUGUACAAUUCUGAAUAUGCCAGUAGGCAGGCAACAAUAAAAUGUAAUUCGAUUAUUAUACAAAGAACUGCUGAUCAUUGUGUCAUUGUUUUAUUCUAGGAUGACAACAGAGCAAACAGAUAAUGAAUUUCACACCUCUGACUCAAACCAUAUAAUUCCAUAAUAAGAGUAUGAGAAUAGGGGGGGAAAGCAUUGCUACAUUUUGUUUUGCUUUUUGACAAAGGAGACACACAACCGGUUUCAACUAAGGGAACUCAAAAUCAUGAUAGAGUUGAAUCGCCUCUCCAGAAAAGCAGAACUGGCUAGCUACCAGUAAAAGAUGUUUUUCCAAAAUCAUAACCAUCACAUAGAACGCCACCUCACAAACAUCCAAAAAGAAAAUGCUAGAACAGCAUAGCUAUAUGUUAAGUAGAUCAUCGAGCAAUAAAAGAAACGAUUUAUAUGAAACUUGUUAGCUUAACACGAAAGGAUGUGAACAGCAUUCAAUCAACCAAUUAUAAACAAUAUCUUGGUUUUGUUAUACCUACAAUGUAAAGGCAUAUGCUAUUACCUGCAACAUAGACAUUUUCGAACGGAUGAUAGCGAGCCACGAAGUUGGUUCUGGAAACUUUCUUGAACUGUAGCGAUUCAAGCUGGAUCGUGAAGAGGUCGGUAGGUGUCCGUAGGAACACCACACUAUUGUACUCAGCAAACCCCUUUAUGCAUAGGGGCUCUCUCUUGUUCUUCCUUGAACUCAUGAGAAGUAGCUUAUCCAGUUCAACAGUUCUUGCCAGAACCCAUGAAGCAACAUUAUCAGAAUCGGUCUCCAUCUUCCAUAAUUGGGCGCUGAACUUUGACAGAAAGAAAAUACCAAGGCCACCACCGUCUGCCCACAUAAGCUGGAGUUUGCUAGGAAUGGCAUCCACCAGCACUGGUAACAGAGAUAGGACCUGCCUCUCCAAAUCAAACUCAAGGAUGCCAUUCGAUCUUUCCUUAAUUUUCAUGUCAGAGAGCAACCAGUACACGUAAUGCCCAACUAGGAUACUGGGAAAUCCCGUACAAAUCACGGAAGUACUAGGAUCCUUGGGUGGAAGCAGUAAUGAGAUGAGAGCACCCCAUCCGCCAAUCUUGGACGAGUAAACACGGGCGAUCGUUGUAUCUCCUUGCUCACUCCUGACACCACAUACCAAAGAAAAAGAAAAAGGAAGCAGUACCAGAAACCAGUCAUCUUUCAGUCACCGCAUCCCAAGGUAAAAGAAAAAGAAAAGUGGUACCAGGCAGGCAAGCAGUUGCAGUUGCAGUUCAACAUUCAACAUUCAUUAGCAAGGGCCAGAUAAAAGUUCAACAUGACAUAAUAGAUCCGGAUUAGGGAAUUACGCGGUUAAAUUCCUACAAGUCCACGCACAGUUAACCAGUGUGUGCUACGUAGUCCGAAGAGGGAGCAAACCACAGAAACACCCAACAAGCCAUUUCUGCAUCUCAUUCUCAGCAACACGGAAUGGAAGAACCUACCUCCCCCACAAGCCACCUGCACACUUGAUAAUACCUGUGGAGUAAUAAUCAAUGUCUACGAUGGUCAACAACUUUGUACUGUUAGUAUUCAGGGUGGACACGGUCCAGGCCGGUCCGGUCCCGGUCCGAGCCGCCGUUUGGACCGGCCGCCAGCGAUCCGGGCCGGACCAGACCAAGCAGCAUGACGGUCCUGAUUUUAAGGACCGGACCGGCGACGUUGAAGCCCGGGCCAGACCGGCCAAUGACCACCGGCGGCGACUUGCACGGGGUGUAGCGGCGAGGUGUGCGACAUGCGCGGUUGCUGUGGCGACAUGGGUGGCAUGCGCAACCGCUGGCGACAAGGUGGGCACUAUGUGCACUCGGCGGCGCCGCUGUUAUUCCUGAACCACGACCGCCAUUGUCGUUCCCAACCUUGAACCUGCAACACUAACGCCAUACAUGCACGGGACGUGCCCCAUCUAAACGGGAAAAGAAUUCUAUGCGACCAGGUCUCACGCAAGACUCAUCCUGAUGGAUGACACGUGGCAUUCACAAAUCACAAAGCAUCUACCCCAUCCCCACUUGAAAUCAGGGGGGGAUAUUAGAUGCUUUGGGAGUUGUAAAUGCCACGUGUCAUUCAUCAGGGCGGGUCUCACCUGCUAACCAUGAGACCUGGUCUCAUAUAAUUUUUUUUCAUCUAAACGGCAUGCACGCAUGGAAGGUGCCCGAUCUAAACGGCAUGCCCGCACAGGAUCCGGCUUGCCUGCUCCCUCUCUGUACUCCCAUCCGUGCUCCCACUUCAUCCUACGGCUGUUUUUUUUCUUUUUUCUUUCUAAUCUAAUCAUCUCCCCCCUGAUUUUAAGAGGGUGGGGCCGGGCCUUAUUUUGUUCCAAUCAAAUCAAGCCACGUAGACGGGAGCACGCAUGGGCACACGACGGGGGAGCAGACAAGUCUUGUCCGCCCGCACAGAACUUGUGGCUUUUCAGUUUUCUCUCUCUCUUUAUUCCUUUGCAUAACAGCCGUGCCUGAUGACCUGAUCUAAACACCAUCCUCGCAGAGGACGUCGCCGAUGAUGCCCCGAUCUAAAUGGCCUGCGCAUGUUAGUUCCUUAUAGCAGUUUAUCUAGUACACAUGGAAGUAGUAUAGCGCGUGCACGAGCCCGCGAUUUUGUCUCAAUUUUGACGUGGAUCUAGUCAUGGGAUAAUGCCAUGAUUAUCGGAUCGCACCCCACCUCUUUUGUUCUUUCUUGUUUUAUGUUCGACAGAAUAAAAGGAAAGGAAACUGGAUUGAGGAGGGGCGCGGCAGUGACACACGGAGGGGGCGUGGCGUCGCGGAUCUCGCUGGCGCCAUAGCAGGGCGUCGCCGGCGCGGUGGCUGGGCGGAAGAAGCACGUCGCCUUCGGCCCGACCGAGCUAGACCGGGCCAAGGCAGGACCGGACCGAUCAAUUUCCGGUCCACUUCGGUCCACGAGCGGGCCCAACAGACCGCUCGUCCCGUCCAGCCUGAGUUAGUAUCUCACAGUUUUCGUAUGAUUUAAACACCUAACAUUAGCUUUUGCUACUAAAGAAAGGAAGAGAAAGACCAAGUCCUUGCACAGUAGGCCUAGUUUCACCUUCAAGAGAGUAAUUAGCAAGAUCCACCAAAAAGACGGAACUACAGGCUUUACUGGCCGCCGCAUGAAAGGAUUUCAAGUUUACAUCUCCGAAGCGGACUCAUCUGAUAGUGCAACUAUAUUCCCAGUAGAGCUUAAUGUGAUUUUUUUAAUGACUCCUCUAAAGUUGCUUUUACGACUAUGUUCCAAUUUGUAAUAAGCAACGAGAGGCGGGAAAGAUUUCUUCUCCAGAUUUGAAAGGCUCUUCUUUUUUUUAAGAGAAAAGGCCUAAGCCUGACUUUAUAAAUAAAGCCACACGGCAGCGUCACAGACCCGAACAAACCCAAACAUUUAGCGGAACACCGCAAAUCCAGCGAACAAAGAGCCUGGACAGGGGAACAAAGGUUCAAAGAGAUACAUGGCCACCUGUCGUACACGGCGCACAGGACGGAGGGAGAAAGAAGACUACCACCAGACGGACAUAACCGCAGAGAAAGAGAUCAGUAGUUUGAGACCAGCCCUGAGAUGUGGGAUGCCGAAGCCCGAAUUUUGGCGAUGAGCACGUCCAGGGCAUCCCGACCGUCGUCUUUAGUCAAUAAUCUCCACUGCUGCAAUAGGAUACAAGAUUUGAAAAGAACGUCAGCAGGUUUAGAUGGAAAGGUAUGCUCAAUAGUAAACUUGUUCCUAAUAGUCCAAAGAGCCCAGCAUAAGGCACCCAAGCCAAUCCAGAACACCCUCUUAGUGACCCCAACCAAAACCUUGGCUAGGAUUCUAAGCUCAGAGAAGGACGAGGGAUUCCAAGACACCUGGAGCCAAGACCUGACACAACUCCACACCAACUUAGCCAACACACAAUGGAAAAAAUGUGUUCCGUGUUUUCCAGAGCACCACAAAGGUGACAGAAUUCCGAGCCCGGACCAUUGCGCUUGCGAAUCUGGUCGGCCGCAGGAAGGCGGCCUCUAAAGGCUUGCCAAAGGAAGAUCUUAAUCUUAGGCGGCACUUUGGACUUCCAGACAUUAGAAAACCUAUUCGAGGGGGUGCCACCGAUAAGCCUAGAGUAAAGCGACUUGACCGAAAACCUACCAGAGGACGAAUGGGGCCAAACAACAGUAUCCGGCGACUCUGAGAGCACAGGGAAGAUGACAGAGAGGCUUUGCCAGUCUUCCAACUCUUCAGGAGACAGGGAACGGUGAAAAGCCAGAUCCCAAUUAUUAUCCGCCACCUCCGCGAUGGAAAUGUCCGGCUUAGGACAGUACGAAAACAAAAUCGGGAACCUAACCGCCAGAGGGGUAUCACCACACCACAAAUCCCGCCAGAAACGAACCGAAGUACCAUUACCCACGAUAAAUUUAACAUGAUCCAUAAAAAUAGGCCUGACUAUGACAAGGUUCUUCCAGAAUUGAGAACCGCGUCUAGCAGAGGCAAACAUGGGGUUAGAGUGAGGGAAAUACUUGGCCUUGAGAAUAGAGUACCAAAGAGACUCGGCCCCAGUAGUCAUAAUUUUCCACCACCAUUUAAUUAACAAGCAUUUGUUCAUCACCAACAUAUUAAUAAUGCCUAACCCCCAAGGUUUUUAGGCCUACACUUAAGCUGCCACUUGACCAAUCUAUAUUUCCGCUUGUUAUCCGCAGCAUUCCAAUAAAAAGCACCCCUGUGUUUGUCAAAGCCUGCAUGAAUGCCGGCCGAUAGGAGAUAAAAGCCCAUAAGGAACAUAGGAAGGGACGAAAGACAGGAGUUAAUUAAAGCAACCUUGCCAGCGUUAGUAUUGUAUCUCCCGCGCCAUGGAAGAACCCUGUUUCCCACCUUAGCGAUAGUCGGAGCAAAGUCCUUAGCAUGAAGCAUGAUAGGAGAAAUUGGAAGGCCCAAAUAUUUGAAGGGAAAGGAACCUAAAGAAUAGUUAAGAAGCCUAGCCACACGUAAGGCUUCCGCGUCAUCAACACCAGUAACUAGGACCUCACUCUUGGAGAAGUUAAUCUUCAGGCCAGAGACCGCUUCAAAGCAAAGCAGGAUGAAUUUCAAGUUGACAAUACAAGCAUCAUCCAACUCCACCAUAAUGAUCGUAUCGUCGGCAUACUGCAGGUGAGAGACCCCAUCCGGAAGUAAAUAGGAGACCACCGGACUAAUAUGACCGCACUGGGUCGCCCUAGCGAGGAUGCAAGAGAAGGCAUCGGCCACAAAGUUAAAAAGAGCAGGGGACGCAGGGUCCCCUUGACGGAGGCCUCUGCAAUUGGCAAAAAAAAUUACUAAUAUGCCCAUUCAUCGAAACGGCAGUAUGGCCACCCGAGACCAACUGCAUGAUACGAUGCACGUAAGCGCCGUCAAAACCUUUCGCGAGCAGGACCUACUUAAGAAAUGACCAACUAACUGAGUCGUAGGCUUUCUCAAAAUCUAACUUGUAGGAUCGAAAGUAUGUCUAGAGGGGGGGGGGGUGAUUAGACUACUUGACCAAAUAAAAACUUAACCUUUUCCCAAUUUUAGUUCUUGGCAGAUUUUAGCUAUUUUAGGACAAGUCAAGCAAUCAUCACACAAUUCAAGCAAGCAUGCAAAGAGUAUAUUGGCAGCGGAAAGUAAAGCAUGCAACUUGCAAAAAUGUAAAGGGAAGGGUUUGGAGAAUUCAAACGCAAUUGGAGACACGGAUGUUUUUCCCGUGGUUCAGAUAGGUGGUGCUAUGCUACAUCCACGUUGAUGGAGACUUCAACCCAUGAAGGGUAACGGUUGCGCGAGUCCACAGAGGGCUCCACCCACGAAGGGUCCACGAAGAAGCAACCUUGUCUAUCCCACCAUGGCCAUCGCCCACGAAGGACUUGCCUCACUAGCGGUAGAUCUUCACGAAGUAGGCGAUCUCCUUGCCCUUACAAACUCCUUGGUUCAACUCCACAAUCUUGUCGGAGGCUCCCAAGUGACACCUAGCCAAUCUAGGAGACACCACUCUCUAAGAAGUAACAAAUGGUGUGUUGAUGAUGAACUCCUUGCUCUUGUGCUUCAAAUUAUAGUCUCCCCAACACUCAACUCUCUCUCACAGGAUUUGGAUUUGGUGGAAAGAAGAUUUGAGUGGAAAGCAACUUGGGGAAGGCUAGAGAUCAAGAUUCAUAUGGUAGGAAUGGGAUAUCUUGGCCUCAACACAUGAGUAGGUGGUUCUCUCUCAGAACAUAUGAGUUGGAAGUGUAGAUGUGUUCUGAUGGCUCUCUCCAUGAAUGAAGAGGAGGUGGAGGGGUAUAUAUAGCCUCCACACAAAAUCCAACCGUUACACACAAUUUACCAAUCUCGGUGGGACCGAAUCACAAACUCAGUCAGACCAAAAUAGUAAACCUAGUGACCGUUAGAGAUUUUCGGUGGGACUAACAUGCAACUCGGUAGGACCGAUUUUGUUAGGGUUAGGGCAUAGCGUAAUCUCGGUGAGACCGAUUACACAAACUCGGUGAGACCGAUUUUGGUAAUUAGCUAACCAGAGAGUUGGUCAGGCAAACUCGAUGGGACCGAUUUGCUCUUUCGGUCAGACAGAAAAGUUACAAAAAGGAAACACUGAAUUUACAUUGCAAUCUCGGUGGGACCGAUCCGCUCUUUUGGUGAGACCGAAAAGUUACGAAAAGGAAACGGAGAGUUUGCAAUCCCAUCUCGGUGAGACCGAGAUCCCUAUCGGUAGAACCGAUUUGCUAGGGUUUGGCAAUGGCUAUGACAAGUGAAACUCGGUGGCGCCGGAUUGAAAGAAUCGGUAGGACCGAGUUUGGCUUUGGGUUUAGGUCAAAUGUGGAUAUGGGAAAGUAGCUGAGGGUUUUGGAGCAUAUCACUAAGCACAUGAAGCAAGAGGCUCAUUAAGCAACACCUCAUCCCUCCUUGAUAGUAUUGGCUUUUCCUAAAGACUCAAUGUGAUCUUGGAUCACUAAAAUAUAAAAUGAAGAGUCUUGAGCUUUUGAGCUUGAGCCAAUCCUUUGUCCUUAGCAUUUUGAGGGUUCCACUUUCACCAUCCAUGCCAUGCCAAUCAUUGAGCUUUCCUGAAAUAAUCUUCUUGGAAUAGCAUUAGCUCAAUGAGCUAUAUGUUGUUAUGAAUUACCAAAACCACCUAGGGAUAGUUGCACUUUCAAUCUUCCCCUUUUUGGUAAUUGAUGACAACAUAUAGAUCAAAGCUUCGACAAAUGAUAAUAAGAAUGAAAUAUAUCGUUGCUUUGAGAAGUAUGUGAUAAGUAAGAGCUCCCCCAAAAUUUGUGCAUAAUUAAAAUUUGCUUUGGACUGCAAAUGCACAAAGAGUUAGAGUCAUGGGUUACUCUUCCAUGUCACAUACAUCUUGGUGGAGCGCUUAAAAUGAUAAGAAUGAAAUACAUGUACUCAUCACCAAGAAAAGUGAAUGAUCACAUAAGAUAGAUAAGAUAAUAGCAUUCACCAAGCAUUAAGUGUAGCUUGUGAUCAAACACAUGAUCAUCAAUGUCUCACAGAUAAGAGCAUAGUAUCUCAAGCACUCAAAAGCAAACAAAGAUUGAAAAACCACCAAAUAAAGCAAGAGAGAAAAAAACAACACUCUCUCUCUCUCUCUCGAAGCCUAUGAUCUAUACAUUUUUCUCCCCCUUUGGCAACAAGUUACCAAAAAGUUCCUAGAAAAUACAUAGUGCUAGAUCGACUCUCAGGCUUGGUCUUCUGGUGGUGGUGGAGUCUGGAUCACUCGAAGGACGAAGCCUUCUGUAGAGGUGGUUGGAGUUGAGGUUGAAGUAGAUGCUGGAGCUGGUGGAACUGAAGCUGUAGAUGGUGCAGAAGUGGUGGCUCUGGUGUCAGCAACUGGCACUGCGGUCGACCUCUGAGCUCUUGGCAUGCUGGCAAAUGCAUCAGUUGUAGUCUUGCCCUUCCUCUCCUGCAUAUCAUCCUGUAAUUGUUCCACUGCAGACUGAAUCUCUGUUACUUUGACAUCCAAGUCAUAGAACUUUUGUUCCAUGAUCCUCUCUAAGCUCUGCUGAUUCUGAGUGAGGGUGGCUAGUCCUUUCUCAAUCCUCAGUGUGGAUGCAAUCAAGUAACUAAGCUGCUCCUGCUUGGUUUUCAAGAAAUACUCAGAUGCCUCCUCUUGAGUUGGCAUCUUGGCAGCUUUCUCCUUCCUUGCCUUCUCCUUCUGUGCUUGUGCUUGAGCUGAUGAUGGUUCAUUCUCAUUCAUCACAACUUGGUUGUCCUCAAAGUCUGGAUGAAUAGGCAAGUGUUCCUUGUCCAGCAAGUAUGUGCUUGUGCCCAUUUUUGAGUUGAUUAGCUCCUGAAUCUGAGGGGCAUAACCACAGCUCCUCUUCUGAUCUGCUGAGUCCUCUUGAUAGUUUCUACUAUGAGGCUCAUGAACUUGAAUUUCCGAGGCACAUCAAAUAUAUGUAGCAAGUUAAUGGCGUGACCUCUGAUCAUUCUGUGAUCUCCAGACUUGGGCAAGAGUGUGUGCCUAAGGAUCCAGUUGAUCGUAGGCAGUCCUGACAACAAGUGUUUUACGGACCCAAGCUUGUGAGUGUCAAUAGCAUCUAUUGGAAUCUCCUUGUACAUAUUUGCCAUUGAGUUAUGAUCCAUAUUUUUCUUGGCAUAGACAUCCAAGUCAUCCUCAUGCUCCUUUGGGGCAUUGAUGAGCUGUGCCCACUCAGCAACAGUUGAUUGGUACCUUGUACCUUCAGACAUCCAUAUUAUCCUUCCAUCUGGGUAGAAUUGUGCUGUGGAGUAGAAUUGCAUAAUGAGUUCCUCGUUCCACUUUGUGAGCUUCUGCCCAACAAAGUCUGCAACUCCACAAGCACCAAAACUGUCAAUCACACCAGGAUAGUGUUCCUCAUUGUCCUUGAUGUACUCCCAAUCAACCCAUCUCAUGUCACAAACUAUGGGCUUCUUAUCAAGCAGCAUUGUCUCAUAGAAAUCUUGCUGUUCCUUGGUGUGAAACCUGUAAUCAAUAGCAGUUCUUCUCCUUGAAGCAUACGGGUCUGCUUCUCUCCACUUCCUCAGCCCUGAGUCUCUUCUGAGCUUCAUGUCCUCAGCCAUAGGAUGAGCAUCAUUGUGGUCUGGGAUCUUGGGCUUGAGCUUCCUCAGAACAUGCUCUUCAUCAUCUUCUUCAGCAGAUUCAGGCACUGGGGCCUUGUUCUUUUCAGUUGCAGGUAUGCUCCUUGUAUUCCUCUUGGUUGCUGACUUGGGCUUGGAGGUAGCUUUGGGUGCUUCUUUGGGCUUAGACGUGGCAGCCCCUGAUCUUAUAGCAUCACCCAUAAGCUUAGGUGCCUUUGGUGCUGGUGCAGCAACCUCUUCUUCUUCCUCUUCUUCCAUGAUGGAAGCCUUUCCAAGCACUCUGGCUACAGUCUUCUUGACCCUUUCCUUCCUUUUCUUUCCUUCAGCAGCAACUGGCUCUAUGGGUGCAGGCUUUUCAGGAAUCUGAGUUGAAGCUCUGGCCUUUGGCAUAGGCUGCCUACCUGCUGGCCUUUUGAUUUCCAAGCCUGGCUUUGUGCUUUGAGCUGAGCCAUAUUCCUUCUUGAUCACAACUCUAUUUGAUGUGGCUUCCUCUUCCUCUGCCACAUAAUCUUCGUCCUCAGAAUCUGAAGUCCUCUUCUUCCUUUGUCUGGUGGCAGCUUUUGGUAAAUUGCUUGGGGUGCUCCUGCUGCCUUCAUCUGAAGAACUGGAGGGACUAGUGCCCUCACUCAUGUGCACCUGCUCUUCUGACAUGUUCUGGCUUUCACUCUGAUUAGACAUGAUGUAAAAGCUGACUGCUGACCCUGUGAAGAGUUUAUAGAUGAGGUAGAGUGGAUGAGCAUCACAAAAUGCAGAGAUUUUUGCAAAAGAAUGAUUCAAAAACUUAGUUUUAGUUUUCCACUGAAAUCAUCUCGGAUCUACCGAUUUGUAAACUCGGUGAUACCGAAGCAGUUUUUGGAACCUAAACUAGUGAACUCGGUCAGACUGAGUCACAGUUCGGUGGCACCGAGACUGCUAGGGUUUCACAAAGUUCCAAAAUCGGUCACACCGAUUAGUAAUUCUCGGUCAGACCGAGUUUCGCUUGUGCAAUGGCAUAAGCCAAAUCGGUGGGACCGAGUUUUUCAACUCGGUGGGUCCGAGAUGGUUUCGGCGGAAACCUAACCCUAAACAUUUCGAAUCAAAACUAAUCUACGAACGCAUUGACUGGAUAGGAGUGUUUCAAUCAUGGCAAGAAUCAUUAAGAACACAAUGUGCUAGGAAUCGGACGGGGAAUAGCACUGUGAUCGAGUCCAUACCCUAGUUCGGCGGAGACUCGCUACGGCGGCAACGACGGGGUUGAAUUCCGUUGACGGCGAUGGAGACCAGCGACUAGAGGCGGCUGGCGGCGAGGAGACGAUCCGGAGACCACGAUGGCAGAGCAAGCUAUCGCGCGGGCGAAGGGGUUCGGAGAAAUUUCCAAAUUUUUGCCCGUGACUAUAUAUAGCCCGACUCUGUCAGUGUGACCGAGUGGAACAACUCGGUGGCACCGAGAUGCAAAACUGUAUACAGUUAUUGCAACUCGGUGUGACCGAAUGGUUCAAAUCGGUUGCACCGAGAUCGAAAAUUCAUAUCAACUUAAUGAUCUCGGUAGGACCGAAAGUAGGAUAUCGGUCAGACCGAGAAUCACAAAGAGGUUUUGGAAGUUUAAGCAAUGACGAAUCGAGGACUCCGAGUGCUCCUCACACAGAGUGGUUCGAAUCUGACUUGAUCAAAUUUUGUGAUGUAGCAUGAAUAGAGUUUGAGACGAGAAAAGCAUAGAUAGCUAGAGGAGGUUCUUAGGCAUUCUUGUCCAUCCACUUGGCAAAAGGAGAUAAAACUAAACAAUCAAAACAACAAGUGGAUGUCCUCGAAUGAGUAAAAUAUGCAACCAACAUGCUCACACAAUAAAAUGGCAAUGGAAAUAUAUGACAAAGCAUGCACAACCAAUUCUAGCAUCUAUCAAGCAAUUGGUGAUGACUAGGUCAUCUAUAUAUGAGUAUAUUGACUUAGGAGUCAAGUGAGAACACUUGAUCAUAGGUCAUACUCAUCGUUUAAGCUCAAGUUGGGUUACCACUUUUACAUAAAGCAUUGUUGUGUUCACAUCUUUAGAGUUGCUUUAGCUCAAGUCUUAGAGUAAAGCUCCCCCUAGAUGUGAUAUCCCCCCUAAGAGGGAUGAACUAACCUUGGGUUUUGUCCAUGAUGACUUCAUGUAGAUGUUGAAGAUGUGGAUGCUCAAUGUUAAUGUAGAUCACUUGGAGCUAUCCAUUUGAGUGAAUUGCACUUUCAAUACCUACACGGGUUAGUCCCACAAGGAACAAACAAGGAUAUCCAUAGACAUAGAGUGAUGCACACACAAGAUGAUGUCCAUGAAAACUUUAGGUUACCUUGUCCCUUGUCUUACCAACAAGAGGGUUUGUGACUCCUUGAACUAGUGCAAGAUGUGGAAGUUGAUUGCACUUGUUCUUGCAAAAAUGAUAAGAGUGAAGUAUGUUGGCGGAGUCACCCUCAAGAACUCUCUAGUUCUUCUUCUUUUGGAUCCACACCAUCUUGAUGGGAAUCCUUGGAGUUGUGGUCGUACUUGAUGAAGUGGAACUUGAAGUGGUCUUGGGAAUCCACUUGACUAAGGUUUUAGGAGCUUCUUCAAAUGCAUCAAUUUCCUCUUGAAGCUUGUCCUUGCCUUUUUGCUUGUAGUCUUGUGGUGGAAUAUCAUCUUGAGUUUGUGUUCCCUUGAAGGAAGUGUCAUACUUCUCUUGUUGAGGAACAAACUUUGUCUUGGGGUAUUGAUCUUCUUCCCACUCAACUCCAUUGGCAUUGAAAUUUCGUUCAAAACCAACACCUUGAUUCUUCCGGUGCAUUCCUUGCUUGCGCACAAUUUCCUCGAAUUGCUUACUCCCGGCAAGGCUUUUGUACACUCCUUUCUCUAUAAUUCCUUUCAAUAAGCUAUUUUCCUGCUCAAGUGUAACUUGGCUAAGAGAAUCAUUAGUGGAAUCAAGAGAACUACUAGAAGCAACAAUAUUGGAUUUAGCAUGAUCAUUGUUACUACUAGAGGAAGAAUCUUCACUACUAGAAAAAGGGCUAUAGAUGGGAUUGACACUAAUGGCGCACCAGACAAGCGGUGCGCCAUUAGUAUAUACUAAUGGCACACCACCUUCUGAUACGCCAUUAGAGUUGAAACUACUAAUGGCGCACCUGGCCCAGGGUGCACCAUUAGUAUCAAAUUUUUUUUUGAACUAGUGCGCCUGUCCAAACAUACUAAUGGCGCAUCCAGACACAGUGCGCCAUUACUAGUUGUAACUAGUAAUGGCGCACAUGUCGGAAAGUGCGCCACUAAUGUUGUUUUUUUAUUAUAUUUUUUAUUCCUUUUUUUUGCAAAACUACUAAUGGCGCACUGUUCCACCGUGCGCCAUUACUAGUUUAAACUAGUAAUGGCGCACUGUGGGACAGUGCGCCAUUAGUAUGUUUUUUUUGCAAAACUACUAAUGGAGCACCACUAGAUGGUGCGCCAUUAGUAACCUGGAUUACUAAUGGCGCAUUUAGAGUUGGUGCGCCAUCAGUAAGUGGGCAGCAACAAGAUAUUUUGGACAACCUCUCCUACCCACACUCACUUUCUCCCCACUUCAUUCUCUCCACCUCCUCCUUGUCUCGGGUGCCUCCUCUUUUUCACCUCAUUUCCACCAUAGAUUCAUUCAAAUUAAGUGGUUAAAUUACAUUGUUUUGAUAGGUAAGUAAGGGGGGAAGCUAUAUUUAUGUUGUUCUCCCUACAACAAUGUGCACAUGCACUUUUUAUGGCCUAACUAGAUCUAUGUAUGUUCGUGGUGUUGCAUAUGUUUGUGGUGUUACAUAUGUGUUUGUGUUUGGAGGUGUACCGGUAUUUGAAAUGCGAUAGUUGCCAAUAUUUUGCCGGAAUGUGGAUUCAUUUCUGUUUCGGCGAGAAUUUUGGCAUUAAGCAUUCUUUUUGGUCCUAUUUUUAGGGAAAGUCAUGCCAAAUUUUUUCUUGGUUCUAAAAUAUCGUUUUUCUCUACCCCGCAGGCGACCAUGGUCCGCACGUUGAUCGAAGGCAUCGUGAAUAGGUUUUUGAGAUCUGCGAAGGCCGAGAUGCUUCAAAAGAACGAGACGGAGAUAAGAUGUCCGUGUCGAAGAUGCAAGCUAAAGAGCCUUAUUGCGGACCCGGAUUCCGGGCAGGUGCGAGACCACCUCCUCUUGCGUGGUUUCAUGGAUGGCUAUCGGUGGCAAGGUGAUGAAGAUGACUACAAAGUCGUCCAUGGGGGCAGGGCAAGAAAUGAGGAAGGGCAGCAAGACAACCACCGCGGCUCGGGCAGGCGAGAAGACGAAGAAUCCCCAGGAGAUGAUCACGAUGGUGAUGCUGUACACAGUCAUCAUGUAGAAGAUGCAGGACAUGAUGAUGAGGAAGAUGCCGGAGCAGACGACGGGCAUGAUCAUGAAGAUGAUGAUGCCGGCGGAGCAGACGACGCUGGACCAUCGAUGGGCUGGGUGCAGGACCCUCAUAUUCAAGAGCUGCUUCUCAAGCAGACGGAUAACGCAAGAGCUGUCGCCCGAGAGAAAGCCAAGAUGGAUCAACUUGAGUUAGACGCGGUUACUCCAUUGUAUGAAGGAUGCAGGCCCGAGGAUACCCGCUUGAAAGUAACGCUCAUGGCUCUGGAGAUGAAGGUAAAAUACAAAAUGACCGAGGCAUGCUUCGAUGAGAACAUGUCAUUCUGGGACGAACGUCUUCCCAAGGGGAACAAGUGCCCGACCAGUUUGGAGGAGGCGAAGAAAAUCGUGUGUCCUCUGGAUUUACCGCACGUGAAAUACCAUGUGUGGAUGAACAAUUGCAUCAUUUAUCGGGACGAGCACGCGGAGUCUACCAUAUGUCUGGUGUGCUGCGUCACUCGAUACAAGAAGAGGAAGAAAGCUCAUCGAAAAGUGGUGUGGUACUUUCCGAUCACUCCUCGUCUGUAGCGGUAUUUCGCGGACCCUAAGGUAGCAAAGCUCCUGCGUUGGCACGCGGAUAGGGAGGAGAAGAAGCAAGAAGAUGACGCAAAUGAUCCGGAGAUAGAUAAAAAAGACAAGAUGCUGAGUAACCCUAAGGAUGCGAGCCAGUGGCAAGCGUUGAACUUCGAAGACCCAGAAUUUGGGAACGAUCCAAGGAACAUCGUGCUGGGCGCGAGCACCGAUGGAGUCAAUCCAUUUGGCAGCCAGAGAAGCACACAUAGCACCUGGUCUGUGUUUGUGUGGAUGUACAACCUUCCCCCCUGGUUGUGCAUGAAGAGGAAGUACAUUCGCAUGAGUAUGCUAAUUGAAGGACCAAAGCAACCAGGGAACGACAUCAAUCUGUAUCUGGGGCUGCUGAAAGAGGAGCUUGACACGCUGUGGAAAACGCCAGCCAAUACGUGGGACGCCGCAGAGAAAGAAUAUUUCCCUAUGAGAGCCGCGCUGCUCACGAGGGUGCACGACUAUCUCGGUUACGGAUAUGUUGCGGGGUAGGUGGUCCACGGAUUUUCUGGAUGCGUCAGGUGCAUGGAUGACACAACGUAUCGCCAGCUAGAUAGAGAUCCCGGGUCUUUGAAAACCGUGUUCAUGGGACAUCGAAGGUGGCUUCGCGAUGAUGACCCGUGGAGAAAACACAAGGAUUUGUUCGAUGGUGAAACCGAACCCCGAGGACGCCCGCGUACGAGGAGCGGCGAGGAAAUAGACGAGCUGUUGAAAAAUUGGAAAGACUGCCCAUUGCUGGGAAAGAAGCAAAAGGCGCCAGAGCCGGGAAAGAAGCGACAGGCUCCAGAGCCGCUACUGAAGGUACGGAAAACAAGGUCUGUUUUCUGGGACUUGCCGUACUGGAAGAUCCACCGUGUGCCUCACAGCCUUGAUGACAUGCAUAUCACGAAGAACGUGUGCGAGAGUCUGCUUGGUACCCUGCUCAACAUGCCAGAGAGGACCAAAGAUGGGCCGAAAGCAAGGGCAGACUUGAAAUCAAUGGGCAUCAGGCAGGAGCUUCAUGCUAUAUAUGAUGAUGAUGAUGAUGAUGAUGAUGAUGAUGAUGAUGAUGAUGAUGAGGCGAAGCAGGACACGGAAAGUCGUCGCAAAGGCAAAAAGGCCAAUAAGACCGGAAAUGACUACCCUCCCACGUGCUUCACUCUAAGUCAGGAGGAGAUCGAGCAGUUUUUCACCUGCCUCAUAGGAGUAAAACUUCCUUACGGUUACGCGGGGAAGAUAAGCAGAUACCUAGACCCAGCGAAGCUAAAGUUCAGCGGGAUGAAGUCUCACGAUUGUCACAUGCUGAUGACGCAGAUACUUCCAGUUGCAAUCCGUGGGAUCAUGGACGCGCACGUCCGUGAAACCCUAUUUGGCCUAUGCAACUUUUUCGACGUCAUCUCUCGGAAGUCUGUUGGCGUGAGGCAACUCAGAAGGCUACAGGAAGAGAUCAUGGUGAUACUAUGCGAGCUUGAGAUGUACUUCCCGCCCGCAUUCUUCGACGUUAUGGUGCAUCUGCUGGUCCAUAUCGUGGACGAUAUCAUCCAACUCGGGCCGACGUUCCUACACAGCAUGAUGCCGUUCGAAAGGAUGAAUGGUGUCAUCAAAGGAUAUGUUCGCAACAUGUCACGUCCAGAGGGAAGCAUAGCCAGGGGCUUUCUGACCGAAGAGUGCAUCUCCUACUGCAUGAAUUAUUUAGGCAUCGAGAACCCCGUUGGUCUGCCCGUCAACAGGCACCUCGGCAGGCUCGCUGGAUGGGGUCACCAUGAGGGUUGCCGCGAAAUGCAUGUCGACUUCGAGGGUCGACUCGCCGACUUUGAAAGAGCAAACCUAGUCACGCUACAACACAUAGACGUGGUCGAUCCUUGGGUGGUAGAGCACAAAACCUUUAUUAAGAAGACGUACAAUGACCGAGGCCAACAGAGGACGGACGGAGAUAUACUCAAAGAACACAACUCAUGUUUCACGCGUUGGUUCAAGCAGAAGCUUUUGUCGUACCCUUUACAUGAGGAUUCUUCCGCGGAAGAACAACUCAUAUUCGCCUUGUCACAGGGCGCCGAGCACAACCUGAUGACCUAUGAGGCGUACGAUAUCAACGGCUACACAUUCUACACUGAGGCCAAGGAUAUGAAGAGUGAUGGUUAUCAGAACUCCGGGGUAACGAUGGAAUCCUACACCGGUAAUGACAAGGACAGAUACUACGGAAGGAUCGAGGAGAUCUGGGAGCUGAGCUACGCUGGAGAGAAGGUCCCGAUGUUCCGUGUCAGAUGGUCCAAGAGCGUCCUAAAAGAAGACCGGUAUUUCACCACCAUGGUUAUACCCGAAGCCAAAUCCAAGACCGUGGGCGCGAACGUCACCGCGAAAAAUGAGCCAUGGGUACUGGCUUCCCAAGUGGACCAAUGCUUCUUCAUUACCGACCCGUCAAAGCCCAGUCGUGUUGUCGUGAGGAGAGGCAAAAGGAAGAUCAUCAGAAUGGAUGGAGUAGCCAAUGAGCAAGACUUCGACAAGUACGGCGACUCGAGGAUCGAACAUGACGACGAUGAUGAAGUAGCAGCAUACACCACAAGAAGAAGCAGGACCACCCUACCUAAAGGACGCCCGUUCCACAGAAGAACUCCAUUUUUGAAAAAGAAGGGCAAGAAGAUUGUGAACAGAUAGCUAGCUAAGAUCGAUUGUAUUUAAAUCGUAGCCUUCAUUUCUCGAUUGUAUUUCAUGGGCACUUUUUGAACUAUCAUGAAUAUUUUUAAAUUUCAUGGACACUCGAUCUCGAUCCCCCUCCAUCUCGAUCGCUAUCCCACCUCGCCAGAUCCGGUCCCCCUCGCCGCCGAGCACCCCCCGGUCCACCGGCCGCCGCCACCGACCCCCCGCACCCUCGAUUCCCCUACUCAACCUCCGCCGCCGACCCCCCGCACCCCUCCCCUACUCAACCGCCGCCGCUGACCCCCCGCACCCCGCGCACCCUCCCCCGCUCCACUGGCAUUACUGUUUGAUGAUAUUUUUUAAAAAAUUAUUACUGUCUUAUAAAAAAUAUAUUAUUGUUAUGAUUUAAACAAGUUUGAACAUAUUUAAACACAAAUAAGUAUCAAACAGCAUUUUAAAUGCAUAAAAAAAUUGUGGAGCCUGGGAAUCGAACCCAAGACCUCCUGGUGUGAGAACUGGCUGCUAACCAGUCGAGCUAGUAGAGGGAACUUGGUGUGGAUCAGGUCAGAUGGAAGAUAACCUGUUGGCUCCAGCAGAAAUAAAAAAAAUACUAAUGGCGCACCAGGGUGAGGUGCGCCAUUAGUAUGGAUGUACUUAUGGCGCACCGAGGGGUGGUGCGCCAUUAGUAUUGUGCCGCCCCAUCCAUAUUUCCUCCCCGGCCCAAACCUAUCCCCUCUAUCUCCCUCGCCCUCGCCCUCGAUCCCCUUCCCCUCUCCUCUCCUGACGCCGCUGCCCCGCCGCCUCGACACCGCCCCGACGUCGCGAUGCCGCCCCGUCGUCCUCGUCUCCUCCCAAAUGCGAUCUGGAUCGGGGAGCCUUGCCCCUGCGCCCAUCGUCGGCGCCCCGUCGUCCCUGUCGCCCGUCUCCAACCACCGCCGCCCGAGGCCCCGACGUCGGCGCCGCUCUCCCCGUCGCCCCACCUCGUUGGACGCCAUCACCCCGCUGCCCUCGUCGCCGGCGGCCCGGAUGCCGCCCCGUCCACACCACCGUCGCCGGAGCACCACCACCACCCGGACCUCGUUGCCUCCUCCCCUGCGUCAUCGUCGUCCCCGACAUCCUCCCCGCGCCCCACUGCCCUAUCCCUACGGCCCCCGUGAGCUCCCCCUCCUCCUCUCCCCCUCUCCCCCUCGCGCGCACACUACAUGAAUACAGAAAUUUCGUUGACAGUUACUUACCAUGGGUGUAGUCAUCAUUUCGUUUUCUGAUUAAGCGAUGUACUGGGUUCUGCAUUGUGGGGGAGAAAGCUUUCAAAUUGGCUUGUAUGUACAUGAUGAUUUUCAAGGGACAUUUAGCCUAGUUACAAAUUGGUGCUUACAAUACAUGCUUGUGUGUUCAUCGACUGCUCAGGAAUCAGUUGCAGUUACCUUGUGUGAAGUUAUUUGGGUCCUGCAUUGCAGUACAAGGCUCCAAAUUUGGCUUGUAGGUACAUGCAGAUUUUCAAGGGACAUGUAUUAGCUUAUGUUGUUGUUUAAGCAGUGUGUGUGCUUAUUUAUUCAGAAUCAGUUGUAGUAGCCAUCUGUAUGUAUACCCAUCACCUGUCUGUGUUCUUGUUUAAACUGAGCGUUGUGGCCAUGCUUGAUGCAGGAGCUCAAGAACCUGCGGCCGCAGCUCUACUCCGCCUCCGAGUACUGCGAGAAGUCCUACCUCAGCACCCACCAGAAGUAGAUGUGAGUAGCCACCUCAGCUGUUCCUCCUCUCCUCCAUUAGAACAGUUGAUCAGUGUAAAGUAGUCUGAGUUAGAGAAAUGUCGAUCAGUGUUAUGAGUGUUGGCCAAAAAGCUCUGUGAGUAGCUAACUGCCUGAUGUUCUGCUCUGUGAACUGCUAUGUGGUGCUGCUCAUGGAUGAUGGUAGGAAUUUAUGCAAAUAUUCAGAGACACAAAAUAUUGAAGUUGCUGUAACUGAUUACUUUCCCAAGUGAGAAAAAUACAUUCUAUUCUACCUAUUUCAAACUCAGUGAUUGUUGCAGCCAAGAAAUGCCUAGCCAAUGUUAAAUGGUCCUAUAAAUGACAGUACCCUAACAACUAUUCUGCUCAUGAUCUUAUUUUUAUUUCUUUGAUGAAAGUUGGUUCUUUUCAUCCCAAGUUCACAAAAAAUCUUUUACAUUUCUAGUGGUUGCCAAAAGCAUAAUAUGACCCGGACAAACAUAAACUUUGAGGCUGAAAGGAAAUCAAGUAAUGAACCACAUAGGAAUAGAAGGUAAAGAAACUAUGCUAGUUGAGAAUGUACCUCAGGAGUCGAACAGAAGUGCGGCGUCUCAAUAUUUCUUGAAAACCCAUAUUGGCUAGGAUAAUUUUCUUUUAUUACCUUAUUUACACCAAGUUUUAGUUAAACAAUGAUACUUGAAUAAUUUUUUGCUAUUUCUGUUAUGGUUUUGUGGACAGUAUUUGACCUUAUGGUAACUAGUUGGGGUCAGGUUUUGGGGUUUUGAUUAUUGGUAUGAAGUACUGACAGAGGAUCUUAUUCACACCAAGUUUUAGUUAAACACUGGUACUUGAAUGAUUUUGUGCUACUUCUGUUGACAGAGAAUGGCAUGUUAAUACCAUAUAGGUACCCAAAUAAUGUUGCUAUGAUGUAUUGGGGGAGAAAUGGUCCAGUAUUGCUUGUAGUGGUUUGUCCAAAAUGUUGAAUGAUACUGCUUGGAGAUGCAUAUAUUGUUUCACCUCUUCACAUGCCAAUGUAUUUUCCAUGUUGUGAUGGAGGCCUUUUUUGCCUUGUCCACCCGAGAGGCCCUUGAGUUUGCUGGAAUGUCGAUUGACUUCCGUUCUGGCAAAUUCGGGUACUCCAUAUGUCCUAUUUUCAGCAAAGGUCAUGCUGAAAUUUUCCGUGAAUUUUAGCAUGACUUUGCUAAAAAUAGGACAUAUGGGGUACUUGUGACUAAUGCAUGGGCCGGGGUAUCUUAGUAGUUAAUUAAGUAGGAUCAAGUGCCCCAGCGUACUUGUGACUAAUGCAUGGCUUUUAGGGUGCCUCGGUGUCAAUAAAAACCGAAAUGAUGAAAGCUUAGGCUUUUAGGGUGCCUCGGCGUCGAAAAACCCUUAAUGAUAAAAGCUUAGCUUUUAGGAUGCCUCGGUGUCGACAAACCCUAAAUAAUGAGACCAUGAUCUUGUUCCUUGACAAUAACCAACUUUUUGACCAAACUUUGUUCCUAUUUAUAGAGAAACAUGGCCAACAACGAUGAGGCCGGGGGUUCGGGCGGCAAGGCAUUCUGGGAGCUGUCCCAGGAGAUGGAGGAACAACCUCACUUGUAUGAGGACGCCGCCUUCCCCACCGAUCCUGAGACCACUGAUGGUACCGCCGAGGAUGACCCCACUGAUGCCACCACUGAUGGUGCCACCGAGGAUGCCACCAUUGACGAUGGCGGCGCACACACAGAUGGCAGCCAACCGAAGAGGCAACGGAAGGACCGGUGCCCGACCGUGCUCCACACCCUCAAGGAGGAAGUUACUGAAGUGGACUCCGACGGGAAUCCAACGGCGCCCGAAGGAAUAGUCAAGGGGUACUCGCUUCAUCUCGGGUGCAUUCUUCGGAGCACCGUCUGGAUCAACACCGAGAACCUAAGGCAUCCUGACCGAGGGAAUUUGCGCAACCUCCUCUUCACGAAGCUGCACGAACGAUACAAGUUCCCCGCUGAAUUUGAAAACACAAGCCUCAAAGGGAAUAAAGUGAACAAUGCUGCCCUCACGAAGAUGAGCAAGGCCCUGUCUACUUGGAAAAGCAAUGUGAAGAGAAUGAUCGAGAAAGGUGAGAGUUAUGAGAAGAUCAAGGAGAAAAAUCCUUCGAUCACCGAAGAUGACUACAACAACUUCAAGAUCAAUUGCUCGAGCACCGCAAACUCCGAAUCAAGUAAGUGGGGGAAAGAAAUGUGGGAGCUGAACUUAGGGGAACACACACUCGGUCCCGGCGGUUACAGAAGGGCGGAGCCUAUAUGGGACAAGGAGGAGGCGGACCGUGUCGAGCAAGGCCUACCGCCCCUCUUCAAUAAAUACGGUGACAAGCAGACCAGGAACUUUGUCAGGGCCCGGUACAAGAAGGACCCGAAAACAAAGGAGCUUACCACGGAUCCGAAGACCAGGGCGCUUGAGCUUGUUCUGGUAAGGAAUACACCCCCGCGUAAUUAGCUCCAUAUGGUUGCAUUCUAAUUAAUGAAGCCAAAUUUCUAAAUGGUUCACAUUCCUUCCGCAGGCGACUGAAAGCAGUAGCGCGGGGUCGACUAAGAGCAACCCUUGGGACACCACUCUAAAUAGGGCGUUGAAUGUAAUGAAGAACAAGGAUAAGCUCAGUAAGCCGACGUCAGCUGGUCGUGUGGCCGGCAAAGGCUUGUCGACAAAAUGGUCGUCAUACUAUAACACUGGUGGGCGAAAGGAGAAAAAGACCAGCUCGGAAAGCCAGGCGCGCGAGGUUCAAGAACUCAGGGCACAUGUGGCGCGGAUUCCGGAGAUUGUCCAAGAGCAAGUGCAACAACAACUCGGAGCGACGAUCACCGCCAUUGUGCCUACCUUGAUCCAGGGGAUUAGUGCGUGGAUUGUGGGCGGCCAACUGGGGCCGCCCCCGAUUCCUAGCUUCACGGCCAGCAACUCGCAGAACGCGAUGGCGGGGCCAUUGGUGUCUCCGGCGGAGGCGGCAUUGGUGGCUCCGACGCCGGCACGGGAGCUUAAUGCACCCGGGUGUACGCCGGCCGGCUCCUCUGCAGCAAGCGGCCCCUCCGUCAACUGCACGCCCGCCGUUGGCGGUGCCUCGACAUUAGCCGAGCUCGACGCCAUCAUCACGGUAACUAAUUAAGCCUCUCUCGGCCGAGGACUUCAUCUCCUUGCCUUUGACUGGGCAUCCCUGACGCCGUACAUGUUUUCGCAGGGUGCCGCCGACGUUCCGUGCACUCUCCUGCACUUCGUGAACAAUGAGUUGGCCGAUGUCGCCAAGGGAAAAACCGUUCAACCGGGAAACCCCUUGUUCCACGAUACCCAGAUGCCACCCAACUUGUUUAGGGUUCAACUGGUUCGGGUGCUGCCAGGCUGCGACGAGUUGUUACCUCCGAUUCGACCCGUCGGGGCCGACUAUGAUGACGUGAUGAACCUCAGCGCCUGCCUGAGCUAGCCCCUGCUUUGGCCGAAGAGCCAGAUUCGUUUGGGGGCGGGGGCACCACCCCAAAGACAACACCGCCAGUCGUGCCGGCGCCAAGUCGGCCCCAUGGCAAGACCGCCGCAACGGUGCCGGACAUCCCUAUGCCACUGGAUCCAAACAUGCAUAUGGCACAGGAUCAGAACGACGACGACGACGAUACAUUUGCCAACAUCGAUCAGUACUUUGCCGAUCAUGGGUACGGUGGCGACUUCAUGGGGCCUCCUUCUCAAGAACCCAACCCAACAAAAGACGUGCGCGAUCUAGCUGGUACCGCGGAGAAGCCAAGUUGCAACAGGCGUCGUCUGCCGUUCAGCUCUCAGGAGACGCCUCCAGCUGCCGACUUUACCGAGCCUCAGAUAGGCGAGGUGCGAAAUAUUAUCAGCACCAACACACUCAAGAAGGCGGUCUGUGAGCAGAACUCGGUCCCAUUACAGGAGAAGAAGAAGGCAUGCAAAAGAAAGACUAACAAGGGUGCGGGCCAACCGGCACCGAGUACGAUCUGUGCUGAGGACGGGCCACCUUCACCUGAGGAUAUCUCGAGGAGGGUGCAUGUGGCGGGUAGGCCGAUGCUACCGAGAAAUAUGCUCGAUGCUGCAACCGGUGCUAUGCGGAGUCUGCAUGACAGUGUUCUUUCUUUGGAGAAGCCGCGUCUCGCAGAGAAGGAUGUGGCAUACCCGGUUUUCGCGGCCAAGGUGCCAGAGGGCAAGGGCUUUGUGGAUAACUCCAUCGGGGGUACGAUCGUCCUGCGGUUUGAUGACAUCCACGCUAUGUUGAACCUUCAUCCACUGCACUACACCUUCGUUCGGCUAUUUUCGCUGAGUAUGGAGAUGCGGAUCAUUCGCGACAAGACCCCGGACAUCGUGAUAGUCGACCCCUUCUACAUGCGUGCAAAGAUCUUGGGCAGCGCUGGGGACCGGCAAGUCGCGACUUCUUACCUCAAAGGCGUCAUUCUGGCAAACCAAGAUAAGGAUAACUUCCUCGUGCCUUACUUUCCCGAGUUAGUCCUCCCCUCAACCGCCCCGUAACAUAUGAAUUCUUAGAUUUCGAUCGUUUUUCUUUUAACAUUCCGUGUUUUCUGCAGUGACACACAUUGCACACUCAUCCUCCUAAGCCCGAAAUAUUCCAUGGCCACGUAUUUCGACCCGGACCGUCAGUCGAACAUAGAGUACACAAAUGUCAAGAAGGUUCUUGAUGAUGUUCUCCCCGGCUACGUCAAAUCUGGAGGCACCUUCACCAGGCCUAUUCGUAAGUACGGCAAGCACGUGUUCUCCCACAAUACGACGUUCUGCUGCGUCAAGCAGCCGCCUGGCGGUCAAAAGGGUGCCUACUAUGCCAUCCAUCACAUGCGGGCGAUCGUACGGGACCAUCAUCAACUUCUGCUACCGAGUAAACUCAAAGAUUGUGUCGCGAGCGUGUCGGCAAUCCAGGACGCGGACAUCAGACAAGAAUUCUUUCGCAUCCAGUCGAGUUUGCGGAAAUCAUCCAUCAAGAUGUCCUUCGUACCUCGGGGCAGUUCUACCUCAGAAAUCAACCGUCCAAUAGUGACAUCGACACAAUGCUACAAAUGCAGGCUGGCAACGACCGUUAUUUCUUGACUCCCACGAUAGACGGUGGCUUCAUCCACGCUCCGAUCCCUUGAGUCGAGUCGAAAGCAGUGAUGCUCUGUCUAGUUCUGAAACAUCGAUUGGCUCAUGUUGUAAUUAAACUUUAAUGAACUUGUAAUAUGUCUCUUUGGUUUCGAGAGUCGUUCAACUUAGAUGUAAUUGAUGCUAUUAAUGUCUUGCUUUUCUCUUCCGAUCGUUCUGUUGCAUACUUAUAUAUUGCUUAUGUAUUGUCUGUGAAUUGGUACUAACGUUUCGUUUGGCUACUGCAUAGCGAUGCCGUCGUAUGUCGUGUACAAGGGUAAGGUUCCCGGAGUCUACGACGACUGGGAGGAGUGUCGGAGACAGGUUCACCGAUUCAGCGGUAACAGUUACAAAGGGUACACCACUAGGGCCGAGGCCGAAUCUAUAUACGCCCGCUAUCUAGCGGGAGAGGGGAGGGAGCGCUGGAGGAACCGGAUGAAGACGAGUUUCAUCGUGAUGAUGCUCAUCAUGAUGACCGCAGCUCUCUUCUAUGUGAUGGUAGUUUAGAUGAUCGAUAUCGACUUGUAAUGUGAAGACAAACUCGCUACUCGCGGUCUCGAGACUUGUAAUAUAAUGUUCUAUCUUUGUUCGGUCUUUUCAAUUCGGAGACUAAUAUGAUGAAUUGUAUUCGGAGACUAAUAUGAUAAAUUGUAUUCAGAGACUAAUCUUCUAUUGUAUUCGAUGAAUCUGUUGUUGAUGUGUGCUGUCUAUAUUUUGUCCAAUUAUACAUUUUGUAACAUGUGCAAAAAACAGAAAAUAAAAAAAAUAAAAAAACCUAAUAUUCAUACUAAUGGCGCAUCACAUCACAGUGCGCCAUUAGUAUGCCAAAGGAUACUAAUGGCGCAUCAAUAAACAGUGCGCCAUUAGUAUGCCGAAGUUACUAAUGACGCAUCUUGUUGUUGUGCGCCAUUAGUAUGCCAAAGCACCUGGGUAUACAUGGCCCCCUGGGAGGCAUACUAAUGGCGCACUGUUGUAUAUACUAAUGGCGCAUCUGAGGUGCGCCAUUAGUAAAAUAUACUAAUGGCGUGGCACUAAUGGCGCACCACUAAUGCGCCAUUAAUGGCCAAAUUAGGUGCGCCAUUAGUAGGCCUUUUCCAAGUAGUGCUUUCUUGUUCUUGUUACUAGACUUGACUUGAGGCAUGUAAGUGGAUAAGAGUAAACGCUUGCCAAUGUAAGAAGAACUUUUCUUGCGGAGGUCAUCAUUGAUUGCCUUUAAAAACUCAUGCUCUUGCUCAAGAUUGAGCUUUUCAAAGCGUAACUUCUCAUGAGCUCUUAAAAGUUCUCGAUGAUCUUCGAAGAUAGUUUCAUGAGCUAACUUAAGAGUGUUUAAUUCUUUAGUUAGAGCCUCAAUAUUCUCCUUAUCAUUGUCAUCCGUUUUAUCUUGAUUAGCAUGAUUAAUUGACGUUUCAUCAUAGUAUUCAUCACUAGAGUUGUCAACAAGUAAAUCAUCAUCACCUAACAAGUCAUCUUCAUCACUAUUAAAAUCAACAUACUCGGGGUGUGUUACCUUAGGACCUUUGGUCAUGAAGCAUCUUCCAAUUCCUUCAUUUGGUGAGUCAAAUAUGUCAUAGGAGUUGGUUGACACAAGUGCUAGACCGGCAACACCUUCAUCUUGAGUAUAUUCGGAAUCGGAGUGAUAACUUCUCUCGGAGUGGUCGUCGGAGUCGGAGCCGGAUACCCAUUCACCAACAUGAGCUUGAUGUCUUCGUUUUGUGUAGCUCCUUGAUGAUUUUUCCUUCCUUUCUGAAUCCUUGCUUCUCCGUGAGUAUCUUCGUUCAUAACGAUCAUUUCUACUCCUUCUCUCUCUUGGUGGUGAUUCUUCUCUUUUUCUUCUUCUUUUUGGAGAGUCUUCUCUUCUCUUGUAGGGAGCCGUACACUCAUUGGAAUAGUGUCCGGGCCUUCCACAAUUGUAGCAGUUUCGCUCUCGAUUAGAAGAUCUUUUGUCAUUGUAGGACCUUGACUUGGAGCUUCUAUCUUUGCUUCUACUCUUGUAGAACUUGUUGAAGUUUUUCACCAUUAAGCUCAAUUCUUCAUUGAAGUUUUGUUUCUCACUUGAUGACGUAGGGGCUUCACAUGAGGCUUUGUAGGCACCACUUGAUUUGUUGUGAAGUUCCUCUUUAUCCUAAAGUGACAUCUCAUGAGCAACAAUUCUUCCAAUUACCUCCGUUGGCUUGAGAUCUUUAUAAUUGGGCAUCAUUUGGAUCAAUGUGCAUACGGUAUCAUAUUUUCCAUCCAAGGCUCUUAGAAUCUUCUUGAUGAUGAAUCUAUCGGUCAUCUCUUCACUUCCUAAGCCGGCAAUCUCAUUUGUGAUGAGAGCAAGCCUAGAGUACAUUUCAGCGACACCUUCACCAUCGUUCAUUUUGAACUUGUCAAGUUGACUUUGAAGCACAUCCAAUUUGGAUUCCUUGAUGGAGUCGGUACCUUCGUGCAUAUCAAUCAAAGUGUCCCAAAUUUCCUUUGCAUUCUCAAGACGGCUGAUUUUGUUGAAUUCUUCGGGGCACAAUCCGUUGAAGAGAAUAUCACAAGCUUGAGCAUUGUGUUGCAACAUCUUCAGCUCAUCCGCGGUAGCUUCACAGUUUGGUUCUCUCCCAUAAAAUAAGUCACCUUGCAAACCAACACACACAAUAGCCCAAACGGCGGGGUUAUGUCCAAGAAUAUGCAUUUUCAUUUUAUGCUUCCAACUAGCAAAAUUAGUACCAUCAAAGUAAGGACCUCUACGGUGAUAAUUUCCCUCGCUAGACGCCAUACUCUCCUAGGUUGUGAAACCAAGGCUAUGACCACCAAAAGCUAUGGAAAUCAAAGCAAAUGGAGACCAAAGCUCUGAUACCACUUGUAGGAUCGAAAGUAUGUCUAGAGGGGGGGUGAUUAGACUACUUGACCAAAUAAAAACUUAACCUUUUCCAAAUUUUAGUUCCUGGCAGAUUUUAGCUAUUUUAGGACAAGUCAAGCAAUCAUCACACAAUUCAAGCAACCAUGCAAAGAGUAUAUUGGCAGCGGAAAGUAAAGCAUGCAACUUGCAAGAAUGUAAAGGGAAGGGUUUGGAGAAUUCAAACACAAUUGGAGACACGGAUGUUUGUCCCAUGGUUCAGAUAGGUGGUGCUAUCCUACAUCCACGUUGAUGGAGACUUCAACCCAUGAAGGGUAAUGGUUGCGCGAGUCCACGGAGGGCUCCACCCACGAAGGGUCCACGAAGAAGCAACCUUGUCUAUCCCACCAUGGCCAUCGCCCACGAAGGACUUGCCUCACUAGCGGUAGAUCUUCACGAAGUAGGCAAUCUCCUUGCCCUUACAAACUCCUUGGUUCAACUCCACAAUCUUGUCGGAGGCUCCCAAGUGACACCCAGCCAAUCUAGGAGACACCACUCUCCAAGAAGUAACAAAUGGUGUGUUGAUGAUGAACUCCUUGCUCUUGUGCUUCAAAUGAUAGUCUCCCCAACACUCAACUCUCUCUCACAGGAUUUGGAUUUGGUGGAAAGAAGAUUUGAGUGGAAAGCAACUUGGGGAAGGCUAGAGAUCAAGAUUCAUAUGAUAGGAAUGGGAUAUCUUGGCCUCAACACAUGAGUAGGUGGUUCUCUCUCAGAACAUAUGAGUUGGAAGUGUAGAUAUGUUCUGAUGGCUCUCUCCAUGAAUGAAGAGGAGGUGGAGGGGUAUAUAUAGCCUCCACACAAAAUCCAACCGUUACACACAAUUUACCAUUCUCGGUGGGACCGAAUCACAAACUCGGUCAGACCAAAAUAGUAAACCUAGUGACCGUUAGAGAUUUUCGGUGGGACUGACAUGCAACUCGGUAGGACCGAUUUUGUUAGGGUUAGGGCAUAACGUAAUCUCGGUGAGACCGAUUACACAAACUCGGUGAGAACGAUUUUGGUAAUUAGCUAACCAGAGAGUUGGUCAGGCAAACUCGGUGGGACCGAUUUGCUCUUUCGGUGAGACCGAAAAGUUACAAAAAGGAAACACUGAAUUUACAUUGCAAUCUCGGUGGGACCGAUCCGCUCUUUCGGUGAGACCUAAAAGUUACGAAAAGGAAAUAGAGAGUUUGCAAUCCCAUCUCGGUGAGACCGAGAUCCCUAUCGGUAGAACCGAUUUGCUAGGGUUUGGCAAUGGCUAUGACAAGUGAAACUCGGUGGCGCAGAUUGAAAGAAUCGGCAGGACCGAGUUUGGCUUUGGGUUUAGGUCAAAUGUGGAUAUGGGAAAGUAGCUGAGGGUUUUGGAUCAUAUCACUAAGCACAUGAAGCAAGAGGCUCAUUAAACAACACCUCAUCCCUCCUUGAUAGUAUUGGCUUUUCCUAAAGACUCAGUGUGAUCUUGGAUCACUAAAAUAUAAAAUGAAGAGUCUUGAGCUUUUGAGCUUGAGCCAAUCCUUUGUCCUUAGCAUUUUGAGGGUUCCACUUUUACCAUCCAUGCCAUGCCAAUCAUUGAGCUUUCCUGAAAUAAUCAUCUUGGAAUAGCAUUAGCUCAAUGAGCUAUAUGUUGUUAUGAAUUACCAAAACCACCUAGGGAUAGUUGCACUUUCAUAACUUAAGAAUAAUCGCUUUAGAGAUCCUAGAGUGGAUAUCGUGCACAAUUUCAUGCAAAGAAAGGAUGCCAUCUAAAAUAAAACGACCCUUAAUGAAAGAAGAUUGGAAGGGGCUAAUAACUCUAUGUGCAACAGGGGAUAGUCGGUUAGCAAAGCCCUUAGCCGGAAAUUUAGCGAAGUUAUUAAUCAGAGCAAUAUGCCGAAAUUGAGAAAUUAACUCAGCACCCUUGACCUUGGGGAUCAGAGUAAUGACGGCGUAAUUCAAGCGGGAAAUAUCGAUAGUGCCAAGGCAAAAACCCUGGAUAACACUGCAAACCAGCUGCUUUAACUGAUGCCAGAAUUUUCGAAAGAAAGGGAUAGAAAAGCCGUCUGGCCCGGAGGCAGCAUUUGGGUUAACUGAGUUAACUAUAUCCCAGAUUUCCUGAUCAGAGAGGGGAAUCAUCAACGAAGCAUUUUCCUCAGCCAAGACUUUUAAAACCAUGUUCCAAAGAGAAGGGGAUAUCGAGAGGCCCGAAGGAGGUUUAGCCCCAAGCUGAGUAGAGAAGAAGUCCCGCACGUGAUUCAUAAUAACAGAUUGGUCUGAAGACCGCACACCAUUGAUGAUCAGGCUGUUGAUACCACAGCGCCUCCUCCUACCGUUCGGGAUGGUAAAGAAAUAAGCAGUGGGGGAGUCGCCUUUGAGCGUCCAGUUGAGCGUGCCCCGCUGGCACCAAUAAACCUCGGCCUGGUGGUGCAACUGCAUAAAGGCAGCCUCGAGGUUGUACCUUACUAUCCAGCCAUCCUCAGUAAGCCCAGCAAAAUCGGCAGUCGAAUCAAGGGCCAUGAUCUGGGCCUCAAGGAAAUCUUUGGAACGACGGUCCUCCGCCGCACGGUUGCGAGACUAACCCCUAAGAAAUUUCCGCAGGUUGUAGGAACAGGAAUGCCAGUCAUCCAGAGGGCCGAAAGAUCGCGUAUGAGAGGAGAGUAGGCGAGAUAUUUUCGCGGCCAUCAUAUCAGUAAAACCAUCAACGAGCAGCCAAGAGGCAUCAAAUUGAAAUCUAGCCGGGGGUCUAAGGUUAACAGAGCCGUCAUCAACAAUAAGUGGGGUAUGGUCAGACCCAACAAUGCAUUUGGCGCCAAGGGAAGCCCUAGGGAAGAGGGAAUCCCACCUGGGAUAGAUGAACACUCUAUCAAGAACAGAUCUAAUGGGGUUAGCCUGGUGAUUGGACCAAGUAAAGCGGGCUCCAACUCGGGGAAGUUCACGAAUAGCGUUGGAGCUAAUAAAGUCGUUAAAGGCAUCCGCCAAAGGCCAGGAUAAGAUAUCAUUACUUUUAUCAGAAGGACAGCGAAGGAGAUUGAAAUCACCCCCGAUAACCAUCGGGAGGGUGCAAGAUUCGAUCUUCACAGAGAGCUCAUUAAGAAACAAAGGAGACAGAGAGUGAUCAGUAGGCCCAUAUACCACGAUAUAUUGAAUUAAAGUAUUCAAAGCUUUAAGACAGAGUACAGAACUGACCCAAAAGACCCCAUGGUCAUAAGCAACAACAUCAAAAAUAUCUUUAUUAGAGCCUAUCAAGAUCCCACCCGAGUGACCCGAGGAAGGUAACACAUGCCAGUCAAAUCUAUCCAUGUCCACGAUAGCUGAAAGUUCGUUAGGGGAGAAGGAUUCCUUAAAAGUUUCAACCAACCCCACGAAGUCAAUAUUGUUCGAGCGGAUCAGAUCUUUUAUUUGGUCACGACGCCCCCUAGCACCAAACACUCUAAUAUUCCAAAAUAGAACCUUCAUUUAUAAGACAAAUUUUAAUGCGGAUACUCGACCUGCUAGGGGCCGCGCAAGUUUUAACUCUUUUAGUAGUGCCCCUCCCGGAAGAACUGGGCUGGGGCUGGCCACUACCAGCUCCCACACCCGCCUCCAAAACCAGAGUAUUACUAGAGUCAACAGCGGCGGAGGCAACGGCCUCUUCAGCUUUAGCAAUGGCCGCCUGAGCCACCUUGUUAGCCCGAAUAGUUGCAAGGAGAGAACUAGGGGAACCGACAUUAGAAUCAACCACCACACCCACAUCCGACAUGAUAUUUAAAAGAUGAUUGUCCGAAAGAGAUGGUAAAACCAGCCGAACUGGAGAGGAGCCAACGGAAUGGGUGGGAUGAAUACCUGGGGUAGGAAGAUCCUUCGUCGCAGCCCGCUUUUCCGCCCGCUCCAAGAUAGAACCGCCCGAGUUGGCCACCCGCCUACCUUUGCGAGCCGUGGACGCAGGCGGCCGGAUCGCAUGUGUCCGAGUCACGGGGGAAGACGGAGAUGGACCCGAGCGAGACAUGGACCCGAGAUCCUUGUCGAGGCGGCGGCAGACUCCAGUCAUGGAUUGUUUCGAGCCCAACGAGUUCCUGCUUUUAGCCGAGAAUUUGCGCACCGAAGAUUUCUUCUUCCUCUGAGACUGGGCACCCACCACAUCACGAACAGGGGAGGCGGGCAAGUCCUUAAUCCCGGAGCGAGUGGGGGAGAUAGGACGGGCCGAGAGGUUGGAGCAAGCACCAGACAUGGGAGAGCCGACACAGGCGGGUUCUUCAGAGAAGCAACAACUGAAGCAACACCCAUGGAGUCAAUAGGAGGAAUCGCCAUAGCCUCACGAGGGGCCACACCAGAAGGAGCUUGAGAUUGGAACAACUCCCGUUCAGACUCAGGCAAGCCAUCCCACUCAGAUUGGGUCUAAUGUUUUAGAAAUUAAAAGGGAUGUGCCUCUGCCGUCAAAGUUUUUGCAAGGGAGACUCCGAGCUUGUUGGAAUACCUCUAUGAAGCCUGGGUGGUCGUAAUGGACAGAAGAGAACGGAUAUAUCCAAGGUGAAUUUUGAAAUAGGUUUAAUAAUGGUAUUAGGGAAGACCAUAGUCCAGCUAGCCAAGGUCAAAAAUAAAUAUAUUCAUAUUUAUCUAUUCUUUGUGAGCAAAAAACAUAGAACCUUCACACAGUGUAAGGUAAACAGUUCUCAUUUUGGAUUUAAAUCUCAUAUGUAGAAUUCAGUUACAAAUCAAGGGUGAAAAAUUAUAAUGAGAAUAUUAUAAGUUCAAUACUAUCUCGAACUUGUACUUGUAAGAUUUAUUUUAAUGUUUUGCAUGUUUUCAAUAUCACAUAAUCAGUUUGGAUGCCCGAAAAUAAAUUAUAGAGAUGCUGAAAAUAAUCAUAUAUAUCAAAUAAGAUCAUUAAAAUCUAUUUCCUUCAGAAGACUUGCAUUUUAUUAGACAUUGCGGCCAUGCUUUUAUGAAAACUAAAAUCCAGCAUGGUAUUAUUUGUUUCUUUAUCUAUCAAGUGGCAGCUGACUACACUCGCCUUUAAUCGGUAUUGGAUAAAAACCUCGAUGAAUGUGGACCCUUCGAUCAUACAAUUGACGGUCCAUAACUCGAGAAAAUAUCAACAUCUAAAAAAAACACUAGAAGGAGAUUACAUAAGUGAGUUAGGAUGACAAACAAAAAUAUGCUGAUAAAAUAUUUAGGCAAACUGCUUACAAGGCUAAGAUUGUACAAUAAUUGCAACCGAGCACUAGGUAUUACAACAAUCCCAAAUGAACAGCCAUAUGAAAUGCAACCUAUAUAGGCCCGAGUUAAUAAACAAAGUUCGAAGCCAAAUGCUGAGGUAUUGUUGGGUAUCAAUUACUUGAGUAGAGGGGACAACAUAAGAAUCACACUUGGAUCUUAUUGAGUAGUAGCCACAAAAAUAGCAAAUGCAAUGUUGCAGCCAGUAAAAGUAAACAGAAAAUAUCAAUUAAGCAAAAGAAAGGGAAAUAUUCCAUUCCGCUACUACUAAAAAGAU